rnacentral:lncRNA from 1 species
AAAUAACAAUGUACUUUGAAUCUUGAAAAUUUUGAACAAGUAUGCACUCCUACACCAUCCUAACUUGUUCAAUAUUCAACAAAAUUACUUUUGGUCAACAAAUUUAAUCCUAUUACACUUAAAAAAUAUUUGAUGAUAUAAAAUCACCAACAACUUCAUCAGCCGAAAACACCCUUUCGCUUUUGGUCCUCCCUUCAUUCGCUCCAACCAUUAACAAGCGAACCCAAGUUCGUUGUUCCAGGUUCGGUCCUAAUGCAUCAGCAUUACCCCAGGGUGAAUCUCCAUUCUUUCAUUCCAGGUGCUAACAAAUGAAACUCAAUCACAGGUUCGUUUUCCAUGGAAGACAUAGUGAGAUUCAAAGAAAGUUCAACCCAAUUCACAAUCAAUUUUGACUUUUCAGUUUAACUCCCGUUCAUCCCAAAAUGGUUGGUCGUUCACAAAUCUCAGUCAAUUCAAACCCUUCGUUCGUUCGCAAAUAGCUUAAUUUUGACUUUUCGAUUUUGACUAACGUUCGCCCCUGUUACGAUUUCAUUCCAAUAAACUCUCAAAUCCGAUUACAUUCGUUCUGAGUGAGUUCACUCACAAAAAAGAUUUUGCAUUACCAAUUUUUACCUGCAAAAGCGAACAGACACACAAAAACCAUUCCAACUCGUUCCGAUUGACGCCAUCCAACAUCAUAAUUUUGAAACCAAAUUCUGAGAAAUUGGUACCGAAUCCGAGAUCUGUAUUCUAAUUGCAAAAACCAUCUGUUCAGAUCACAAGCUAAUCUCUGAUUGGUGAUUUGAGUUCCAUGAUAAUCACCAAAUUAAUUUACACAAGUCAAUUCCAGAUCGAAUGUGUUUUUCAAUCAAAAUAGAAAACUUCCUUCAAUGGUUCAUCAACGUACCCGGAAACUCAUGAACACCAAUCGAUUAAAAAAACUUGAAAGCUAAAGGAAUCGACUCAUGGGUCGAUAAUCAUGUCAAGGAUGUUAAAAUUGAUAAUCACAAAUGAUUGAAUUUAAGCGCAGAACAAAUACGAAAACCGAGACACAGAUGUUAUAUUAGGGCCUAAUAAAAGUGGAUCGUGAUUAAGCAUAUGGACCAGGAACAGUGAAUUGACCAUAAGAUUGGGCCAGAUUGAAAGAAUUUACGAACAGAUCCAAUUAGGUCAACACAAAGUAAUAAAAUCGAUGAACUGAUCCAAUAUGAACAGAAGAGCGAAUCAGAUUAAAGAAAAUACCAUAUGCACUGUAGAUGAACAACAUAAAUCUCCAUGAACAGUAGAUCGAAAAAAAAAACUUGAUUCCAUACCACCAAAACACUAAAAUCUUCAAUAACUUAUGCAUAAAAUCAUCAAAUCAAGAACCGAUACUUCAAAAAUCAAUAGAUUUUCAAUGACCCGCUCUGAUACCACUUGUUGGGAUUAAAACCCUAAUUGAGAUUUGAUGAACAAGAUGCGGAAAAUAAGAACAAACACAAAUAUGAAGAUUAGGUCGAAUGAUCACUCGAUUUAUUAAAUUGUGAGGAACAAAUUACACUUAAGAUAUAAGAAUCUAACUCUACAAGAAACCUCACAACGUGGAGGCUACAUUUUGCCUCACUCUUAACCCUAAUAAUGAAUAAUACAUGACUAUUUAUAGGUAAAAGACAAGUCUUGGGCUUUUAACCUACACUUCAUCAAGGGGGCCCAUUGCCAUCAUCCAUGGAGUACUUUGAAACCCUACAAUCCAAAAUACUUCUUUUUCUUCUAUGAAAUGAGUUUGAAAUUUCUUAACAUAAUUUAUAGCUUCAUAAAGUUUCUUGUCAACCAUGACUUGAACAUCUUUGCGAGAAAUCUUAAGUUUGUCAUACAACAACUUUACUUGUGAAACAGAUUUAAAAACUUUCUCAAUUGUAGCUGAAAUUAACUCAUGUUGCUAAAAUAAAGUCUUGCAGUUUCAGAUCGCAAGGUCUGCAUAACACCUUGGUACACACUCACCAUGUUUUCAAAAUGUAAGUUAUAGAAAGUUCCAGCAUGACGAAGUAAAGAAUUCAACUUCUUAUUCAAAACUCAAUAAUCUUGAAGAGUCAUUGGCCCAUUAGGAAUAACAUCAUCAAUAUCAUUAUCCUCAUCAACAAAAACUGUCACAGGAGGUGAAACUUAUGGUUUUGAAACUUUCGGGUCAUCAGCAACAAUAGAAUCAUUAUCUGAUCCAGAUAGUGUUGCUUCAUGUCCUGAUAGAGAUUUAAGAAUUGGUUAUGAAAUAGGAACAUUCGUAGUAACCGGCGGAACAAUAGUUGAAAUAGGUUCUGAAGUAAGUUGUUCAUUAACAGCAGGUGGAGCUUUGGAAGUAAUUGGUUCAAAAAUUGAAGUUGUUGUGCUAGAUGUAUUUUGGGUAGAAAAAAAGAUGGAGGUAUAGUAGAGUAUUUGAAACAUAGGUUUUGGGAUGGUUUAGGGUUUAGAAAUUAGUGGUGAUAUAGAUGGAAAAGGUGAAGAUUGUGGUGGAAUAACUAGUGGUGUUUAGGAUUGUGAAUGAUUAAUUAAGAUAGGAUUAUCCAAAACUGUCUGGAAAAUUAUGAUUCUGACUGAUUCAUAACAAGAUUGGAAACAACUAAAGUGGGAAUUAGAGUAUAAACCUUCGAAGUUUCAGUCUGAAUAACUUGUUCCAAUGUUUUCUUUGGAAUCUUAGUUGUAUUCCUAGUAUCAUCACCAAUCGGAAAAAUCAUCAGUAACAUAAAAAUUGCCUAUUUUGUCACCAUCCGACUCCUCCUUAACUAAAACUGUAGUUGACUUCUUGGAUUUUUGCUUCUUUUUCGAUUUGAAUUUUGCAGGAACAACCUCUUCUAUAACAUUAGCUUUCCUCUUUAUUCCAACCUUUUUUUGGAGCAUCACCAACAUGUAGAACUGUUUGUAAAGAAGGUGGAAUGGGCCUUUCUAUGAAUGAAGUAAUUUUCCUCUAAAUUUGAUUAAUCUCACUCUCUAACAGAAGCCUUGCUAACAUUACUUCAGGAAACGAUCAAGAAAAAUGAAAAUUCAUGCAAUCUGAAGUUACGAAUAUAUAUANNNNNNNNNNNNNNNNNNNNNNAGCAAUAAUAACAUCAGUCAUUUGUGGUGAUAAAGAGCUGGCUUCACUAAAACUGACCAAAAUCAUGCACAAGAUAUUUCAGAAUCCUUCGACUCAGAGGUUGGAUUUUGCACAAAUUGAGCCCAAAGAAUAUGCCCAAAAUCAAUGUUUUCACAAACAAAUAAUCCAUAGAGCAAAGUGUGAAAGUGUGAAAAUGCUUCCUCGCAUUAUCAUAACCAGUAGCUCUCUCACAAAAAACUUUAAAAGAACAGUGAAUAAAGCAUUUGAAACAGGUGGACAACAUGAUUUAUGGAAUGUCAAAAGAUGACAAGCCAUAAGAAUACUUGUUGAAGGGACCAAAUCAAGAUUCACUGAAUUAGCAGUAGGAGUUAACGCUAAUAACUUACAGAAGUUUGUCUUUGUAAUUGUCGUGUGAUGUCCUUGAACAUCAAAACUAAUCUCUUUACUUUUCUUGAUGUAAUUUGAAUUUGAGUAUGCCAAAAUCAAAGCAGACAGUGAAAUAGAAUCAAUCGAGGGUUGAAUCGAGAGAUUAUAAAUUGUAGGAUCAAAAUCAUCAAUCAUGUUCUAAUUAGGUUUCACACAGAGAGAAAUGGAUAGAGCUGUUUGAUCCAUGAGAGAAAUAUGAUGAGCAGAAGUAGCCAUUCGAUGUUGAUUUUAAAGAAGAACUGAGAGAAUCUAAUAAUUUCUUGGAAAAACUCUAAAUUUCUUUGAAUGGUUGAUGAGCAUAAAGGAAAAAAAUUACAGAACAGUUUGGGUAUUUAUUGCGUUUGAAACCCAAGCGGCUCUUUUUGAGGUUGAAUCGAUAAGAGAGAAAUCCGCCUUCUUAUACAAUUAAUGAUAGUCUCUUCAUACAUAAAAAUUAAAGCGAAUAAUGACAGUUGAUAACAUCAUAUUUACUUAGAAAACGCGCCAUUUCAAUUUGCAGCAGUUUAUAAUCAUUAACCCACCCAUUAAUUUUGAAAUAUUAAAAUAGAGUGAAUUGGAAUUAUGAUAACAAUUAUCUUAACAAAUUUACCGAAACCAAUGUAAAGUAGAGUUUCAUCCCAUCAUGGAUAGAUUAAUUAGAAUCAGAAACUAGAAUUUAUGAAAUCUUGGUUCAAGUUGGUUUGAAUCGAGAUGUUAAGGAUUCCAAGUGAAAGUGUGUGAAAUAUGCAAGAGAAGAUUUUAGAAAGAAGUAGGUGUUGACAUGAACCUCAUAUAUACCAUGGUGAAGAUGAUAUAUAAUCAUAGGUCCAGUCUGUGCGAAGUCGUCGCUCAAGUUGUUUUAUACCUGAAACCUUAUAGACCUCAAGUGAUGUGUGUGAUUUAGCUAAAGAAUUGAGAUUUUGGAAAAUAGGUAAGGUUAGUGGUGCAUCAUAUUACACAUGCUGAAAGUAGGACAAUCAUCACAUAGACUUUUAUAAUACCGCAUGUUUCAAGUUGGUAUAGACCCGAAACCGCAAGGGUGUUAUGUAAAAUAUGAGUAAGAUACAAACGAAAAAAUUGAUGGAAUGAAGUUGGUAUAUUGAAAAAUAAAUUAUUUCAUCUGUCAGUUCUUAGUUUCAUGCUAGAGUUUGUAAAACAUUCACCAUCAUUUCAUACUGGUUUAGAAAUUAUGAAACUUAUGUUCAAGUUGCUACAAAUCUGAGACGUCAUUGGUUUCAAGAUUGGUUAAGAAAAAUAAUAGUACCUCUAUGGUAAAUGGUUAUCAAGUAGUCAUCUCAAAACUCCAAACAUGAAUAGAGAAAUAUAGCAUGAUGAUUUCUGUUAAUACAACCUACUGGGAAGAAAUUCUCAGAAUUAAGAAAUUUCAUUACGGCUUCUCAAACAAAGAAUCUAUGAGGCUUUGGACAACAUGUUGCAACAUGCUUCUAGGGAUACUUAACUAAUCAAUGGCAUCAUGAAACAUAAGUUUCCCUCAAUUCGAUAGUUGCAUACUAGAACAACAAGUGUUCACCGUUCAAAAAUAUUUUUGAUUUUUCUGAAUUUUUUUUAAAGAACUAGAAAAUACUUGUGCAUUUUUCAAAACUUUAAGAAAUGCAAAAUCUUUUUGUAUUUUUCAAAAUUAUAUGAAAACCAAAAUUAUCAAAAUAUGACGAGCUACGAUGGCUCGCAUGUCAUCGCAUAUGCAUAGUAAUAGAAACAGUUAAACUACGAAAAAGAAAUCAAAUACGAUGAGGUGUGUCGCUUCGCCAAACAUCGCACAUGAACAGUAAAAAAAUAAGAAGAGAAAUAAAAAAACAAGUACGAAGGGUUGCAUCUGUCACACCCCAAAACCAAUAACGGCGGAAUACGUUCUGGGGUGGAGGACGUCAUGUACAGUAUCAUAACAAUUGUAUAAUAUUAAAAACAAGAGACAACAACCAUUUCAUUUACAUAGUGAGUUUAAUUACAAGCGUGUUCUGCAAAGUUUCAAGAGACACCAAAAGUAUAUCAAAAGUAAGAGAUGGGUCUUGUAUGCUCCAUCUUCUCCAAAAGACUGCACCUGUACCUGUCUAUCUUUGACCUGAGGAUACAAGUUAUUUUGAAAAUGAGUAUCAGCAUAAAGCUGGUGAGUUCAUAAGAAUUUAGUGUCUUUGUUGUAGAAAAGUAUUUUUAAACUUAUAGAUUAAAAACUGAAAUUUAUGUUUAAAAGUAGUAGAAACCCCUAGAAAGUCCUAUAUUUUCCAGAAAAGUACUUUGUAAGUUGAAUCCUUUGAGUUGUGUGUAAGCAUUAUCAUUGAAAACCUUCAGUUAUAAAUGUACAGUAAUAAAUCUCAUGUGAGUAACAUAGAUGAAGAAAAGUUAUGCCUGUUAACAGUAGUAGUGGUGCAAACUUCCAUUAGUAAUAGAUACGUAUUUGCUUCGGGAUGUUAGCUUAGACCUUAGUCUUAUAGUAUUAAUUUGAAUAUAGGUGUAACCCUUCAUGUGACCAAUUUUAUAGUAGUAGAGAACCCGAUGACCUUCCCAGUCAUACGUAGUGUAGUGAAGUAGUGCCACCCCUGGGCCUGCGAAAAAAGUGGGGUCUACAAAACCUUGUUUAAACUUAGAUUGUUCAAGAACGUGAGUAAGAUUUGCAUACCUUCCACGAGGAGUUUUCUUAAGUCCAUAUACAACUUUAUGUAAAAUAUAGCAAUGAUAUGGAUAUUGUACAUUAAAGAAACCUAGUGGUUGUUCGACAUAAACAGUUUCUUCAAGUUCGCCAUUAAGAAGUGCACACUUCACAUCCAUUUGGAAGACUUCGAAGUUCUUGUGAGCGGAAUAUGCUAGAAAAAUGUGAACUAGCUUUAAUCUCACAACAGGGGAAAACGUCUCUUCGUAGUAUAUGCCUUCUGCCUGACAAUGCCCUUUAACUACAAGAUGUGCUUUUUUUCUCACAACAUUUCUUUCUUUAUCCAUCUUGUUUCGAAAUACACAUUUUAGACCAACUACAAAUGCAUGUGGAGGUGGUGGAAUUAAUCUUUGAAUCUUGUUCCAAAAUACCAUUUGUCCAGUUCGUUAAUAGAUGAUGAUUCAAAUCAUAUUCAGGAAUGAUUUCAGAAUUAACUUCUUCAAUUUUUGAAUGAUCAUCAAUAUCUUUAUUUUCCGAUGUUUCCCCUAAACAUGAGCAUUAAAUGAAGACUCAUCCCUUGAAAAUGAUCAUUGUUAGUUAAAAUUUCCCCCGGAAACAAUCAUUGUUAAAAAUAUUAUCCCCUUAAAAAUGAGUAUCUUUAUUUGAUUCACAGAUGAAGUAGACACAUCCUCAUUGAAUUGAUCUUUAGUGGAUUCUACACUCCCCUCCAACAAAUGCAUUUAGAGAAUUAACUGUUGCAGGAAUAUCUUCUUCUACAUGAACUUCAACAUUUGCUAUGACAUCAUAAACUAAUUUCAAAAUCCCAUCUUCUUGAUUAUCUCUAGCAUUUGAUUUAGAAGGAAUCUCUUUUUCUAGUUCAUCAAAUCAAUUUAGAAAAUCAUCAUAUAACGACAUGAGAAGAAAUAUCUUUAAGUAUGACGAGGGAAAGAUAUUUUCAUAUUGAACAUCAUUUUUCUAGAAUUAUUUGAUAACAUUGUAAUAAAACAUAACAUAAUAGCUUUCCUCAAUCUUCUUUUAUUUCGUGUUCAACACUCUGUACGAUUUCGGUGUAAUAGAAUAACUCAAGAAUGUUGCUUCAUUUACUUUGACAUAAAACUUGUUGUGAUGUUCCUUUGAAUUAAACUUAAAAUAUAUGGAACAAAAAACAUAAAAUAAUUUUACAUUUGAUUACAAUUAUUCAGAAUUUCAUAAGGAGUGAUUAAAAAUUGUUUAUAAAUUUACAAACAAUUUGGAGUAAAGCAUGCAACUCCGAUUGCUUCAGUCCAAAAAACAAUGGAAGAUUUGCAAAUGAUAAUAUUGUCCUUGCAGUUUCACAGAGUGAAUGGUUUUGCCUUUCAAAAACACUGUUUUGUCAUGGAAUAUAAUAUCACAAUAGUCUAAUUAAGUUAAUGAACGUCACAUGUGAACGUGACAUACAUCAAAUGUAUUAUUAUUUUCCAAAAGUACACGUCUUCCUAAUUCUAGAAAUAUAAAAAUCGUCUAAAUCUAAUUUUGUAUGAGGAAGUUAUAAAUUGGAAAUCCUUUUUCUGACUAAUAAUUAUCAAAUAUGUUUUUUUUGUUCGAAAUUAUUUAUAUAACUUUUUAUUUAUUAAAUCUAGACGAGUGAUAAAAUAAUGUAUUACAUAUUUUGUUAAAUAUUUUGAUAAAACGUUUUAAGUUUGGAAUUUAUUAAUUUGGAAAAUACGUAUAUAUAUUUUGAUGUGUAUUAGUGUAUCAUGAUAUAUUUUGUUAUAGCUUGUGUACUAAGUUUGUAUUUAUAUCAUUCUUGAGGUACCUCUUUUGUAAAUUCCUUUUCUGUUUAUGUAAUCAAUCACCACCAUCUGGGGUAUCCUGUUCAUUAAACGGAUACAUGGUAUUAGAGACCAAACGUAUUUGACUGCUCUUAUCUGUUAGAAUGAGAAGGGUAAUUCAGUAAUCUUUUAUUUAGUAUGCACGUUGUGAUAGGAGGAAUAAAUCAAAAGGCACAUGGUAUUGGUUACCUGGUCUUUAGCUAGUUCAGUUAGUUCCUAUUUUCAUGCUAAUUUUUUGUUUAAAUAGCUUAGUUGUGUACGUGAUUGAUACAUCACUUUCCUUUCAAUUUCAAGAUAAUAAAGAAAAGCCUUUCAAGCUUUGGCACACCCCUGUUUUGUCCAGAUUACCAAAAUAGACCAAACUUUCCAGUAUUGCCCCUAUCUCUAUUUUUGUCCCCUGCACAGGCUACUUUCCUGUCCCUGGUUCCAGAUUUAGUAUAAAGCUCCAACACUUGGUAUCAGAGCAAAUCCUGGUAUAUGCCCAAGUACCAAUUCCAAGAAGAAAUGACAGGAUCCAGUGGUAAUGGCGAGAAAGAUAGUCAGAUCACUCUGCACUAUCCCAAGCUAUCAAAGACGAACUAUGGAGCCUGGGCAAUCAAAAUGAAGGUGUUUAUGCAGGCUCAUGGUGUAUGGGAGGCGGUGGAGCCCAGAACUGCAAACACAGCUGUUGACACAAAGAAAGAUAAGAUGGCGUUAGCAGCAAUUUACCAGGGGAUACCAGAAGAUUUGUUGAUGUCAUUAGCAGAAAAGAAAACAGCUAAAGAGACAUGGGAGGCUUUAAAAACAAGAUUUGUAGGGGCAGAUAGGGUAAGAACUGCAAGAAUACAAACUCUAAAGGCUGAGUUUGAGUCACUCACCAUGAAAGAAUCGGAAGGAGUGGAUGAGUUUGCUGCAAAGGUAGAUAAUAUUGUGAGUUCAAUGCGCACCCUGGGUGAUACGGUAGAUGAAGCCUAUGUGGUGAAGAAACUGCUUAGGGUGGUAUCAACCAAAUUCCUGCAAUUAGCCUCAACCCUGGAACAAUUUGGAAAUCUAGAAGAAAUGACAGAGGAGGAAGUAAUUGGAAGGUUAAAAGCACAUGAAGAAAGAAUGAAAGGCCAUACCGAAAGUGAUGAUCGAAAACUCCUUUUGACACACCAAGAAUGGUCAGAGAGAAACAAGAAGAAAACUGAAGGAGACUCCAAAUCCAAGUCGCAAAGAGGAGGGUUUGGCGGCUCACGAGGAUGAGGCAGAGGCAGAGGAAGAGGUAGAGGCCGUGGGGGUCGUGGAAGAGGAGGCUCACGAGAAGGCAACAAUGGGGCAUCUAGAAGUAAAGAUAAGAGCAACAUUCAGUGCUACAACUGCCAGGAGCUUGGGCAUUAUGCAGCUGAAUGCACAAACCCAAGAAAAGAAAGGGCCCAUGAGAACCACCUCAUACAAGAAGACAACGAACCUGCUCUUCUGCUGAUGUCCCUGGAAAACAGACAAGAAAAGGGUGAGGUGUUCUUAAAUGAAGAGAAUGUGCAUCCGAAAUUAAAAACAAAUGGUGAAGUGUCAAGUCAAUCAAGGAUAUGGUACCUUGAUACAGGGGCAAGUAAUCAUAUGACCGGUGAUGAAGGAAAGUUCCAUAACCUGAACAAAGAAAUACAAGGUUAUGUUAAAUUUGGAGAUGAAUCCAGGGUCUGAAUCAAGGGUAAAGGGUCAAUAGAUUUUCAAUGUAAGAAUGGUAAAAUAAGAAGACUGGAAGAGGUGUACUACAUACCAGAUCUCUGCAGCAACAUUAUCAGUCUUGGGCAGUUGUCUGAAGGAGGAGAUGAAAUCAAGAUAAAAGAGCCAUUCUUAUGGGUCCAUGAUAAAGAUGGGAGAUUGCUAAUGAAGGUGCAGAAGUCUAUAAAUCGUCUCUACAAAAUAGAGCUUGAAGAAGUUAAUACAAGAUGUUUAGUUGCUGAGAUUAAAGACCCAACAUGGCUAUGGCACACAAGGUUAGGACAUGUCAAUUUUACCUCCUUAAAAUUGAUGGCUGAUAGAAGUUUGAUUGAGGGAAUUCCCAAGAUGGGGAUCCCAUCUAAACCCUGUGAAGGAUGUCUCAUGGGGAAGCAAACAAGGUUCCCAUUCCCUACGUGUACAAACUUCAGGGCAAAGAGAAAGUUAGAACUCGUACAUGGAGAUCUGUGUGGUUCGGUCUCACCACCAACACCAGCUGGGAACAUGUAUUUUUUGCUUUUGGUGGACGAUUACAGCAGGGUAAUGUGGGUAUACCUGCUAAAAACAAAAAAUGAGGCGUUUCAGACUUUCAAGAGUUUUAGAACAACAGUUGAAGUAGAAACAGGAGAGAAACUGAAGAUGUUUAGAACAGAUCGGGGAGGAGAAUUUCUCUCAAAUCAAUUCACCAAGUAUUGUGAAGAGACUGGAAUCAACCGCCAUUAUACCUCACCCUACUCCCCACAACAGAACGGGGUUGUGGAGAGAAGGAAUCGAACGGUGUUGGAAAUGGCAAGAAGUUGUUUAAAAACGAUGAAAGUACCUCAUGUGUUAUGGGGAGAAGCGGUGAGCCACGUUGUGUACAUUCUGAAUCGUCUGAGUUCAAAAGCCCUCAAGGAAUCCACACCGUAUGAAAUGUAGACCAGAAGGAAGCCGAAUGUCGGUCACCUUCGAGUCUUUGGCUGUAUCGCGCAUAUGAAGAUAGCCAAGAAUUACUUAAAGAAACUAGAUGACAAAAGCAAGAGGGUAGUAUAUUUGGGAACAGAAAAAGGAUCGAAAGCUCACAGGUUGUUGGAUCCCGAUACGGGAUCGAUAUAUGUCAGUAGGGAUGUGGUGUUCGAAGAAGAUCAAACCUGGAAUUGGGGGGAGAAAGCCAAGAUUAAAGCAAUUCCAGGAAUGACCUUCACAGUGGAAGGAAUUGAUUUCGACGACUUGGGUAAGACUGAAGUCAGAGACGACGCAGUUCAAGAUGAUGAUAGCGAUCCGGAUCCAUACACUCCUCAAUAUGGUGUUGGGUCAAGCGGGUCAACUAAUUAUAAUGAUCGGAGCGAAAGUGACCCACCACAAGGAAGCCCACUUAGUACACUACCCGGCAGCCCACAAAGUGUUCAGCCCGUUUCACCUACAACCCCAGUUCAUACGACUCAAGCUGCAUCUCCAAAUACGUCUCCAAACAUCGCCUCAAGCUCUACAUGAGGUGGCGCUCCGAAAAGGUAUCGACUACUUACAAAACUAUAUGAGAAUACUGAUGAAAUACAACUGCCUCCCAAAGAGCUGAUGAUGAUUCGCAACGAGGGAGAACCGAACUCAUAUCAAGAGGCGAAGAUUAGAACCGAGUGGGUCAGUGCAAUGAGGGAAGAGUUGGCAUCAAUUGAAAGAAAUAAGACCUGGACCUUGGUUGAUCUUCCAAAAGGGCGAAAAGCAAUUGGUCUAAAAUGGGUUUACAAGGUAAAAAGAGAACCAGAUGGGAGAAUCGCAAAGUACAAGGCGAGAAUUGUAGCAAAGGGAUACGUACAGAAACAUGGCAUUGACUAUGAGGAAGUGUUCGCUCCAGUGGCCAGAAUCGAAACAAUAUGUGUAAUCCUAGUUCUUACAGGAUCAAGUGGAUGGCGGGUGCAUCACCUAGAUGUGAAAUCGGCCUUCGUAAAUGGAAGGUUGAAUGAAGAAGUGUAUGUGAUGCAACCUGAAGGCUUCGAGAAAAAGGGAGAAGAAGGCAAGAUAUACAAGCUCUCAAAGGCCCUGUAUGGACUAAAACAAGCUCCCAGAGCUUGGAAUGCAUGUCUAGAUAAGUACUUAAAAAGCCUCGAGUUCACAAGGUGCUGUCAAGAAUACUCUGUGUAUACAAGAAAGAAGAUGGGCAACACUCUAAUAGUGGGAGUAUACGUGGAUGACUUGCUAGUCACAGGUAGUUGUCCCAGAGAUGUGAAGGAAUUCAAAGGUGAAAUGAAGGCUAAGUUUGAAAUGAGUGACCUUGGACUAUUGAAUUAUUAUCUGGGAAUUGAGGUCAACCAAGAUGAGACUGGAAUCACUUUGAAGCAAGAGGCAUACGCUAAGAACAUCUUGAACAAGACGCGCAUGAUGGAGUGUAAUGCAACUAGAACCCCCAUGGAACACAAGUUAAAAUUGCUUAAAGAUGAAGAAGGGGAACAAGUGGAUCCCACAGAGUAUAGAAGCAUAGUUGGUGCACUCAGGUACCUCACACACACACGACCUGAUCUCUCAUUUUCAGUUGGUGUAAUUAGUCGUUUCUUGGAAAGACCAACUGUCAAACACCUUCAAGCCGUGAAAGCAAUUCUUAGAUAUAUCAAAGGUACCUCAAACUAUGGAUUGAAAUAUACCAAAGGAGAGAAGCAGGUCAGCCUCACUGGAUAUUCUGAUAGUGAUUUUGGAAAGGACAUGGAAGAUGGGAAGAGUACAGGAGGAAUAGCAUUCUACAUGAAUGGAAACCUAGUGACAUGGGCAUCACAAAAGCAAAGGAGUGUGGCUUUGUCAUCCUGUGAAGCAGAAUUUAUGGCUGCAACUCAGGCAGCCUGUCAAGGCAUAUGGCUUCGCAGACUCCUUGCUGAAAUCAUUGGACAACAGGUACCCCCAAUUGACUUGUUUGUGGAAAAUAAGUCAGCUCUUGACUUAAUGAAAAAUCCAGUUUUCCAUGGGCGUAGCAAACAAAUCAACAUAAGGUAUCACUUUAUAAGAGAAUGUGUAGAGGAUGGGGAAAUUGUGGUCAGUCAUGUGUGUGGGACAAAACAGAGAGCAGAUAUCCUUACAAAUUCAAUGGCAAGGGUAAAGUAUGAAGAAAUGAGAGACUUAAUUGGAGUAAAGAUUCUGAAUUAGGGGGAGAAUGUUAUAAUGAGAAGGGUAAUUCAGUAAUCUUUUAUUUAGUAUGCACGUUGUGAUAGGAGGAAUAAAUCAAAAGGCACAUAGUAUUGGUUACCUGGUCUUUAGCUAGUUCAGUUAGUUCCUAUUUUCAUGCUAAUUUUUUGUUUAAAUAGCUUAGCUGUGUACGUGAUUGAUACAUCACUUUCCUUUCAAUUUCAAGAUAAUAAAGAAAAGCCUUUCAAGCUUUGGCACACCCCUGUUUUGUCCAGAUUACCAAAAUAGACCAAACUUUCCAGUAUUGCCCCUAUCUCUAUUUUUGUCCCCUGCACAGGUUACUUUCCUAUCCCUGGUUCCAGCUUUAGUAUAAAUCUCCAACAUUAUCCCCCUCGAUCCCUCUCUCAUCCCUUUGUCUAAUCACUUUCUCUCCUACCUUUUACAUCUACUUUUUUCCAGCGAUCCCAUGUCCUCUUCAUCAGGCGAUGCCACCCUUCCAAUAAACACCCUUAUCCACAUGAUUGCUAUCAGGCUUACUUCCUCUAAUUACCUUUCCUGUAAGAAUCAGAUGCUUCCACUGUUCUCUAUCAAAGCCUAAUUUCCCGCAUUGAUGGUUCAUCUGCCACUCCAAAACCUAUAAUUGUCCAAGGUGAGAAAUCUAUUGUCAAUCGCCUCUUUUCUUCAUGGAUGUUAGUUGAUCAGAGGGUUGUGAUUAUCCUUCAUGCUUCUUUAACUAAAGAAGCUAGUGCUGAGAUCAUUGGUUUAUCUACUGGUCGCUCCGUAUGGUUUGCUGUUGAGUCUGCUUACAACAACUCGUUAGUAGAACAUAUUCAUAAUUUAUGUGACUAACAUCGCCAAUCGGCCAAAGGUUCGACUACUAUGUAUACUUUUGGCUAGAAAUUCAAAGGUUUGUGUGACCAAUUAGCUAUGGUUGGCGCUUUGGUCGAUGCUUCUGAUCAACUGAACUGCUUCUUAUGUGGUUUGGGUCCUUCUUUUGAAACCUUUUCUACUUCUGUUCGUACAUCUCGUCAUGUUCUAGUCUUUUCUGGACUUUCUUGGUCACGCUUAGAGCCACGAGAUGUUAUUAAGAUCUCUAUAUGGACCCUUAACUCCACCUGAUACUUUUUUUUCUACAUCCACUCCCUGUACUAACCCUACGCACGACUCUCCUAAAUCAUCUCGUGGUGGUCAUACCAGCGGUGGCCGGGGAAGAGGUAGACACCCCCACACUGUCAAUUGUUCUGCACAAAUGGACAUUUUGCCAACUCAUGGCUAAUUCUCUCAUAGUUUGCUUCUAAGGUUGUUUCAAUAGAUGCUGAUAUUUCCAAAGCUUUUCAUGCUCAAUGUCAUGUUACUUCGUCUCGCACAGAUUGGUACAUUGAUUCUGGGGCCACUGAUCAGAUGACAAACUCAACUGAUGGUGUUGCUAAUGCUAACCCGUACCGUGACCAAGCCAACGUCAGCUUUGGAAAUGGUAAUAGACUACCUAUUACACAUAAUGGUUAUUCUAUAGUCUCACCGAAUAUCAAAUUGAAUUAUGUGUUGGUGGUUCUUAAUAUGUAGAAAAAUAUUUUCUCUGUUAGUAAGCUAACCUUUGAUAAACAUUUGGAUGUUUUGUUUUCCUAUCCUCAAUUAUAUAUGUAGGGCCGCAUGUUGAAAAAAAUUCUAGCUCAAGGAAGAUAUGAGAAUGACUUGUAUAUUUUGAGCUCCAACCCCCAUGCUCUCCUUGUUGCCUCACCGUUGAAGGCCUCUUUUGAGCUUUGGCAUUUACGACUAGGACAUGUGUCCUUUGAAACUAUUUUACUUUUAAAUAAAAUGGGGAGUUUAUUUGUUACCUCCAUCUUACCUAAACUAGUUUUGUGUCCAGCUUGCCAAAUGUUUAAAGUACGUCGAUUAUCUUUUGAUAUUAAUGUAAAAAGGGCAUUACACCCAUUCAAUUUAGUGCAUUGUGAUUUUUGGGGCCCAUUGUCGGUUUCAUCGACUGAUGGUUACCGAUAUUAUGCUCUUUUUGUGGAUGAGUUUCCUGGUUCUGUUGGCUUUACCCUCUAUGCUCGAAAUCAGAAUUUCAUAUUGUCUUGCCUAUGUAUAUGAAACUUGUGAAAAAUCAGUUCGAUACCAAUCUCAAAGUGAUGGGGGCACACAGUUUUUGAAUUAUAAUGUCUAAUGUCUAUUUGAGUAAAAUUGAACACUUCAUCGUUUAUCUUCCCCAUAUACUCCACAAUAACAUGAUCGUGUUCCGCCAACUUAUUGGGUGGAUGCUUUUUCCUCGGCAACAUAUAUCAUCAAUCGUCUCCGAUCACAAAUUCUGGAUGGAAAAUCACCAUUUGAGGUCUUAUUUUUAAUGCAAUCCUUCGUAUAACAACUUUCGUCCUUUCGAGUGUGUCGGGUUACGUCAUAUAUAUAUNNNNNNNNNNNNNNNNNNNNNNNNNNNNNNNNNNNNNNNNNNNNNNNNNNNNNNNNNNNNNNNNNNNNNNNNNNNNNNNNNNNNNNNNNNNNNNNNNNNNNNNNNNNNNNNNNNNNNNNNNNNNNNNNNNNNNNNNNNNNNNNNNNNNNNNNNNNNNNNNNNNNNNNNNNNNNNNNNNNNNNNNNNNNNNNNNNNNNNNNNNNNNNNNNNNNNNNNNNNNNNNNNNNNNNNNNNNNNNNNNNNNNNNNNNNNNNNNNNNNNNNNNNNNNNNNNNNNNNNNNNNNNNNNNNNNNNNNNNNNNNNNNNNNNNNNNNNNNNNNNNNNNNNNNNNNNNNNNNNNNNNNNNNNNNNNNNNNNNNNNNNNNNNNNNNNNNNNNNNNNNNNNNNNNNNNNNNNNNNNNNNNNNNNNNNNNNNNNNNNNNNNNNNNNNNNNNNNNNNNNNNNNNNNNNNNNNNNNNNNNNNNNNNNNNNNNNNNNNNNNNNNNNNNNNNNNNNNNNNNNNNNNNNNNNNNNNNNNNNNNNNNNNNNNNNNNNNNNNNNNNNNNNNNNNNNNNNNNNNNNNNNNNNNNNNNNNNNNNNNNNNNNNNNNNNNNNNNNNNNNNNNNNNNNNNNNNNNNNNNNNNNNNNNNNNNNNNNNNNNNNNNNNNNNNNNNNNNNNNNNNNNNNNNNNNNNNNNNNNNNNNNNNNNNNNNNNNNNNNNNNNNNNNNNNNNNNNNNNNNNNNNNNNNNNNNNNNNNNNNNNNNNNNNNNNNNNNNNNNNNNNNNNNNNNNNNNNNNNNNNNNNNNNNNNNNNNNNNNNNNNNNNNNNNNNNNNNNNNNNNNNNNNNNNNNNNNNNNNNNNNNNNNNNNNNNNNNNNNNNNNNNNNNNNNNNNNNNNNNNNNNNNNNNNNNNNNNNNNNNNNNNNNNNNNNNNNNNNNNNNNNNNNNNNNNNNNNNNNNNNNNNNNNNNNNNNNNNNNNNNNNNNNNNNNNNNNNNNNNNNNNNNNNNNNNNNNNNNNNNNNNNNNNNNNNNNNNNNNNNNNNNNNNNNNNNNNNNNNNNNNNNNNNNNNNNNNNNNNNNNNNNNNNNNNNNNNNNNNNNNNNNNNNNNNNNNNNNNNNNNNNNNNNNNNNNNNNNNNNNNNNNNNNNNNNNNNNNNNNNNNNNNNNNNNNNNNNNNNNNNNNNNNNNNNNNNNNNNNNNNNNNNNNNNNNNNNNNNNNNNNNNNNNNNNNNNNNNNNNNNNNNNNNNNNNNNNNNNNNNNNNNNNNNNNNNNNNNNNNNNNNNNNNNNNNNNNNNNNNNNNNNNNNNNNNNNNNNNNNNNNNNNNNNNNNNNNNNNNNNNNNNNNNNNNNNNNNNNNNNNNNNNNNNNNNNNNNNNNNNNNNNNNNNNNNNNNNNNNNNNNNNNNNNNNNNNNNNNNNNNNNNNNNNNNNNNNNNNNNNNNNNNNNNNNNNNNNNNNNNNNNNNNNNNNNNNNNNNNNNNNNNNNNNNNNNNNNNNNNNNNNNNNNNNNNNUAUAUAUAUAUAUAUGGUAAAUAUGGAAGCAAUUAUGAAAUAAUGAAGUCUAAAGAAAAAUGUGUACGUAUGGAUAAGAAUUAACAAGGAAGGCGCGUGUGAAUUAAAUAAGAAAUUCCAUGCAUUUUAGUUAAUGUGUCAAGAAUAACGUGUCAAUACAUUUGAGAAUGCCUAAUAUAAGAAUUAGUACGCAGGAACAUUUUAGAUGCGUUUGAAGGCAGUGUAAUUUUCUAGUAUAAAUAGAUGGAACCCUUGUAAGCUUCUACAAAAAAAUAAAUCAAAUUCAAAUUCCCCACACCCGAGGUCCUGCUUUCCCGAACUCUUCCACUUUUCCAAUAACAAAACUAUUAUUAAAUAAACCACGCUACAAGCGUGAGUUUAUGGCCCCAAUUUUAAACCAUUUUAAAUACUUUCGGGCAAGAAUAUAUAUUCGUUCUAAAUAUUUUACUUUGAUAUUUUUAUAAAAACGACAAACAUAAUUUUUAUAAGGAACUGUAAAGAUUAUUUAUAGUUUUAUAAUUAUGAACCACUAAAUUGCUGGUUUAUCAUUAUUAUACAACUAUUUUGACUUAUUCGUAUAAUCAAUAUUAUUGGUUUCUUGUUGGUAAAAACCUAGUAUUGUGUUAUAUACGUUAAUUGUGAUGUCCAUCAAGUAACUUGAGGUUUUAUACACACACUAUGCUAUCAAUAGCGCCCUAUAACGGUGCUGUAGCGACGUUAUAGCGUUUUGUAGCGUUACUGAACCGCUAUUUUAAAAAAGCAUAUACAAAUAGUGGUGGUGCUAUUAGCGACGCUAUUGACCGCGAAACUCAUCCGCGUUAUAGCGACGCUACAUCCACUUUUACAAUUUCGUACAUAUUGGACUACUUUGACAAAGAAAAAAUGAUUGUGUGUUAUUUCAAUAUUAAAUCUUUAUUUUUUUAAACUAGUCCACUACAUUUUUUGUCUUAAUAAGUCCAAAUAAUAAAUAUAAAUAAUUACAAACUACAAAUCAAAAAAUGACAACUUCCAUUUCUCGUCUGUUUCAGUACUUAGAAACCACGAACGACUUGAGCUGUAAUGACAUUUUGACACUUUUUAGUUUCCAUAUAACUAUAUUAGACUAUUAUAUAUAAAUUAUGUUAUGUUUUUAUAUGAUUUUUUAUGAUAUUAAUUCCAUAUAGUAUUAUUAAUCUAAUAUAUAAAUUUUGUAUAAAUAUAUAAUAUAAAUUAUAUAUAAUAUUAAAAAACCGUUAUACCAUGGCUAUGCCACCGCGAUAACCGUAAUUUCCAAUAGUGGCAUGUGACCGCUAUUGAAAUUCGGACCGCGAUAACUGCUUAGCACACACAUUCACUUAUUUUUCGAACCGAAAAUUAUACAUGAGAUAUACAAUUCAUCAACUAAAAAUGAAAUCUUAGUAAAACUCCUCUGACCUAUAUAUAACCACUAAUUUUGUGUAAGUGAGAAAGUUGUGUAUAGAUCUAUAUGGGUUGACACCCCACACGUGGUUUCUAGCUAUAACCGAUGGUUUGACAAAAACCCAUCAGGUGAUGAACUAUCCUUUUUUUGUGGGUUCAGCAUCAAUGAAGCAUGCGGAGUGUUUGAACUCAUGCACCCCUUUGUGACACCAAACAGAGGUCUUGAAUGUCAUAUAAAAGCGACUAUAGUCUAAAGUAGCACCUGUUCCACUCAAGAACAUUAUACUUGUCCGAUAUAAAAGUAUUAAUGUUAUGUAUAAGUACCACAAAAACUUAUACUUAGAGUGCUUGAACUAAUCUGGAUAUAAAAUUUAUACAAUAAGUAAACAAUUAUACCUAGAACACAAAACUAUUUAUAAGUCUGUAAACUUAUAAACUAUAUAGUUUGAGCAUGAACAUAUCUUUGAAACUGGUGAUGCAGCUGUUUACCUUUUAAAAAUAUUUUUUUUGAAGUACACAAAAUCAAUACAUGUGAGCUUGCCAACUUUAUGUUGAUGUUUUUUCAAAACGCAUGUAUUUUCAGGAACAUAGAAGCGGAAAUGUUACAACAGUAUCGAAGUUUUUGUUAUCCACUACUGUUACAGUUUUUUUGUAUGGAGACAUUUAACUGUUGAGACAUGUAUCAUAUUUUGGUUAAAAUAAUGUACUAGAAGGAACAUAACGAUGUAACUCCUAUUUAAUAUUAAUAUAGGUAUGUAGUUUUUAAUGUUAAAUAUAUAUUUAAUAAUUAUGAUCCAAAGAUGAAGUCGCAUAGCCCGGUGUUUCCGCCAGCAGCUAGGGGUGUGACAGAUUGGUAUCAGAGCUAUUGACUAUAGUAAACUAGUACUUUGUCAGGAAAGAAUAACUAUACAAUAAAAAAGUAUUAUUAAUUAUACUAUUAAAUGACUACUUACGGGAAUGGUGACAGGUUAACACACGUCGCUUGGGUUGCUGGAUUUCCAUUCGACUAUAUGCUAAAAUGAUCCUGCGCUCUGACUGUCCUAACUGGCCGCUGCCUUAUCAACUAGACUUGAAGUAACAAAUAAUAAUUAAUAAAACAUCCAAACAUAAAAAAGAUACAAGAUGUACAGUCAUAUAUAUUCUAACUAAAGUUUUAUUAGCACAUUGAUCGUACCACAAUUAAGUGUAGGUACACAACUAUAUUUUAUUAUGGUUAGAUCUCAUGAAAUAUUUAGUGUUGAAUCAAUAUUUGAUAGACUAAAAAUUUGGAGAUUUAGAAAGACUUGAAUAAAAUCACAGUGGCACUAAUAAAUCAACCAUAUUUUGCAUAUAGGAACCUUACAUGGGUAAUAGUCACGAGUUCAUAUAUGUGGAUAGCUCAGACGAGGAGCAUGAAAACCAUUUUCUUGGUGACCCUUACUUCCCAAGAUGAGGAGUCAAUGGAGGCCAAAGAGUCAAUUGCAUCAACUCUACCAUCAAUGAGUGUGAUAUAACAUUCGGUUCCUGGAGGUCCCAAGAUGAAGUGUACGACACACAAAUCUAUUCCCAAAUAGAUGAAGAUAAAAAGGAACCAGAAAGAAGAAUCUUCUAACCUAUAGAGAAUGCAAAAUGAAUCUUCAUGGCUUGCAGGCAUGUUGAAUCAACAGGUGAAGGAAGAAAGAGUUACCAGCAGAUACGGAGUCAGACAAACAUCUCGAGCAUGUUCCCCCCACCUCCUAUAGAUAUCGAUACUCCGCCUCAAUUAUUGGAGCAUAACAUGAGGCUCGAAAAUCAAAUCCAAACCAUAAGCAAUGGACUAAGUGACGUGGAAGGAAACAUUGUUCGUCUUUUAGGAUGAGUGAGAAGGCUAGAUGGUUAACGUACCAAGGAUCGGGAGUCGGUAAUGGAUGUACAUCAUCGCAUCAACCAUGUAUAUAACGACAUGAUCUCUUAUGAAAGUAGAAUUGUAGAGCUAGAACUCUAUAACCAGGCCCCAACCCCUCAAGCAAUAGGAAUAAAAGAACGAACCCUAUACCUCGAACAAAGAAACAAGGCGUUAGAAUACCAGAUGGUUGAAGUAACCGAUACUCUAGGUCGUCACCUUGAUUUUUGGUAGAGGGUUCGAUGAUGGUAGCAUAGGAUAGAAAUAGUUAUAAGAAAAAGUAAAAGCAAGAAUAUAGUUAAUCUUUUAGGUUUUAAAUUAUGUAUAGAAAAUUUCCCCUAGUCAUAUGUAAGAUAGUUUGAAUAAAACAUUAUAAUCAUCAGAUGUGAAUCAAGUAUGAAGCAUAUUAUUACAAUCAAAUGGCAAAUUAUACUGUGAAAUUUAUAUGGGUGCAUGAUUAUUCCAACUUAAAAGUUUUUAAGAUUUCUUGUAAAACAUUGCAUUAACUGAUGUGCACAAAAGUACCCACUAAUUUUAAUAUUUAUAACCUAACAAACUUAGACUAUCUAUGCACUUAUAGGCAGUGUACCUAGUCAGAUUACAGUAUAGCUUAGGUAAGUCGGGUGUCGAUCACAGGGAACGGUGGAUUAAUUUAAUAUAUUUGAUUAUAGGUUACAGGUUACACGAAAAUAAUAAAAUGGUUUAAUAAAUCAAUUAACAAUUCUCGAUAAACUAACAGGAAAGCACAUCUCUUCAGGUACUUGGGUUUAGAUAAAUUACACCUUAAAACAUAGACAAUUGCAUACACAAACUCAUUUAUUCAUGUUCACCGAUUCCUAAAAUGAUUAGAUUCGCGUUCACUAUAACUAAUCCUUUAGCAAACAAGUCAAUUCAAACAGUGAUCAGUUGAUUAAACUAACAUGUUUCCUAGUGUUCAGUUCGUAUCAAGCAAGACUUGUAAAUAUAGUUAAUUAAUGUAAACAUUUAAUCAACCUCUUGUUGAUGGUCAUCAAACAAGGCUCACACAUUAACUUACUUAUCCUCAAAUUAAUUCUAGUUUCACAUUCGUUAUUUCUAGUCUUAUAAUCUCGAUGGUCAUCAAAAAUCAUAAGAGACAAGCAAUCGAGCAGAUGUUCAAGCAACUCAAUUUACUUAACAAUUAACAGAAAAUAAUCAUCAUUAACACAUAAGGAUCUUUUAACAAGCUUGGCAAGAUAAAUUAAACACAAAUAAACUAUUUAAUAUAGCAAUUAGUCUAAUAAUCAAAGCUUCAUUCAAUCAUAAACACAAAGUAAAAGGUUUUUACACCUAAAUCAGAAACUAAAUACAGAAAAGUACCACAAUAGAAUGCUAAACAUGGUCACGUCAGCAAACCAUAUGAUAAUCAACAUGUAUCCGCUCUCCAAUCCUUCCGAUCUCCGCUCCCGUUAGCUUAACGGCCUUCCGGCCGCCUUCUAGACCCUCAAAACGGCUUAACAGAAGUUAAUUGUCGACUAAAUUAGGUUAGAAGUCGAAUCCCCCUUCCUGGUUAGCUAAAAAUCGACAUUUAUAGUCUUUGUAGCCGACCUAAGUACGCUGGGCGUACUUAGGAUUACGCAGCGCGUACAUAGGAUUUACUCGCGAUCAAGUCUAUCCGGUGCAAGGGUGUACGCGGGGCGUAACCUUACGUUACGCGGGGCGUACUCGCUACCUCAGCAUUCUUUUCUUUCUUUUAGCUUCUAAGCCCGGUUUCCGCUUCAGUCUUUUCUUUUGUGCUUUAUCGACAACAAAUAGCUGCAAAACAUAAUUCAAAGUAUUAUGAGUACUUUUUAGUUCUAAAAUAGAAUAAAUAAGGCCAAAAUAUUAAGAUAAAGUGCAUAAAAAUAUAUAUAAAAAUACACAUAUCAAAAUACCCCACACUUAGCCUUUGCUUGCCCCCAAGCAAAUUUACUUUUAUUUUACCAAUAUCGCACUAAACAAUCCAUUUAAAACUCAGCCAUUAUGCCAAGACCUCAACGCGUACAUUUGUGUCUAAUAUUUUCCUAAAGUACCCCCCCAUAUUUUAAAUACUCACAAUCUUCAUAAACACUCGCCCACUUUUUCCGAACAAUGCUCAUUUUAUGCAACCCUCCGAAUCCAUCCGCAGAAAACCUCCUAACCUCAAGGUAUUUUUAGUUGAGCAACCUAAGCAUACAUAAUCUAGAAUUACAAUUUACGAUACCACUAUGGAGCUUUAUUUGAAUUCUUCAUUUCUUUGGCAUUUUGAUCUUUGAUUUCUUUGAAUUCAACACCUUAUUUGAAUUGAUUUCUGGUAUCUUCAACUUUUUGGAUUUCUUCAGAAUUUUGAUCUUUUGAUCUUCACUUUAUUUGCUCCAAAAUUCUUCAAACUUUACUCGUAAUUCUCUCUCUUUUUUUUUUUCACAUGUAACUCACUUUUUUUUUCACUCAAAACCCUACAUGCUUAAGCAGAGGCGCUCAACCUCAACCUUUAUUGGUUAAUGAUAAUAAUUUUCCUGGAUACAUUUCAGGUUUAGGCUGCUAAACAUAUUGCAUCCCUCAAACCAAGCGGGGUUGUGUUUUUGUUCCAUGAUUUCACUAAAAUAAGGGAGGCCACAAAUGCACUAUAACGUAUAUUGGCUCAACUAAACAUUUGAGUUCUCAUCGGAUCAUUUCAUACAAUAUUAGCAAAAUUUAAAUUAUCACUAGAUUUUUCUAAAUUAAACUAUUAUUUCAAGUUUUAAAAUUUUUAAAUUUUCCAAAUUCUAGCAAUUUCAUUUUUUUCUCUUAAUUUUAAUUUACUUUUACCGAUCCCCUACCCCACACUUAUUUCAUACAAUGCCCUCAUUGUAUGCUAAAACAAAUUAAGAACAUAAAAAAGGAGAAAAAGGAACAGACUCCCCUGGGUAGUUGUGGCGAGAUCGAAUGGGGCUGCUACAAGUUGCUUCAAAUAUCGCCGAAAGACUGAAAACUGGAACUGCUGCCUCUGAAUUUGCCGAAAAAUAAAAUCAAGACCGCCAUCUUCAAAAAUGUGGUGCAAAUAAAUGCAAAGCAUAGUAACCAUGACGUGGGAAAGUGUCGACCACGUCGUCUCGUCAAGAAUGACAUCCUCUACUCGCGAUGAAAAAUCCCCCAUAACAUAGGAAAGUGUCAACCAUGUCGUGGCAGCCGGGACGAUACUUCUUCCUCGCGUCGAAAUAAAACUCUAUAGUAUGGGAACUGCUCAUCCAUAUCAUAAGAGUCAAAACAUCGUAACAAUGCCAAUCUUCAAAACGAUCGCUCACGAAAUAAAUAUGCACCCCACACUUAUGACAAAUCGUGGGUCUCGACUAUAAUCUUCAACUCUCAUACCGCUCUCUCUAGCAACAGUCGGACCUAGCUGCUGAACUUACUGCCAGCUUCCUAAGGGCGAAAAUUCUGCAGAAAUCUAAACAACCAAAGAGCAUCAACAUGGAAAACAAACUAAAUCAAACUAAAUCAAAGUUUAAUUACAUACCAAAUACUAAAAACUAAACUAAACUAAAAAUAACACAAAACAAAUAAAACAAAAUAAAAAGGAUCACUCGUCAUCUCCAUCAUCAUGUGGCUGUGUCCCAGAAGUACCGGCCCCAUCAAAUCGUGACUGGAAUGGUGGUGGAAAGGGAACCGAAUACUGAAACCCCUGAUGGGCAAAGAAUGCGUUCAACGCAUUCCCAUACCACCGCUGUUGCAUGUCCACAUGUGCAACAUACUCGCUAAGACGAUCAAUGCCCUGAGCCAGAUAGCGCAUAUCAAUCUCCCGCUCAGGUCCCUGCUGCGCUCCCCGAGGAGCAGGUCGACGCCGCUGGACCCGUCUCGGCUGUGGCUCGGCAGCACCCUCCUCAUCUGCCUCAUCAUCUGCUCGAACCCUCAAAACACCAUCACCACCCCGCUCUAAUACGCGCAUCGACUCCAAUAGCUGAAGACUCAUCGGCCUCAUGUCGUGAAACACCAUCGAUCUCGUGAUCUCACGUGUCAUCAACUGGUAUGAUCGAGCUAACCGUGUGAUAAAAUGCCCUCCGCAUAUCGGGCUAUCUCCCCUAAGUCCCCUGGCCCUCCGUCCCAAGUAUGCAGCUAAAGCAACUGGAAGGUUCAGGUGCCUCCCUGGAGUAACUAGUGCCCAUAGGAAAUACAGGUCCGUCGAAGGCACUCUCUCACUAUUCUUGUGAUGCGUGAGAGACAUAGAAAUCAACCGGUGCAACAUUCGGUAUGUAGUGGACCGAAUCAUCCCCCCUCGAGCGGUAGAUGGUGUAUAAACUCCUCCCGUAAUCUCGGCCCAAAAUGUGUUCUCAUUAUAGUCCGCUGGCCGUUCCGUGAGACAGUCAGCAAGGAAUGUCGGGAAGUGGACACUCCUCGUCUCAUCGGCUGUGUAAAUACCCACCCGAGUCGCAAGCUCUAUCACGCUGCAUUCCCGGCUCACUCCUCCCAGUCUGAAAGCAAAGGCUGUCCUGUCAUCGAGUGCCUUCCUAGGAUCAUAGGAAACUGUAGCGUAGAACUCCAGCAAAAACUCCCGAUACACAGGCUCCUGGAUCCUGAACAAACGCGCCCAUCCCUGACACACAAACAAUUCCACACCACUCGCGUCCGAGUGUGUGUAUUGCAAAAAUUCCUGGAUCAAUGCAGCAAGUCCAGUCCUGGUAGCCAACUCCCAGUCGAAUGAGGGUGCAAUAUCAAUCUCCUUUGUGAGAAGCAAGCUCAAGUUGGUGACAUAACGCGCCCGGGUAGCAUCGUUCAGCGUUUGCGGAAAUUGUAAAUAGCGAUGAUCGGUCACAUCCUCGGGAGGGUUGGUUCUUUGUGCCCUUCGAGCCAUAAUCUGCACACAUUAACACAAAACACAAAACCAAACCAAAUAUCACAGCAUUAAUAGAUUUUUAAAAAAAAAAAAUGGAGCUGGAUAAGGGUAGUACGCUGGGCGUACGUCCAGCGUACGCUGGGCGUACGUCCAGGCUUGAGAUUCUGUGUCCUGGUCCGUUUGCUUAUGCUAAAAUCAUAAACCAUAUCCAUAUUCACCGAAUUCAAAUAUAUACGCAGGUGGUCCAGUAAGGUCAAACACAUGGGGGAACCAACCUUGAGGUCCAAGGCAGUAAAAGAAAAAAAAACGGGACCUCCUAAUAUGAAUCAAUCCCUAUGAAAACAUUUAACAGGGAAACAUGCAUAACAAUCAAAAAUUCGAACCCAGAAUCAAGAACUCGCGGUCACGGGGGUACGCAUUGCGUACGACCCCAAACUCGAAUCGGUAAACGUGGGACGGAAUUAAGACGAAAUUAAGCUCGAGGGUUUAAUGUAUUAACCGAGAUCGGUCCAUUCAAGCCCUAAUCAACACAUACAUUUGCAAAAUCGGCCCUAAUUCGAAAAAUGUAUAAACCCUAGAAUUCGAGCAAAAGCAUAAUGCAGCUCAUUUUAUCGAUUUAAACACAAAUCAAAGCCAUUGAGUAACCGAAAAACUUACCCGUGUGGUGGAUUUAACAAGAAACGAGAUAAAAUCGAGAAUCUUUGGAGAGAGUCGCCGUCACAGUUCUUGCGAGAAAGGAGAAGAGGGAAAAGAAUAAAGAAGAGGUCAAAGGGUCAAAAGAUAUACCUGGUCGCCGUGUUACGCGGGGCGUAACUCAAGAGUACGCGGGGCGUACCUCAACCCCCUGAAAUGUUCAUUCGCGAUCCGGGGUAUAUUANGAUCAGAUGUUGAAUUACGCUAGGCGUAAUGUAACUUACGCGGGGCGUAGUUUAAUUGAAAAUUUCUUUUUUCUUUAAUUAAACUUCUUUUUCUUUUUAAUUAUUUAAUCUAGGGGACUUAAAACUUAUUUAUUUUUUUCCUUUUUAAUUUCUUCAGCUAAUGAUGUCUUCACGAUGAGUGAUAAAAAAAAUUAAAAAUGUGAGACAUCAUAACCACUUAUCUUUGUCGAGAUCAAACGACAACGGUUGAUCAAAAACCUUUGCAUGCAAGAAUUGGUUACGAAAAUACCCGCUUUCGGGACCCGUUAGAAUAUUUCCCUUGUUUUCCUUGCACCUUUAACUAAAAGCGGAACAAGAAGUGACCUAACUAGUCAAGAACAGCAAGAGCUCGGUCUUCCACUUAACCACCACAAUACGCCUUGCUAUACUACGCCUCAUGGAUUGAGUAGGACAAAUCAACAAAGUAGUAGGCUAAGCAGGUCAAGAAUUCCCUAGUCGCUUUCAUUCCCGAAACCCAUGCCAAAAGUAAAGUCAAGCAAUGUGUACAAUCCCAAAUUCCUGCAAAAUAAAAACAAGAACCUUCCCGACAAGUGAAAUGAUAUCAUCGAAAAUCAAACUAAAAAUAAAAACUAAAAAUAAAAACUAACUAAAAACAAAUAACGAAUAAUCAAAUAAAAUAAAUUAAUGACAAGCCGUUCCCCGGCAACGGCGCCAAAAACUUGAUGUGCACAAAAGUACCCACUAAUUUUAAUAUUUAUAACCUAACAAACUUAGACUAUCUAUGCACUUAUAGGCAGUGUACCUAGUCAGAUUACAGUAUAGCUUAGGUAAGUCGGGUGUCGAUCACAGGGAACGGUGGAUUAAUUUAAUAUAUUUGAUUAUAGGUUACAGGUUACACGAAAAUAAUAAAAUGGUUUAAUAAAUCAAUUAACAACUCUCGAUAAACUAACAGGAAAGCACAUCUCUUCAGGUACUUUGGUUUAGAUAAAUUACACCUUAAAACAUAGACAAUUGCAUACACAAAUUCAUUUAUUCAAUGUUCACCGAUUCCUAAAAUGAUUAGAUUCGCGUUCACUAUAACUAAUCCUUUAGCAAACAAGUCAAUUCAAACAGUGAUCAGUUGAUUAAACUAACAUGCUUCCUAGUGUUCAGUUCGUAUCAAGCAAGACUUGUAAAUAUAGUUAAUCAAUGUAGACAUUUAAUCAACCUCUUGUUGAUGGUCAUCAAACAAGGCUCACACAUUAACUUACUUAUUCUCAAAUUAAUCCUAGUUUCACAUUCGUUAUUUCUAGUCUUAUAAUCUCGAUGGUCAUCAAAAAUCAUAAGAGACAAGCAAAUCAAGCAGAUGUUCAAGCAACUCAAUUCACUUAACAAUUAACAGAAAAUAAUCAUCAUUAACACAUAAGGAUCUUUUAACAAGCUUGGCAAGAUAAAUUAAACACAAAUAAACUAUUUAAUAUAGCAAUUAGUCUAAUAAUCAAAGCUUCAUUCAAUCAUAAACACAAAGUAAAAGGUUUUUACACCUAAAUCAGAAACUAAAUACAGAAAAGUACCACCAUAGAAUGCUAAACAUGGUCACGUCAGCAAACCAUAUGAUAAUCAACAUGUAUCCGCUCUCCAAUCCUUCCGAUUUCCGCUUCCGUUAGCUUAACGGCCUUCCGGCCGCCUUCUAGACCCUCAAAACGGCUUAACAGAAGUUAAUUGUUGACUAAAUUAGGUUAGAAGUCGAAUCCCCCCUCCUGGUUAGCUAAAAACCGAUAUUUAUAAUCUUUGUGGCCGACCUAAGUACGCUGGGCGUACUUAGGAUUACGCAGCGCGUACUCAAGAUAAUCACGCGAUCAAGUUUAUCCGGUGCAAGCAGGUACGCGGGGCGUACUCGCUACCUCAGCAUUCUUUUCUUUCUUUUAGCUUCUAAGCCCGGUUUCCACUUCAGUCUUUUCUUUUGUGCUUCAUCGGCAACAAAUAGCUGCAAAAUAUAAUUCAAAGCAUUAUGAGUACUUUUUAGUUCUAAAAUAGAAUAAAUAAGGCCAAAAUAUUAAGAUAAGGUGCAUAAAAAUAUAUAUAAAAAUACACAUAUCAUUAACCCUUGUAGUCAUUCAAAAUUAUAUAAAAAGUUACAAUGCUUCAUAAAAGCUUAUAUUCUUCUUACUAAAUACGAUAGGACGAAUAUAAUGCCUCCAAGAAGGAAAAAAGAUCGAUUUAACAAGAUUCGACCACCUCCAGAACAACCGAUGCAAGAACCGCCUUUAGUGUUAAUUCCACCAAUGGAUCCGAUAAUGCUUGAUCAAAUGAUAGCACAAAGAGUCACAAAAGUAUUGGAAAACUUUGAAGCAAGCCAUGGUCGACAUAGGAAUAAAUCCCCUAGAAGUAAUAUAGGGUAUACGAGAACUUGCAUGUACAAAGAUUUUAUGAAUUGAAAACCAAAGAACUUUUAUGGAACUAAAGGAGUUGUUGGAUUGACAAGAUUGAUUGAAAAGACAGAAUAUGUCUUCCAAAUAAGCUUCUAUCCAAAUGAUUGCAAAGUAUGAUUUGCAUCUUGUACUUUUUCUGAUGCAACAUUAACAUGGUGGAAUACACAUGCUGACACAAUGGGCAUUAGUAAUGGAAACUCCAUGAAUUGGGAGGAUUUGAAGAUGAUGUUAAUAGAAGAGUAUUUUCCUAAAGGCGAGGUGCAGAACCUUGAAAAGGAGCUAUGGAACCUAACAAUGAAGGGUUCUGAGAUAAACACUUAUAUUUCUUGGUUUAAUGACCUUGUUGUGAUGUGUUUGGGAUUUGUAACCCCAUAAUACAAGCAAAUUGAACAAUGCAUUUGGCGUCUAGCACCACAAAUUUGAAAGAUGGUUAUCGCUUCAAAACCCACAACCUAUUAUAGUACAAAGCGCAUAGCUUAUCGUCUAACCAACAUAGAGAUCCGAGGGGGAUCUAUGGUAGUAAAAGUUAAGCCUCCCAAAUCCGGAGCAUACAAGCAUAAGUUUAAUGGAAGAAACCCAAGGCAAUCAUCUGGAAAGAAACAAGAAGUGGCAACCGUUUAUGUCGCUACAACAACAACAACAACAACAACACCCAUGUCACCAAAGCAAUACAAAUGAAAGAAUUCACUAUGUCAUCAGUGCUACUGUCAUCACCCAAGUGAUUGUUUUAUUUGCACAAAGUGUAAAAAGAAGGGGCACACUACCAAUUACUAUAGAAGCAUGGCACCUGCAAUAUUAAAUAAAAAAAACAAACACAAGAACGAGCUCUGGUGGAGGAAAAACAAGUUACGAGUGUGGAGAAGUUGGACACUUCGGGAGGGAAUGUCCAAAAUUGAGGAUUUGUAAUUGGAACUAGAGACGUUAUCCUUGACCCUUUUGUGGUAACUAGUAUGUUCCUCAUAAAUAACUUAUUUGCUAUAAUACUCUUCAACUCUGGAGCUGAUAGGAGUUUUAUUACUCCAACAUUUAGGCACCAUUUAAAUCAUGAGUCUAGUAAAUAAAAAGAAUAUGAAGUAGAAAUGGCUAACGAGCAAAAUGAAAUCACCCAAUAAAUUUUAGAAAAUAUCGUUGUAACUCUAAAUAAUCAUACUUUUCAUGUCAACCUCAUGCUAAUGACUAUUAGGAUCUUUGUCAUCAUCAUAGACAUGGAUUGGUUAUCUUUACACCAUGUUGAAGUCCAAUGCUAUGAAAAAGGCAUACGAUUACCCUAACCCAACGGCGAAGCCCUAAUUAUCUAUGGGGAUAAGUCUGGGAAAAACCUCAAAGUUAUUUCUUGCAGCAAGGCUCAGAAAUAUCCAUACAAGGAAUGUAGCGCAUUCUUAGCUCACAUUAUAUAUAAGAGAAGCAAAACAAAAGAAAUAAAAAACAUACCUCGAGUAUAUGACUACCAAGAUGUGUUUCCCGAAAUCUACCUGGAAUACCAUCCGUUCGACAAGUUGAAUUUCAAAUUGACUUAAUUGCAAGAGCAAGCUCUAUCUGAAAUGCAAGAACUAUCUAGCCAACUACAAGAACUUCAUGACAAAGGAUUUAUAAGACCAAACUUCUCACCUUCGAGAGCACUAGUCUUUUUUUUAAGAAUAAGGUUAGAUCCUUUUGAAUGUGUAUUGCUUAUUGGGAGCUUAACAAAUUAACGAUCAAGAACCGUAAUCCGCUUUCAAUAAUUGAUGAUCUAUUCAAUCAACUUCAUGGAUCUAGCUACUACUCAAAGAUAGAUCUCAUAUCAGGAUACCAUCAACUCAGAGUGUAAGAAGACGAUGUUCCAAAAACAAUAUUUAGGACUCGGUAUGGUCAUUAUGAGUUCCGAUUUCUGCCUUUUGGAUUGUCAAACGCCUCAGCAGUGUUCAUAGAUCUCAUGAAUCAUGUUUGCAAACCGUACUUGGAUAAAUUUGUUAUUAUAUUUAUCGAUGAUAUAUUGAUAUAUUUAUGAACCAGUGAAGAAAAUGGCUAACACUUGCAAAUAAUCUUGGAACUACUAAGAAAAGAAAAUUUGUAUGCCAAAUUCUCCAAAUGAGAUUUUUGGAUAAGAGAAGUACAAUUUUUACGCCAUGUGGUUAGUAACAAAGGUAUCCAUGUCGACCCUUUCAAGACUGAAGCAAUUAAGAAUUGGGAAGAACCAAAGAUACCAACAGAAGUGCGCCAAUUCUUAGGGCUUGCUGGAUAAUACCAGAGAUUUAUAGAGAAUUUGUCCAAGAUAGCCAAGCCACUCACAACACUAACACAGAAAGAGACAAAGUUCAACUAGAAGAUAAACAAGAAUCUGUUUUCCAGGGACUAAAACAAUUGUUACGUAGUGCACCAAUCAUAUCCAUCCCAGAUGGGACAAAAGAUUUCAAACUAUAUUGCAACGCAUCAUAUCAAGGAUUGAGGCGUGUGUUGAUGCAAAGGGAUAAGGUUAUUGCUUACGUGUCUCGACAACUUAAAGAAAAUAAGAAUAACUAAACUACCCAUGACCUUGAAUUGGGAUACGUAGUUGUUGCUUUGAAAAUAUAGAGACACUACUUAUAUGGUACGAAGUGUACCAUAUUUACUGAUCACAGGAGUCUCCAACACAUCUUCGACCAAAGAGACCCUAACAUGAAAAAAUGAAGAUAGGUUUAAUUGUUGAAUGAUUACGAAUGUGAAAUUAUUUAUCAUCUCGCAAGGCCAAUGUAAUUGCAGAUGCCUUGAGCCGAAAUGAAUAUAUAAAACCCCACCGAGUACAAGCAUUAACCAAGACUAUCCAUUACAACCUUACCACACAGAUUCGAGAAACUCAACUUGAGGCUCUAAAAGAACAAAACAUUAAGAAUGAAGCUCUGUGGGAGCUUAGUCUUCGACAAAGCUCACAAGUCCAAAUAUUUCGUGCAUCCAGGCUCUGACAAAAUGUAGUUAGAUUUAGAAGAACAGUAUUGGUGGCUAAAGAUGAAGGCUGUGAUUGCCACUUAUAUAAGAAAAUUCCUAGUUUUUUCUAAAGUAAAGGCAGAACAACAAAAUCCCUUGGUUUUACAUCAACAACUGGAAAUACCUUAGUGGAAGUAGGAGCAUAUAUCGAUCACCUUCAUAACCAAACUACCCAAAAAUCCUAGUGGUUUCGACACUAUUUGGGUAGUAGUCGAUAGAUUAAUUAAGUCCACUCAAUUCCAGCUAAUCAAAUAGACUGACAAGAUGGAAAACCUACACAUAAUUCAUCUCAAGGAAAUCAUCAAAUUGCAUGGAGUUCUGAUUUCCAUUAUCUCAUACAUAGAUAGUAGAUUCACUUCACGUUUAUGGCAAUCACUGCAAAAUCUUUGGGAACACGCUUAGAUAUAAGUACAACUUAACAUCUACAAACCGAUAGUCAGAGUGAAAGGACCAUCCAAACUUUGGAAGAUAUGCUCUAAGCCUAUGUGAUAAACUUUGGAAAUGAUUGGGAUACUCAUGUACCGUUAAUUGAGUUUUCUUAAAUUAAUAGUUAUCACAACAUUAAGGUCGUACUGUUGGAUGCUCUUUAUGGAUGCAAAUGUCGUUCCCCACUAUGUUGGGCAUAAGUUGGAGAUGCACAAUUUGCCAAAAACCAUACAAGUGAUACACUAUGUACUGGGCCUGAAAUAAUCUAUGAAACAACCGAAAAGAUGGUGAAAAUCAAUGACCGACUAAAGCCUGCACGUGAUUGUCAAAAGAGUUAUGCUGAUGUGAGACGUAAGCCUCUAGAAUUUCAAAUUGGAGAUAGAGCCAUUUUGUAUGUCUCCGCUUGGAAAGGAAUAAUAAGAUUUGGAAAACAAGGAAAAAUAAUUCCACGAUACAUAGGACCAUUUGAAAUUCUUGAAAGAACUGGUCAUGUCACAUAUAAACUAAAGCUACCUCAAGACUUAGACAAUGUGGACAAUGUUUGUCACAUAUCAUAUCUCAAGAGGUGUCUAUAUGAUGACACUCUUGAUGUACAUCUCGAUGAGAUACAAAUCAACACCAAACUUAACUUUAUAGAAGAACUUGUCGAAACCAUGGAUCGAGAGAUCAAACGAUUGAAACAAAAUCGUAUUCCUAUACUUAAGGUGUAGUAGAACUCUCUAAGAGGAUCAAAAUUUACUUGGGAACGCAAGGACCAAAUGAAACUAAAAUAUCCCCAAUUGUUCAACAAUUUCCCGACCACAAGUUAAAAUUUAGGACGAAAUUCCCUUAACAGGGGGAGAAUGUCACAAUUGUUAAGCUAAGUCAAUGAACGUCACAUAUCAACGUGAUGUACAUCAAAUGUAAUGAGCUUAAAUUGUAAUCUUUAACAAAUUUUAGUUAAAAUACAAAAUUUAUAUUAUUAUUUUCCAAAAAUACACGUCAACCUGAUUCCAAAAAUAUAAAAUUCGUAUAAAUUUGACUUCGUAUUAGGACGUUUUGAAUUAGAAAUUCGUAUUUUUUUUAAUAAUAAUUACCAAAUGCAUUUUUACAACAUUAUUUAUACAAGUUUUCAUUUAUUAGAUCUAGACGAGUGAUAAAACAAUAUAUUACUCAUUUUGCUAAAUAUUCUGAUAAAAACUUUAUGUUUGGAAUUUAUUAAUUUGGAAAAUAUGUCUAUAUAUUUUGAUGUUAUGAAAUAAUAUUGAAUUAGUAAUAUUAUGUGUUUUAUGUUUAAANNNNNNNNNNNNNNNNNNNNNNNNNNNNNNNNNNNNNNNNNNNNNNNNNNNNNNNNNNNNNNNNNNNNNNNNNNNNNNNNNNNNNNNNNNNNNNNNNNNNNNNNNNNNNNNNNNNNNNNNNNNNNNNNNNNNNNNNNNNNNNNNNNNNNNNNNNNNNNNNNNNNNNNNNNNNNNNNNNNNNNNNNNNNNNNNNNNNNNNNNNNNNNNNNNNNNNNNNNNNNNNNNNNNNNNNNNNNNNNNNNNNNNNNNNNNNNNNNNNNNNNNNNNNNNNNNNNNNNNNNNNNNNNNNNNNNNNNNNNNNNNNNNNNNNNNNNNNNNNNNNNNNNNNNNNNNNNNNNNNNNNNNNNNNNNNNNNNNNNNNNNNNNNNNNNNNNNNNNNNNNNNNNNNNNNNNNNNNNNNNNNNNNNNNNNNNNNNNNNNNNNNNNNNNNNNNNNNNNNNNNNNNNNNNNNNNNNNNNNNNNNNNNNNNNNNNNNNNNNNNNNNNNNNNNNNNNNNNNNNNNNNNNNNNNNNNNNNNNNNNNNNNNNNNNNNNNNNNNNNNNNNNNNNNNNNNNNNNNNNNNNNNNNNNNNNNNNNNNNNNNNNNNNNNNNNNNNNNNNNNNNNNNNNNNNNNNNNNNNNNNNNNNNNNNNNNNNNNNNNNNNNNNNNNNNNNNNNNNNNNNNNNNNNNNNNNNNNNNNNNNNNNNNNNNNNNNNNNNNNNNNNNNNNNNNNNNNNNNNNNNNNNNNNNNNNNNNNNNNNNNNNNNNNNNNNNNNNNNNNNNNNUAUAUAUAUAUAAUAAAUCCAUUUAAUUAAUAAAUGGAUAAUGACAUAUAAUAAAACGAAAAUAUAUAUGAAAAAUGUGCAAGCUAUUUCAUAACGAAGUCCAAAGAAAAAUAUGUACGUAUGCAUGGAUAAGAAUCAAGAAGGAAGAUGCGUGUGAGUCAAAUUAAAAAUUUCAUGCAUUUUAAUUGAUGUGCAGUACGUAGGAUCAUUUUAAUGUGUGUUGAGGCGGUGUAUCUUUUUAGUAUAAGUAGACGCAACUCCUAUAAGCUUCUAUCAUUAUAAAUCAAACUCAAAUUCCCCACACCUGAGGUCCUGUUUUCCCGAACUCUCGACCACUUUUCAAAAACAACAGGAACUAUUGUUAAAUAAACCAUAUGGCACAAGGAUAAAUUUAUGACCUCAUUUUUAAACCAUUUUAAACGUUCUCGGUGGAGAAUACAUGCUCGUUAUAAAAUUUUUACUUGAUAUUUUUAGAAAAAACAACAAAUGCAAUAUUUAUAACGAACCCUAAAGAUUAUUUAUACUUUUAUAAUUAUCAAGCGCUAAAUUGCUAGUUUAUCAUUAUUAUACAUCUAUUUGAACUUAUUAAUAUAAUCGCUAUUGUUGGUUUUACGAUGGUAAAAUCCUAGUAUUGCUUUAUAUAUACAAUAUUUGUACUUUCAUGUAGUAACUUGAGGUUUUAGACACACACACAUACAUUCACUUAUUGUUCGAACCGAAAAGUCUACAUGAGAUAUACAAUUCAUCAACUAAGUAUGAAAUCUUAGUAAAAUUCCUCUGACUUGUAGCGAAGAAUCUCGUGUGAGCGAGCAAGAUGUGUAUCUAUAUGGGUUGACACCCCCACAUGUGGUUGCUAGCUACAACCCAUGGUUUGACGAAACCCACCGGGUGACGAAAUGUCCUUUUGUUUGUUGGUUCAACACUGAUGUAACGAAUAAUAUUUGUUGACAAACACAAUUCGAAACUUGCUCCAUAGUAAGUAUUGUAACUUUGACUUCCCAAACUCACAUUACUCACCAUCAAACAAUCACCACCGCUUUCAUUCUCAAUCUAUUUCGCAACAUAACAGGUUCCAUGUGUUGGCUUGCGAAACUCAUCAUCUUCCGAAUCCAUCGAACUCACUUCUACAUUUCCAUCAUCACUGUCUUCUUCCCCAGUCACAAAAGCCUUCCCAAUAAUAUUCAAUUUGGAAAGAUCUACAAUCUUCUGCACAUCAUAUGCCUCAUCUUUUUUAUCUCCUUCUUCACAUUUUGUUUUCUCAACAUGUGUUCCUUCAUGAAAUGGUUCUUACCAUUACUGUAAUAUCCUAAAAACACCAAUAAAAGUUUUCAUUUUUAAACAUCAAAACCAUACAUCAAUAUUUGUUUGCUUAAUAUCAGUCAUAGUAAAAAGUAUCACAAUCAUCAGAGUAAAACAAUAAUCAUCAGUGUGGAAAAUCAUCGGGGGAUGCGGUAUAGUUAAGUCGGGUCCUUCCCUUUGGAACUGGAAGUACCUGAAAAUCUUUAAACCACAAAAUCGUAAGCACAAAGCUUAGUUAAUUCCCUAAAAUACCACAUACCAUACAUAUCAGUGGGCCUACCCCUAUGUGAAUUAGAUUAUCCAAGCAUAGUCUUACAAUCACUCCCAAAUUACAGCCCAAACGAAACUUUCUUGCAUGAUCCAACCAUGUUCUUCCAUGCAAGUCACAAAGACAAACAAGGGUUGUGAGCCAAGCAAAGUCUUUCAUACCAACGAUACAUCACCUUGUCCACCCGAGCAAUAAAUUUGAAGGGACCAAUAUAUACGAGGUCCAACUUGCCACGUUUUCAGAACCAAAUGACACCUUUCCAAGGUAACACCUUCAGAAGAACAAAAUCUUCAACCAAAAACUUGAGGUCUACACGUCGCUUGUCAUCAUAGCUCUUCUGGUGGUUUUGCGUAGUCUACAACCGAUCAUGCACCUGAUGUAUCAACUUUGUGGUCUUGAGUACUACCUCAUUAUUCCCCAUAACUUGAUUCCCGGCCUCGCCCCAUAAAACUUUGAUCCGACGUUUCUUUUCAAAAAACAUCGUGAAGGGAGGUCGAUCAGUACUGACAUGGUAACUGUUGUUGUAGGAGAACUUGCCCAAUGGAAGAUAAAUGUCCUAAAUCUUAUCAAAGUCUAACACACAUGCCCUGAGAAUAUCCUCGAGCGUAUAAAUAGUCCGCUCACUUUAUUUGUUGGUCUGAGGGUGGUAUACAAUGCUGAAAAGUAGCUGAGUACCCAACUCUUCAUGGAAUUUUCUCCAGAACCUAGAGGCGAAGCGAACAUCACGAUCUGAAACCAUAAAAAUCUGUAACACGUGUCGAACGAUUACCUCCAUGAUGUAGAUGUCAACCAAAUUAUCGGUGGAUAUACUCUCAACGAUAGGUAUUAAAUGAGGAAAUGACCGAGAUAGAAUCAACCCUGUAAGUCGUCCUUGACAACUCUAUGAUAAAAUCCAAGGUAAUUUCCUCCUAUUUCUACAUAGGAAUGGGAAACGGCUGCAUCUUGCCAUGUGGUCUCUGAUGUUUGACCUUAACUUCCGGCAAGAAAAGCACCCCUCCACAUACCAUGUUAUUCCCAUCUUCAUGCAAGACCACUAGUAGCUCAAUCUCAUGUUUCUAUACAUCUUUGUGGCCUCCGGAUGGAUCGAAAACUUCAUCUUGUGAGCUUUGUCCAAUAAUAUCUUCCUAAGCCCACUAGCAACUGGGACCCAUAAUUUGUCGCACUGAGUCAAUAACCCAUGACUAUCCCUAAAAAAUAACGUAAUCUGAUCCCUGAUCCUCUCCUCCUUAUAAUUUUCCUUCUCCAACCUCUCUACUUGAGCUUUCUUGAUCAAAUCCAACAUUGGUGAAAAAAUAAUCAUCCUUAAAUACAAAUCUCUGAUGGGUGUACUUGUUUCCUUGUGACUCAAAGUAUCAACCAAAACUUUGGUGUUCCCACGAUGGUACAAAAUCUUGUAUUCAUAAUCCUUCACCACAUCCAACCAUAUGCGUUGACUCAUGUUCAAGUUUGGCUGAUCCAUUAGACACCUCAAACUUUUGUGAUUAGUAUAAAUCGUGCACCUCAACUCAUGCAAAUAAUGUCUCAAAAUCUUGAGGGAAAAAACUACUACCCCUAGUUCCAAAUCACGUGUAAGGUAAUUCUCCUUGUGAGGCUUCAACUUUCUUGAUGCGUACGCAAUCACAUGACCCUAUUUACAUAAGUGUUGCACCCAAUCCUAAGAUCGACACAUCACAGUGAACCAGAAAAUCAUCCAUACCCUCAGGGAGGAUCAAAGUCGGAGCCUCACAUAAUCUCUUCCUCAAGUCUCAAAAGUUGCAUGCUAAUCAGGCCCACAUCGGAAAGAAACAUUCUUCUUCGUCAAACAUGUCAAGGGAAAAACAGUCAUGGAUAAACCAUGAAUACACCUCCAAUAAUAACCUACUAGAACUAGACAUAUCCUAAUCUUAGAUGGUGUCAUCGGAACCUCCCACUGCAUCAUUGCCUCUAUCUUGGUCGGAUCGACCAAUAUACCCUUCUAGUUUUUGAGGUGCCCCAAGAACAACACAUCGCGCAAAUAGAACUCUUAUUUGGAGAACUUCGUAUAAAGCCUCUUCCUCACUAAGAUCUCAAAAAUAUCCCAUAAAUGCUACUCAUGUUGCUCCUUGGUCUUAGAGUAAACUGAGAUAUCAUUGAUAAACACUAUCAUACACCGAUCCAACAAUGUCAUCCAUACCUUGUUCAUGAUAUCCAUGAAUGAUGUCGGUGCGUUGUUGAACCCAAAUGGCAUCACCACGAACUCCUAAUGACCAUAAAGAAUUGUAAAGGCCGUUUUCUAUACAUUCGCAUCUUUGACACUCAUCUGAGGAUAACUCGGUCUCAAAUCAAUCAAGGAGAACCAAGAUGCACCCUAAAGCUGAUUAAACAAAUCAUCAAUCCUCAGAAGUGGAUAAUGGUUCUCCACCAUCAUCUUGUUUAACUCCCAAUAGUCAAUGCACAUCCUAUGUGAAACAUCCAUCUUUUUCACAAACAUGAUCGGUGGCGCCUACGUCGUAAGAUCCCAUAGAAAUGACAUUAUGGAAUUAAGACCAUCAAACAUGAAUCAAACGAUAAGGAAAUCCACACACGGUGUAAACAAUUAUGUUUUAGCUCAAUUAUUUUGGAAGGUAAUCUCAAGUGUACAAAUGUAGAAAUGUAAGAACUCUCCUUGUCCAAGACUCAAGACUAGAACACUAUAUAUAAUAGUGCUAUCACAUACUCAAAAACUAUAAUGUGACUAAGGCAUAAAGUACAACCUCAAUGUUCACACUAAUGUAGAUAGAUAUAUUGAAGUAACAUAAACUUUGAUAUAGAGAACUAUACAUGACCUUCUAUAGAGAAGCUUCUCCAUUAACCUUCUAUAUCACCAUCUCUAUCACCUUAUAUAGACAAAGCUUCUACAUCAUAAAUGCCACAUUAUUAGAUUAAAUAUUUCUUGACUCAACAUUCUCCCCCUAUAUGUUGGAUCUGCUGAGGAACACACUUUUCUCCUGUGGCAUUCUCCCCCUAAAAGUGUGAGAAUCAUCAGCAUUUGGAGACUUCAAAUAUAGAGGAAUAAAUCAAAAAAUAUCACCAUCAAAGCAUGUGACAACCCGAACCUUUUUCCGUUUCCAUUUUCUGAUUUCUGUUAAUAAAGUUUAAUUUUAUUGAGUUUCCGUCAAACUUCUUGGUUUAGAAAAUCAUCUAGUUAUAUAUAAUUAAAUUUAUAUACAAGUCAAAACCAAAAUCGCACGAAAAACCCGAAUUUUCCAUAAAAACCAAACAGUUUUCAGUCUGAAUGAGUUUACGGCCGUAAACCCGUGUACGGCCGGAAACCCGUUUGCGGUUGGUGCUAGGUGGAUCCCACCACCGACCAUACCCCCAACCUAUAUAUAUGAGACCCCCACCUUCAUUUGAACCUUCUUGGCCGAAAACUAUCUUAUUCUAUCUCUCUACCUCUUGACCGUAAACCCCAAAACACCUUUAUUCUUCUGAAAAUCAUCAAGAAAUCACCUUUGGAAGUUGAUUUGGAGCAUCUAGAACACGUUGUUCAUCGAACCCAACAUCCUUUUUCUUAAGUGUACGACCGUACACCCUUCAAAUAUGCAAAUCUUCAUUGACCAUAAACAAGUUUAUGGUCGUACACACUUCAAACCAUCAAUCCUUCAAACCUUCAAAGGCCGUACACACUUCAAACCUUCAGGAAAUCAAUGUACAGGUACAUCAAACAAAUUUUGAGAAGAUGGAGCGUACAGAGUCGCGUCUUUUACUUUUUGGGUUAUACCUUUGAUAUAAAAAAAACAUGAAUGAAACAGAUGUAAAUACUUAUUAUAUAUUCAAUGUAAUGGUUGUGUUUACUUUGAUUACUAUGAUGUAAUUGUUGUGAUACUACAUAUGACGUCAUCCACCGCCGAAUGUUUCCGCCGUUCCGGUUUGGGGGUGUGACAGAUUAAUAUCAGAGCUAUUGUUUAUAGUGAACUAAGUAUACCGAACCUUACAUGAUAUACAACUAUAAACACUAAGGGGGUCGAAGUGCUCUGAACUAAAAGUAUACUUUUAAAAUAUAAGUAUUUUAUAAGAAGUAUACAAGUAUACAUACGAACCUGAAAAUGGUAUCAUGAGUAGAACUACCGCGAUGUCGUAGAUUAAUUCUGGCGGCUCUGGUAGGUCGGGAAGCGGUACCCAUCCCCUUAACCCUGAUGGGGGUUAGGGACACCAGAAGGAGUGCUCCUACAAAGAUUUCAUGAACGUGAAGCCCAAGCCCUUCGACGACAAUGGAGGUGUCAUUGCCCUCACUCUAUGGAUAGAGAAGAUCGAAUCGGUCUUUGAAAUCUGUGUGUGCUCCGAGGCAAACAAAGUAAAGUACGCCACCUACACCUUCACUGACAUAGAAUUGACUUGGUGGAAUAGCCGAGUCAAGUACCUAACUCUACCGGUGGCAAAUUCCAUGGGUUGGGAAAGCUUAGAAGAUCUUAUGCUUGUUGAGUACUGCCCAAGGGGCGAGGUGCAGAAGUUAGAGCACGAGAUUUGGAACCUGAAGAUGAAGGGUUCCGACAUUGCCAACUAUACAGCUAGAUUCUGCAAUCUAGCUCUUCUUUGUUCGGGAAUGGUCACCCCAAAAAUCUAAAAGAUAGAGAGGUACAUUUGGGGAUUGAUGCCCCAAACUCAAGGAAAUGUCUUGGCUGCUAAGCCUACCACUUUUGACAGCGCCAAGUGCCUGGCACAGACGCUGAUAGAUCACGGGGUUGAUCUUGAUGAAGUGGCAGCCGCUCUCGAACCACCAAAGUCAAGUGGUGGGAGGAAGAAGUUUUGGAACAAGCAAAAGGGCCAGUCUUCGCAGGAGCCCUCUAAGAAACAGCAAGUAGUGGCAGUUCAAGCUGCUACCACUUCUGAUGUUGUUCCUGCAGCUCAAGCACCUGUCAGCAGAUAUGCUGGUACCCUUCCUCGGUGCGACAAGUGCAACUAUCAUCAGCACGGACCAUGCCAUGAAAUGAUGUGCAACAACUGCGGCAAGAAAGGGCAUACAACUCGAUUUUGCAAGACACAAGCCCAACCAACCAAUCAGGCUCCUGGGGCGGGUGUUGGUCAAGCCUGUUAUGGCUGUGGGGAGAUCGAGCACUUCAAGAGAAAUUGCCCCAAGGCAACAAUAGCUGGCAACAGAGGGAGAGUGCUAGCGAUGGGACAGGAGGAGGCAGUUGCUGAUCCCACUGUUGUUACGGGUAUGUUCCUCCUUGACAACUCUUAUGCAUGCAUUCUUUUUGAUUUUGGUGCGGAGAGAAGUUUUGUUAGUCAUGCAUUUAAGCAUCUACUCAAGCAUAAAUCCCAAACUUUAAUCGAAACAUUUAGGGUCGAUAUGGCUAACGGAAAGAAAGAGAGCACUAACGACAUAUUCAUAGGCUGUACCCUUACCUUAAACGAUCUUCCUUCCCGAUCGACCUUAAGCCAGUUUCCAUAAAAAGCUUCGAUGUCAUCAUCGACAUGGAUUGGUUGAGCCCUAAUCAUGCUGAUAUUCUUUGCUAUGAAAAAGUUAUCCGUCUCAAUCUGCCCUCGAGCAAAGCCCUCAUAAUCUAUGGGGAUAAACUCAGCUCAAACCUUCGUAUCAUUUCAUGCAUCCAAGCCCAGAAAUAUCUACGAAAGGGAUGCCAUGCAUUCCUAGAACAUGUCUUUGAUGACAAGUAAAAAGUUAAAAAUCUCGAGAGCAUCCCAGAAGUCUGCAACUUUCCGGAUGUCUUUCCCAAAGAUCUUCCCAGAAUCCCUCCUAAGCGCCAAGUCGAGUUCUGAAUGGACUUAAUUCCCGGAGUUACGCCCGUAGCUAAAUCCCCAUACCGUCUAGUGUUAGCAGAAAUACACGAGUUAUCUAACCAACUCAAUGAACUUCUCAGCAAGGGAUUCAUCAGACUAAGUUCCUCACCCUGGGGAGCCCCGGUCUUGUUUGUGAAGAAGAAAGAUGGAUACUUUCGGAUGUGCAUAGAUUAUCGUGAACUGAACAAGAUUACCAUUAAAAAUCGUUAUCCCUUACCCAUAAUCGAUGACCUCUUCGAUCAACUUCAAGGAGCCAACUAUUUCUCAAAGAUAGACCUGAGAUCAAGGUACCACCAGUUGCGAGUCCAUGAGAAUGAUGUUCCCAAGACAACAUUCCAAACCCGCUAUGGUCACUACGAGUUUGUAUUCAUGCCCUUUGGUCUAAUCAAUGCAAUGACGAUAUUCAUGGAUCUGAUGAAUCAAGUGUGCCGCCCUUUCCUAGACAAGUUCGUAAUCAUGUUCAUUGACGAUAUACUUGUCUAUUCCCGAAGAGAGGAAGAUCAUAGACAACAAUUAAGGCUAGUGGUAGAAACUCUAAGGGCGGAGAAACUAUAUGCGAAGUUUUCCAAGUGCGAAUUCUGGAUUCGAAAGGUAACUUUCCUUGGUCACGUGGUUAGCGAGGAAGACAUACACGUGGACCCUUCCAAGAUCAAAGCGAUUGAGAAUUGGUCAGCACCGAAGACACCCACGGAAAUCCGACAAUUCUUAGGCCUAGCUGGCUAAUAUUGCAGAUUUAUCCAGAAUUUUCCAGGAUUGCUAAGCCUUUAACCACCCUAACUCAGAAAGGUGUACCCUUUUGUUGGGGGAGAAAAGAAAGAUGUUGCGUUUCAAACAUUAAAGAAGGCCCUACGCAGCACGCCUAUCCUGUCUCUGCCCGAAGGGACGGAGGACUUCAUGGUCUACUGUGAUGCAUUUAAUUAGGGCUUAGGUUGUGUGCUUAUGUAGUGAGGAAAGGUCAUUGCUUCUGCCUCGAGACAGCUGAAAGCACACAAAGUCAACAAUACAACUCACGAUUUGGAGUUGGGAGCAGUGGUCUUUGUGUUAAAGAUUUGGAGACAUUAUCUCUACAGAACCAAGUGCACUGUCUUUACCGACCGUAAAAGCCUACAACACAUUUUCGACCAGAAAGAGUUAAACAUGAGGCAACAAUGAUGGGUAGAGCUACUCAGUGAUUAUGAGUGUGAAAUACGCUACCAUCCCGGCAAGGCCAAUGUGGUAGCAGAUGCCCUCAGCCAGAAAUAGUAUUCAGGUCGUAGAGUGAAGACACUAACAAUGACCAUCCAUUCCCAUUUAUCCGCUCAAAUCAGAGAGGCUCAGCUGGAAGCGUUGAAACCAGAGAAUAGGUCGGGUGAAGCCUUGAGGGGAAUGGAAAAGAACUUAGAGAUCAAGGGAGACGGAGUCUACUAUUUCAUGGUCCAGAUUUGGACCCCAAAGUUCGGCGGUUACAAGGAGGUUGUCAUGAACGAAGCUCACAGGACUAGAUACUCCGUUCAUCUAGGUUCAGAUAAGAUGUACCUAGAUCUCAGAAAGUUAUAUUGGUGGCCAAACAUGAAAGCAGAAAUCGAUACUUUCGUGGGCAAGUGCCUAACUUGCGCCAAAGUGAAAGUGGAGUACUAAAAGCCCUCAGGUCUUCUUCAACAGCUAGAAAUACCCAAGUGGAAGUGGGAAAGGAUUACAAUGGAUUUUAUCACUCAGUUGCCCAAAUCUCCGAGUGGGUACGAUACCAUUUGGGUAAUUGUCGAUCGACUGACUAAAUCCUCUCACUUCCUACCAAUCAAAGAGACAUUCAAGAUGGAGAGACUUACACGAAUCUACAUCCAAGAGAUAGUUCGUCUGCAUGGUGUACCUGUGUCUAUUAUCUCCGAUCAAGAUAGCCGAUUCACCUCUAGAUUUUGGUAGUCACUGCAGAAGGCUCUUGGAACUAAGAUGGAUAUAAGCACAUCUUAUCAUCCCCAGACAAACGGGUAGAGUGAUAGGACCAUUCAGACAUUGGAAGACAUGUUGAGAGCAUGUGUUGUAGAUUUUGGUAAGUCGUGCGACACCCAUUUUCCCUUGGUGGAAUUCUCCUACAACAACAUUUAUCACACCAGUAUCGUGGAUGCGCCGUUUGAAGCCCUGUAUGGCCGAAAGUGCAGAUCCCCUCUGUGUUGGGCUGAGGUGGGCGACACACAGCUAGCCAAGGGGCAAGUCCCCGAUAGCACUCUCACAGGCCCAAAAAUCAUCCGUGAAAACCACAGUAAAGAUCGUACAGAUCCGGGAAUGACUAAAAGCUUCGAGAGAUAGACAAAAGAGUUAUGUCGAUAAGGAACGAAAACCCUUGGAGUUCGAGGUUGGCGAUCGUGUUUUAUUGAAGGUCUCACCCUGGAAAGGCAUGAUAUUCUUUGUAAAGUGUGGAAAGCUGAAUCCGAGAUACAUAGGACCAUUCAAGAUCCUUGCUAGGAUAGGUCUCGUAGCAUACAAACUUCGUUUACCCCAAGAGCUUAACAACAUUCAUCCCGUCUUUCACGUCUCGAACCUUAAAAAGUGUUUAUCCGAUGAGGCCCUGGUGAUUCCUAUUGAUGAACUUGAAAUCAACGAGAAACUUAACUUCGUGGAAGAACCAGUCGAAAUCAUGGAUCGGGAAAUCAAAAGAACGAAACAAAGUGGGAUACCAAUAGUGAAGGUUCGCUGGAAUGCCAAGCGAGGACCUGAAUUUACUUGGGAGCACGAAGAUCAAAUGAAACAAAAACAUCCUCAUCAUUUUCCUAGUCCAUGAUUUGUAUUCUAUGUUUGAAUUUCGGGACAAAAUUCCCUCUAACGGGGGGGAUGAUGUGACAACCCGAACCUUUUUCCAUUUCCAUAUACCGAUUUCCAGUAAUAAAAUUUAAUUUUAUUGAGUUUCCAUCAAACUUCUUGGUUUAGAAAAUCAUCUAGUUAUAUAUAAUUAAAUUUAUAUACGAUUCGGAACGAAAAUCGCGUGAAAAAACCCGAAUUUUCCUGAAAAACCAAAUAGCUUUCAGCCUGAAUGAGUUUACGGCCGUAAACCCGUGUACGACCAUAAACCCGUUUGCGGUUGGUGCUAGGUGGACCCCACCACCGACCAUACCCCCAACCUAUAUAUAUGAGACCCCCACCUUCACUUGAACCUUCUUGGCCGAAAACUCUCUCAUUCUCUCUCUCUCUCUCUCUCUCUCUCUUUCUCUCUCCCUUUAUGUCUUGACCCUAAACCCCAAAACACCCUUAUUCUUCCGAAAAUCAUCAAGAAAUCACCUUUGAGAGUUAAUUUGGAGCAUCUAGAACACGUUUUUCAUCAAACCCAACAUCCUUGUUCUUGAGUGUACGGCCGUACAUCCUUUAAAUCUACAAAUCUUCAUUGACUGUAAACCAGUUCACGACCAUACACACUUCUAACCUUCAAAGGUCGUACACCCUUCAAGAGGAAGUUCACGGCCGCAAACAGUGCAUGGCCAUAAACUCCCUUCACGGCCGUAAAACCCAUUCACGGCCUUAAACACUUCCUAAGUGGUGCAUUAGGCUGAAAACCCACUUUCCUUGAUUCAGUCAAGUUUCAGUAACAUUCCUAAACCAAAAACAAGUGUUUUCUAACACUAUAAUUAAUGGUUUCGCUAAUAAAAUCUAUAUAUGUAUUUAAUUGAUAUUAGGAUCCUGUUAAUCCCGUGUACGGCAACUCAAAGGUCAUUUCCAGAUUCGUUUUCCGACAUUUCACGCAACCAAUUGUGAGUUGAUACCCCUACGCUUUUAUGAUUUUUAAAGUUUUUAGGGGGUAAUACAAGCCAAACACUAAUGAUUUUGCGAACUAAAACAAAAGGAUUUCAACAAGCUUAAAACUUAUGUAAUUGAUUCAGUCCAACGAAUUCUAUAAAAUAUAUAGAUAUUUUAUCCCUUUUGUAUUAUGCAGAGCAUAAGGGGCACUUUCAACUCAAAAACACAAAUACAUAGUUUUCAGAUCAAUAUACGAACCAAGUAGAUGACAUACAUGCAAACUAUAAUGGGUAUAGUUUGGGGUUUUCAAUACACAGUUUUUUCGAAUUCAGAGUUAUACAUUGCUAAACAUAUAAACUAUGACAUAAUUAGUUUAUGAUAUAGAUUACUACGAGUAUACAACAUUUAAUAAUUAUUUAAGUAUAAUUAUUUCCUUAUACAGUAUACAUACGGAUUCAAAAACAAAAGAACUAUACAGAAUUACGCGUAAACUAGUUAAUACAAGAUUGUGAGACAACACUUCAAUUGCUCCUUUCGGGGUACAUGUUAAAUUCUAUCAUAGUAUAACCAAAGUCUCUUGGAGGGAGAACGUGAGAUUUGUGAAAAGAUCUAUUUAGGGACUGACAAUUCCACACCUGAACUGCUAUCUACAGUUAGGCAGGCAUGCAUCGGGUGACAAAUAUCAUAUAUAUCCGGCACUUGAAGAACAUCGUAAAGGUCACUAGGUCAUAUCAAACAUGGUUAUACGACUCACAAUUGUAUAAAAUAACCUUUGUUUACGGGAUUUCGUUCUUUAUUAGUUUUAUUUUAAUUAAUAGACUAUUAUUUUAAAUAAUAAGACUAUUAUACAAUACUCAGUUUUAUUUUAAAUAAUAAGACUAUUAUACAUACUGGUGGUAGUCAGGGUUUUCAAGCAGAACAUAUAGCGAGAGUUUUCAAACAAAAUAUACUAUACAUACUAUACAUACUGGUGGUAGUCAGGGUUUUCAAGCAGAACAUAUAGCGAGAGUUCUCAAACUAAAUAUACUAUACAUACUGGUGGCAACCAGGGUUUCCAAAGAAAACAUACUGUACAUACAAAUGGUAGUAAAUAUUUAUAAACAGAAAACAGUACCGAACAUACAUGUUAGAAAAUAUUGGAUUUUCUUGGGAAACAUGCAUACAUUUUUACAGAAUCCAAUGACUGGUUUUCUCUACAAAAACAUUCUAAUGAACUCACCAUCUUUAUGCUGAUACUCUUUCAAAUCUGCUUAUAUUCUCAGGAAAUCAAUAGACAGGUACAUCAAACAAAUUUUAAGAAGAUGGAGCGUAUAGAGUCACGUCUUUUACUUUUUGGGUUAUACCUUUGAUGUAAAAAAACAUGAAUCAAACAGAUGUAAAUACUUAUUAUAUAUUCAAUGUAAUUGUUGUGUUUACUUUGAUUACUAUGAUGAAAUUGUUGUGAUACUACAUAUGACAUCAUCCACCCCCAAAUGCUUCCGCCGUUCCGGUUUGGGGGUGUGACAAAGCACAUAGAUUUGAAAACUUGAAAUCACCCUUGAACAAAAAACUCCUCCAAUUAAUCUUCGAGAUAAGCAUGAAAACAUCUUUGAAUGCUGUAAAGUUUCCAAAAAAAAAUUCUUAGAUUCAAAAACAUUGACCAUCAAAAUAGUUCAACAUCAAUUUCGAAAUUGAAGACAAACAAAGCUUUGAAUGAUAAAAGUAACUUAUGAAUGAAUCAGAGUCGAACUUCGACUAUUCUUAUCUAAGGAAAUUUUGCCUAUUAUAUCAUACUCAAAGAAUGAAUAGUAACUUUGACUGAAAAUUGAAGAAUGAAUAGUAUCUUUGAUUCGAACGCGAAGAUCCUCAUGCAAGCUUCAACUGUUAAAACUUUCAAGUAAACUUUGAUUCUUGGAGCAAACUUCAACACUCAAGUCUUCAGAUCUUUGAUUUUUUAAGCAAAAUUCAAAUGCAAUGAUAUGCGCACACUUCGAUACUCAAAGUCUUUGAGAAAAUUUAGACACUCAAAACCUUCAUGAACGAACUAAAGCACAAUAUUUUUGGUUUUUUGAGUUUUCUAAGGAUUCAAACAAAAAGAUGAACAAAAUAAAAUCUUUUUGAGUUUUCUGGGUUUUUCUGAGGCUUCAAAGAAAAGAGCAAAAAACAAAAAUCUUUUUGUGUUUUAGAUUUUCUAUAGAAUUAGACCAAAAGAAAAGAUAAGAAACAAAAAUAAGAUGGUGGGAAUGUUCUUUGAGAAAACUUCGAUAUCAAAAUAGAAGGUAGGUUUUGUUUUCAAAGUGGAAGGUUUUAUAUCGGAAUCGAAGGUUUGAUAUCAAAGUCGAAUAGUAAUCUUCAACUUUAAACAUGCCUUCCCUUUUUCAUAUAAAUCUUCCCAAACACCUUCCUGGUUCGACUUGCACUCUGAUGUUGAAGACUUAGAAAAAUCUUCGAUAUGCACCCCAUCCAAAACAAAACUUUUUCAGAUAACACUUUGUUAACGAGUAACCUUCAAUUUUUAGCCAAGAAGCCCUCGAUUUACACACCAUCCAAAACCAAAUUUGAGCAAAAUAAAGCGUUUUCCACACACCAUUGACAUUAGUAGUAGCCUCUUUCAUCAACGGGAAACCCAAAACACAUCUACAUCUCAUGCAUGGUAUUUAAAAUGUUUUCUGACAGAUAAGACAAUUAACGAUGCAUCACCAUCACCUUUUCUGACUUGUUUCACUUUAUCCAACACUCACCAUACAAUUUCCAGUGACCCACGAAGACCAAAACAUUGUAGACACAUGUUUUCAACUUUUCUAAUGCGCUGAAAUUCUAACAAGAAAGAAAUGAUUGUGUCUUGUGUUGAUUGGGUAAUAAAUCAAACUUGAUUUUUAGGUUUAUGAUGAAUUAAAAGUAAGAUGCCUUUCACAUACCAAUCACGUUACUAUUGAUUUUCUACUUUUCUCGAUGCAACAGUUGUACAUGUUAGUCUUUCUUGACCUAUCACAUCUCUUGUAGUCCUUAUUUGAUUUACAUUUCAAACACUCUUUUGACUUAGACAAUUAGUGAAUGUCUCCCUUUUUCGGACAUGUAGUAACUCAAAGAAUUAGCUCCUUCCUUUCAAAUAACUAAAGUAUAAAGGUCGUUAUUCACAUUUUCUGAAGACCAGCGAUUUGUAGACAUGUGGUUGAGAUGCUGAAAGUCAACAAACAUUUUUUGAAACCCAUUUAUCUAGUCAUAUCAAUUCUUUUCUUCUUAGUUUCCAAUAUACACAUAGUUUUUCAUAUAGACUUUAAUAUUCUCGGGUAAUAGAGUGUGCCAACAUUUAUCAACUUUGUCUCCAUUAAACUCACAAAUCAAAAAGUCUUUUUGACUAGUUGUACAUAAUCUUUUAUAUAAUAAAAGCGCCAUACUUCUUUUUUUUGUCUUAGUACACUAAAUGUAUUUUCGAUGAUGUAGUAGGUACAAUUGUUCAUGGUUAUGAAACUUCUAGCUUCCAAUCGAAAAAAAUCCAUAUAUUGUUCAAUGUAUUUUCCCAUAACAUGACGUACAAGAGUCAUAUUUGUCUCAUCCAAACUCCCAAAAAACAUUUCGAAGUCUAAUGCUACCGCUCAAACAUAGCUCAAUUUUAAUGGGACUUUUUAGGGAUCCAUAUCAGAUUGAGAACUGAAGAAAAUGCCUUUUAAAUUUGUUGCCCUUUUGAAAAAUAUGAAUUGAAUAAUGAGAUCCAAUAUGAUUCUUUGGAAAAUAAACGGAAUUCUAGGCUCUUUGGUGGGUACACAAAAAUUAUCAAACAUCACAUUAUACCAGUAAUGAAACUUUUUCUCACUUCUCCAAUAAUGAACUUCUUCAUUACGUCAAAUUUAAGAACCUUCGACAUUUUUGUUUUUGAAAUUCAAAGUCAUAGCAACAUUAGAAGACCUUUUCUUAGGCACCCAAAUUUUCUUAGUUUUACUCUUCCACUUCUUUUUCUUUCUUUUCUCCUUUUUCGAGCUUGAAGUUUUGAAACCAAGAGACUCAACAUCUUCCUUCACAACUUCAACAUUACACUUUUGUGUCAUAUCAUUUGGAGUUUGAUACAUUUGAACAUAUUGAAUUAAAGGCUUUCUAUAAGGCACCAUUCCUUCAAAUGAAUUGCAAGAACAUGAAAAAUCAUCAGUUUGAGUUCCAAUAGAAAAAAAAAAACUUCCACAACUUCAUGAGAUUUUCUUUGAAAUUCUUUAGUUGACACAUCACAUUCUAAGUGUAAUCUUCUGAAUCACAAGAAUUUUCUAAAACACCACACUCCCCCUCAACAUGACCAUUUGGAGUUAUCUCCUUUCCUGGAACAUCACAAACAUCAUUAACACUAUGGACAUCUUCAAGAACACCAUCAUAAACUUCAAGAAAAUCUUCAACAAAUUCAAGAGCACAAAGAUCACUUAGAUCUUCAAUAAAAGAAAAAUAUUUCUUGAUAAACAAUUUUUUUCACUUCCCUCUUUGUUACCUUCCCAAGUUAACACAUUCAUCAUUAAUUCAAUAAAAAUUUUGUUCUAAAAAUUUUGUUCCAGAAUUAUCUUUCUUAUUCCCAUAAGAAAUCAAAGUGUUCCAUGUAAUCAAUCCACCUUUAAAUAAAUAAUCCAUAAUAUUGCAUCUCAUUGAAUUUGUACUUGCAAUAUUCGAUCAUGAACAUCCAAGAAUCAUAAUCAUACUCCAAAUACAACAUCUUUGAUUAAUUAAGAAAAAGAUAACCAGAUGUUGGAUAUUUCCAGAGAGAGAAAAUAGACCUUAAGCGAAUUCUAGAGAGAGAAAGUAGAUCUGAAACAAAUUUUAAGAGAUCUAUAGCAAAUCUAUGAACAAAAUAUGAAACUCUUCACCAAAACCGCUUCUAAAACAUGAAACAAUAACAUAUUUGAAUGACUUUUCAAAUAAGAAACAAGAUCUAAAUUUUUUUUCUAGAGAGAGAAAGUCAAAUGGGAAUGAAUCAAAUAAUAAAAUUCAAUUUCAAGAAAUCCUUCCAAAAACAUAAUAAUUACUACACUUGAAAAACAAUGUAGGAUUCACGAGAUCGAAUUGCAAUUUUGGAUCGUUGACUUGAAAUAAUUGCUUAAACCUUCAAGAUUAAGCUCUGAUACCACAUGUAAAAUCCUAUGGAAAUUACAUUGCAGAAUUAAGAAUAUCAAACAAGAAUAAAACAAUAUGGAAAUCAAUAAAAUGUGUAAAUAACUUUGAUUAAGCUCAAUUAUUCUGGAAGGUAAUCUCUAUUGUAAAAAUAUGUAAAUGUAAGAACUCUCCUUGUCUAACACUCAAGACUACAACACUAUAAAUAAUAGUACUGUCACAAACUCAAAAAGUAUAGUGUGACUAAGGCAUAAAGAACAACCUCAAUGUUCACACCAAUAUAUAUAUAUAUAUAUAUANGAUUGGACAUUAAAGCAUAUUGGGAGACAUGUUUCAUAGAAACUGGUCUUACAAGUCAAAAGCAUAUUGGUCAAAUAGAAACAACAUUGAAAUCGAGGCUUUCUCUUUCCUUUAAAGCUGAUCAUAUACAAUCCUAUGUAAAUGAAAUUAAGGAAUUAAGAACAAUUAAGCAUGAAUAAACCGAUAAUGAAAUCCAUACAAGGUGUAAAUAAUUUUGUUUAAUCUUAAUUAGUUUGGAAGGUAAUCUCAAGUGUAUAAAUAUAGAAAUGUAAGAACUCUCUCACUAACACUUACGACUACAAUACUAUAUAUAUAGUAGUGCUAUCACAGAGUCUCAAAAUGUAUAGUGAUGUAACUAAGGCAUAAAGUACAACCUUAAUGUUCACACUAAAAUAUAUAUAUGUAUCAAAGUAAGAUAAACUUUGAUAUAGAGAAGGUUGGUCUUCUAUAUGAAGUUCUAUAGAGAAGCUUCUAUAUCAGAAAUGCCACAUCAUCAUAUUCAAUAUUUCUUUACUGAAAAAAUGGCAAACUGUUUGGUCUGAUGAAUCCCUUGUCUAAUAGCUCAUGCAGUUGUGUACACAAUUCCCGCAACUCUGGAGGUGCUAAGCGAUAGAGUGCAUUGGCUAUCAGUGUUGCACUCUGAAUCAUAUCAAUCCGUAACUGAACCUGCCUCUCUGGUGGCACUCCUGUCAAAUCAUCAGGAGACAAAUCAAGAAAUUUCCAAAAAAUGGGCACAUCAUCCACAAUCUACUUACCUCCAAUUGUGUAUCCAAAAGCUAGGAAUUCAGAACACCACUACUAAAGAUACCUCUUUGGUCUCGUAGCUGAACUGGCCACAGGUCCGUGCUGUUUUCCCUUAUCAUGAAUAAUCAGUUAUCCCCCACUUGGGCUUCAAAUUGUCUCUAACUGGUGCUCACAAUAAAUCAUAGCCCCAUUAGGAACUAACCAGUCCAUCCCUAUAAUAACUUUCGACCCUCGCAGAGGAAUCAGAACUAGAUCAAUCGAAUACCUCUCACUGAACAUAUUUAGAAUGCAUCCUCGGUGAACUCUCGAAGCUCACUAAAGGAUCAUCGACAAUAUCCACCUCCAACAGAUAAUCCAAAGUCCAUGCAACAUCGCUACACUUCUUGGUAAGCAUAAGAGACACGAAGGAUCAUAUAGCACCCGAAUCAACAUGAGCAUACAUAGCAUUAACUAAAAGCGUCACUAUACAUGAUCAGAUAAAACAUAAGAAUAAACUUGAAUGCCCUGCUCUUAACCAUGAGUGCCUCCAACUUGCCUUGGUGGCCAUCGGCAAUUCUCAAGGUGGCGGGCAUGAGAGCCGUCACUGCUCCUCCUCUCAAUCUAGAGUUAUCGACCUUAUUGUGCCCCCAUAUGAUUGCAGUGGAAACAUAUCAAUGCUCCACAAGAAUAAUCCCUACCAAAAUGUCCAGUUUGACCACAACUAAAACAUCACGAACCUGCUGCUCGACAAGUCUCAUCGUGCGGUUUUCCUCACUUUCCGCAUUGGCCCUGACCCUUUUGGCCCCUAAAACAUGAAUCAAAAGUCUUGGGUUGCUUCACCUAGCCCACUUUUGUGUGUACCUUCCUUGGCCUACGUUUCAUCCGAAGCUCCCACUAUAUCUCCCAUUCUCGAGCUAUAUCUAUCAUGUCCUCCAUGGUCCUACAACUACACAUGUUCAUAAACUCAUGAAUAUCAUCCCUGAGCAUGUCGUGGUAUCUCAUCUUCUUCAUGUCCUUGUCUGCGGCCUACGCUUCGUCUUAAGUUCCAACUAUAUAUCCCGUUCUCUAGCUCUAUCUAUCAUCUCCUCUAUGGUCAUACAACUACACAUGCUCAUAAACUCGCGAAUAUCAUCCUUAAGCAUGUCGUGGUAUCUCGUCUUCUUCAUGUCCUUGUCUUCGACAUACCACAGAACCAACAAAGCUCUCUCUCAUAACAUGGUGGUGAUAUCUUCACAAUCUUUGUAGCCUGGCGAAGAUCCUAAAAAUCCCUCGCCAGCUACUAUAUCUCAGUAACUUGUGCAAACCCAGUUCCGAAUCUCGUCACAAACUCAACCCAAGACAUGGCCACCACAGCCAAGGAGUAUAUAUCCUUCUCCCACUAAUCGUUUGCUCUUUUCCUCAAAAGAUAGGUUGUGAAUCUCACCUUCGACCCCUAAAGGUAGAAACGCAUUUGCUGAGAUCCAUCAUCAACUAGCAAUGGGGUCCUUCUUCCUGAAGAACUUUGGGUUCCACAAUCCUUGAACUCUCGGAAAGAGAGAUUGGGUGCCCCUAAUUGUCCCUCCAUAAUCUCAACAUGGGAGGCCCCUAAGAGAUCAUCUAAAAACUCCAUAAUCCACUUCUCGACAGUAUCAAACAUCACAGGAAUAGCCUCCAUAAUACCAUGAGAGAUCUCAUACGUGAUGAACUCGCGUACCCUCUCAUCAAUCAGUUUGGCACCAGAGUCAGAACCAGGACCUCCUCCUCGAGUGAUCACCACCAUACUGGAAUACAAACAUAUAAGUAAUAAAAAUAUACUUGAGGGAACUCUCACACUGCAAGCUCCUUAGAUCUCUAUGAACAUCCUUGACUCGAGUACGAAUCCUGUGGUUUCAGUAGUACGGGCCCAAUACUACCUUCCACACCUAUCCAUACAUUCUCAAAGAAUCAUCUUGAAUCCUUUAAGUUCCUAAACCAUGGCAACUCUCAAAAACACUAUGCUAAACAACAUACAUGACUCGCUACGACACUGCCUAGGCUCUUCUUGGAAUCCUCAUCCUACUUGCUUUUGCACUAAAAGGAACUUAUACUAACAUCGUCGGUUGCACCUGCAUGCAAAUUAUACACAUAAGGGGACCAAAUAGGUUGUCAAAUAAAUGAUUCUACCUUAAGUCAACAACCAGAAUAGGAAAGAAGGCUAAAUCAGUCAUCCUAGAGUUAUAUGGUCCUAAUCGUCUACAAUUUUUAGGCAUACAAUUAGCAAUUAACUUCUACAAUAUAGAUCCUAAGUAAUACAUAACAUGCAAUCUCCCUACGCUACAAGGCAUCACAAAAGUCAGGAAAUUCUAUCAUGCAAUUUCUAAAGGUAUCCUUAGCCCAAAUUUAGCAUGCAGCUCUCAUAAUGGCAUACUAAUAAUAAUACUCAUGUAUGGGUAUUUUGGGAAUCACGUACUUGUGCUCGGCUGAUCGACCGCAUCACACCCUUUAUUUGUUAAUAUAUAUAUAUAUAUAUAUAUAUAUAUAUAUUCAUUAUUUNNNNNNNNNNNNNNNNNNNNNNNNNNNNNNNNNNNNNNNNNNNNNNNNNNNNNNNNNNNNNNNNNNNNNNNNNNGUUAAUAUAUAUAUAUAUAUAUAUAUAUAUAUAUGAUCAUUAUUAGGAUAAAAGAUACUUAAUUUGUUAUAUCUUAUGUUUAAACAGUAAAAGACAUGAUUAGAUCCGAAAGGAAGCAAAUUGGAAGCUAGAAGCUAGAAAUUUGGACUAAGGCAUAAAGAAGAAGAAAAAUUAAAGAAACACGACAUGUUAAACAUCUCUGCGCCAUGGUGAAUUGAAGAAUCCCGAUAAUUAUAUGACUUGCCGGAUACACAAUUUUUACACCAAACAUGGCAUGGUGGCCAUUAACCGCGUCAUGGUGCACCGCUUUUUGGAAAAAUAUAAAUAGAUCAACUCUUCUCUCAAAGUGGGUGGGACAUCGAAAGCUAUUCUCGACUUAUAAAGACCAGAGAUGGACCUUGAAGGAUGAGAAGUGCAGAAUUCGAUUACUAGCUUUAUUUUUGUGAGAUCUAAGGAAACAUUACUCCUUUUUACUUGUUUUUACUUUGUUUUGAUCAUGACUAUCAAAGUGAAUCUUGUUUUUACAUGUUUGUUUGCUGAAUUUUUGGGCUCAACAACCUAACUUUCAUUCAGACUAGAUUGCUUGCUUAUUUAUGAGUUGAUUUCUGUAUUGGAUUAUGUAGUGUUGAUGGACUGCUUCCAUCGAGGGAGUGCAUUGGUCUCUUAGAUAUUGUUGUCGCCUUCCUACUGUAUCGGUCCUUUAUCCAUCAUUUCUGGCACCUAGUGUUAGGAAGUGGGUUAUGUCGUGUUGGGUGUAUGUCCAGAUGGCACUAACUGUUGUGAUAUGUCUCCAGCUCAAUUCCUGCUCUUUGGGGGUGGAAAAGGAGGCCUGAGAAUCGUAGCAAAGAAAACAAGCCUGUCAGUCGUCGUCUGGGAGGUUGUCUUGAAACGAUGCUCCGACGGUCAAGUUAUUUCAAGGUUCUAAUGAGAGAGUGAGAAAGUAUGAGACAAAGGGUUAAUGAUGAGUGUUGGUCCCUUCUCUUGGAGGAGAAGGGACCUUUUUAUACCUAGAAUCGGGGGGACAGAACCCCGACCAUAUCUUUUACUUUUUCAGGUCUGGCAAGGACAGACGACUUCCGAUUGGUAGACCGUGCUCUGUGAGUUGUUGUUUGUUAUUGGUGCAGGCUUGCCAAGGGAUUAGCAUCCUAAGCAUUACACUUGUCGAUUUGGAGGGCGACUGGUCCUAUUUUGUCUUGACUCUAGCUUUGGAGCUUGGGCGCCAAGAAACAAACGCGGGAUUAUGAAGGGCGAGGUCGAGGACGCAACGUUAGGCCACCGACUUUUUCCCACACUAUCUAUCAAAUUGAUGGUUCCGUUGUACCUGACUUAUUCCUGAUGGGAUAUGUUAACAGUGUCGUUAUGGCUAUUAUAUUAAUCCUAUGAGACAAAUACGGGUAGGUGUGGAAGGUAGUAUGGGCCCGUACUACUAGAAGCACAUGACACGUAUGCGUAACAAGGAAGUCACAAUCCCUAGGUAUUCGUUUAUUUGAAUGGAUUGUAUGGUAUGAAAUGCAUCUUGUGUGAUAUAUUCUAGUUUAUUUUCAGUAUGGUGCUCACAAGGGGAUCAAGUUCAGGUGCUGGAGUGGGUGGAAAGGAUAGCCCAAGGUUGACCGACUAUCAGAUUAGGGAGUUGAUUUUGCUACGGUGUAUACUACUAUCUGGGGAUUGAUUUUAGAAUUGUUGGUGUCUAUCAAGAAUGCCAUGAUUGAGCAUUUUAAUGAUCGUUACGCUACAUUUUCGGUGGCUGCUGUUGCUGCAGCUACCAUGACUGUUGCGGCUGCAGGGGUCUAUAGGGAGAGAUCCUUCCAGUACUAGGACUUUGCUAAUACGAAGCCCCCGAUGUCCGAUGGAUUUCAAGAUCCGGUUGUUGUGAUGAGGUGGCUAUCUGAUGUGGAUGGUUAUUUCUUUAAAUUAUCCUGUACUGCUAACUAGAAGGUCAAGUGCGCCCUAAAACUUCUCUGGUCAAGGGCAAAGGAUUGGCGGUAAUUGGUGAUUGGCUCGUACACUGUUGGGUAGAGGGUUGUUGUGACUUUGGAGCAGUUCUUUGAGAUGUUUUGCAUGAGGUGUGUUCCAUUGGUAGAGAGGGAGAGCCUUACUCAAUAGUAUUUGGAUCUGAGGCAGGGGACUGAGUCGGUGACGAAGAUCACCAAGAUGUUUACUCAAAGGGAUCUAUUUUAUCUUGAGUUUGCUUCUUUGGAGCAAACUCAGAUGAUCCAGUAUUUGAGCAUGCUCCAUACGAGCAUCCGCCAGUUUGUGUCCAAUUAACUUUAUGGUACACUUGUGGAGCUAUAGAGGGCCACAAGGAGGCAGGAGAUUGAGAUGGAGCUUUAUGAAAGGGAGCGGAGGAAGGCUCUAGUGCAGACGCAACCUGCGGCGAAGCGAUUCAAGACCGAUGAUGUGAGAUCUGGUGGUCAAAGGGGCCAUACUUAUGGAAAGUGCGGCAAGGUUCAUGACAGUUCGUGUCAAUCUUCUUUUGGGUGCCACAAAUGUGGCAAGGAGGGGCAUUAUGCCAUGGAUUGUUGCUAGCAGGUACCAGUAUCAAGCAUCAGGAUCUGUUAUCACUGUGAGCAGGUUAGCCAUAUUAAGGUCAACUAUCCCUUGUUUACUGAGGGACCGAAACAAGCUCCAACACUAGCUACUUUGAGGAUCACAUAUGGGCGCCAAGGUAGGGCGGAGUCCCUAAGGGCUCGAGGUCGCGCUUUUCAGCUCACAGUGGAUGGGGCCAGGACGGCAUCGGAUGUCGUUACUGGUAUGUUCCCAAUUAUUAUUUUGUCAAUUAUUUAAUUGUAUGGUUAUGUUUAUGCUUUUGAUAGGUGCCUUCUUAGUUAAUUUUUUGCCUGCUCUUGUGUUAUUUAACUCUGGUGCAAGUCAGUCCUUUGUAUCUCAGUUUUUUAGUAGGGGUUUCGAUUUGACCCUUGGGGAGUUGGAGUGUCAGUUGCAGGUUUCUAUUGCCAACGAACACGGGAUUGUUGCAUCGAGUGUUUUCCAGGAUUGUGUUUUGGAGAUCUUUGGGGUGCCUUACUCGAUUGAUUUGAUCCCUAUUCCCAUGAUAGAGGUGUGUGUGUGUGUGUGUGUGUGUGUGAUUGUAGAGAUGGACAAGCUGAGUAUAGUCAGGCCUAUGAUCGAUUGCGAGGGUCAGUGGGUUGUAGUUCGAACCUGAAGUGGGGGAGAACUAAUUAUUUAUGGAGAGGGUACUAGAUUAGGAUCAGCCUUUUGUUUUGAUGCCAGAGCUCCAUAGUAUACUUAGCAUGGGUGUAUCGGUUAUCUUACUUAUGUGGUUGAUUCCUGAGUUGGGAAGCAAGCUUCGGUUUCAUAUGUGCUAGUUGUAAGAGAAUUUGCUAAUGUUUUCUCGGAGGAUUUGCCUGGUGUUCCUCUGGAGAGGCAGGUUAAGUUGAUGAUUGAUUUGGUUUCGGGUGCGGCACCAAUUGCCAUGACGCUGUACCAAUUGGCACCACCGGAGAUGCAUAAGUUGUCUUAUCAGCUCCAGGAGCUGUUGGUCAAGCAGUUCAUCAGACCGAGAAGUUCGUUGUGGGGAGAACUGGUUUUUUUCGUCAAGAAGAAGGAUGGUUCACACCGGAUGUGCAUUGAUUACCGAGAUUUGAACAAUUUGACGGUGAAGAACCAUUAUCCCCUUCUGGGGAUUGAUGACCUCUUCGAUCCGCUGCAGGGCACAUCUUAGUUCUCUAUGAUCGACUUGAGGUCAGGGUAUUGCUAAAUGAGAGUUAGAGAGAGGACAUGGAGAUGAACUCGUUAUGGUCAUUACAAGUUCGUAGUCAUGCCAUUUGGAUUCACCAAUGUGCUUGCGGUAUUUACGGAUUUGAUGAAUUGGGUAUGCAAGCUGAUGCUCGAUCGAUCAGUCGUUGUUUUCAAUGAUGAUAUGUUGGUGUAUUCAAGGACUACAGAGCAACACGAGGAUCACCUUCAAGAGCUUAUGGGAGUAUUAAGACGAGAACGGUUGUAUGCGAAGAUCUCGAAAUGUGAGUUUUGGUUAUGAGAGUUCCAGUUCUUGGACAUCUUGUUAAUCAAAAAGAGAUUUUGAUCGAUACAGCCAAGAUUACGGUCGUGAUACAGUGGGAGGUCCCGAAGUCUCCCUCAGAGAUCAAGAGUUUCUUAGGCUUAGCAUGGUAUUAUCGGAGAUUUAUUCAGGAUUGCAGUACCCCCCACUCGUCUGACGAGGAAGGGCAUGGAUUUCCUGUGGGGCCCUGAGUAGCAGGUGGCAUUUAAGACUCUGAGACAGAUAUUGUGUGAGCCCCAGUGUUGACCCUCCCUGAGGGUGUUGAGGAAUUUGUGAUACAUCCAUCACUGGUUUGGGAGUAGUGCUCCUACAGUAUUGGAUAGUUAUUGCUUAUGCUUCUCGGUAGCUGAAGCCACACGAGGUUCGUUAUCCGACUCAUGGUUUGAAGUUGGGAGCAGUGGUGUUCGAUCUCAAGAUUUGGCGACAUUAUCUAUAUAGGGUCCGUUGUACCAUCUAUACGGAUCAAAAAAUUCUAAAGUCUGAGAUAUCUCACAAAUCAGCGGAAUCUGAAUAUGAGGCAGCGCAAGUAGCUUGACGUAGUCAAGGACUAUGACCGUGAGAUUCUUUAUCCCGGGGAAGCCAAUGUAGUGGUUGAUGCUUUGAACCACAAGACGGCUAGUUCUGCUAUUGGGGGCAUUGUAUGAGGAUUUUGAUUAAUUCCCCAUUAUUGGUUUUGAUUAGGGAGGCUAAGGCUGAGGGAGUCAAGAAGAAAACUGGAAACAUGAGCGAAUCAAAGGCGAUAUUGACAGGUUCUCUACUAAGAACCGAGAGCUAUUGACUCGGUAUGGUCGAGUAUGGGGGCCAGAUUUCGGUGGAGUCAGGCAGGCUGUGCUGGAAGAGGUACACAAGUCCAAACUUUCGAUACACCUUAAAGACACCAACUUGUAACAUGAUUUUAGGCUUAGAUACUAGUGGCCGUGCAUGAAAAGAGAGAUAGAAUGGUAUUUUGAGAGGUAAUUGACCUGUCGGAUGGUCAAGGGCAAAUAAUAGAGACCGCAUGGAAAGUUGCAACCACUGGAGGUUCCCACGUGGAAAUAGAGCAUAUCACUAUACAUUUCAUCACCAAGUUACCUUAGACAGCUAAGGGGCAUGACGCAAUUUGGGUGAGAGUGGACCGAUUGACCAAGAAUGCCCAUUUCUUAGCUAUUCACAAGAGCUUGUCGACCGAGAAAUUAGUUGACUUGCAUGUGCACAAGAUCGUUGCUCGGCAUGGUGUGCUAGUUUUCAUUGUAUCUGAUAGAGAUGUUAGUUUGAAAUCUCGAUCUGGCAAAACUUCCAUGAGGAAAUAGGUACGAGGUUGCAUCUCACCACUGCUUAUCAUCCACAGUCUAACGGUCAAAGUGACCGGACCAUCCAGACACUUGAUGACAUGUUGAGAGCUUGUGUCAUACAUUUCGGUGGGAGUUGAGACUCCUACCUUCCCUUAGCUGACUUUUCGUACAACAAAAGCUACCACUCUUAUACCAAUGUGCUAUCUUUCGAGAUCCUCUAUGAGAGGAAGUGCCGCACCCUAGUGUUUUGGGGAGAGGUUGGUAAUAGAUGUUGGAUUAGUGUCUAAAGUCAUAACUAUAAUUGUUAUGUACUUUACCCGAUUUGGCAUGGUCCAUUUGGGUUGCACUUCACCAUAACAAUUUAUAUGGAUAGUCUUUUGAGAAUAGUAUGUUUAUGAUUUAUAUUAAUAUAUUAUAAGUUCUAAUAAAUUAAUAUGGAAUCAUAUUAUUCAAUUAGUAUUGAUCAAGAAUUAAUUUAGUGAUCAAAAGGAACUAAUUAAAGAUGGACUCUUAUAUAUAGUAUGGGCCAAGUUCAUUUAGGUUGGGCUAAGCUUUCAUGGAUAGUGCAUGGAGUUCUUAACCCAUGGAUCCUAUGGAAAUGAAAGGUCAUGGGUAUUAGGGUUUACAUGGAUGAAAACCUAAUCCUCCAUACUAUAUAAAGAGGUCCUUGGUACAUGAAAUGGCAUUAGUGUGUGAGAAAACAAGAUUGGGCCAAUUUCUAUUGUGCUUACUAUUCUCUCAAGUUUUCCAAGGUGUUCUUGGUGAUUUGUGAUUCCGCUUGAGGCUUCCCCACUAUUGGUUCCAAGCUCUUAAAGUUCAAGACUUCAAGCUUCAUCAAAAAGGUAUGUUAUCUAACUAGACUUUUGUAGUAUAGUUGCUUCAUAUUAUGCUAGUUAGGUUAAAACCUUGGAAUAUCAAAUAUUUGCAUGUAUAAUAGAAAAAACAUAGAUCCAAGGUUUUUAGGGUUGCACGUACACCAUAGGAAUGUUAGAAUGCUCAAAACUAAUCAGUAGUAUCAGAGCCUAGGCUUGUUUUCAAUUAUACUUGAUGGUAUUUGCAAGAAGAAUCGUUUUUUUGGAAUCUGCCAGUUCACCACGAGGUGGUAAAAUUUACCACGAGGUGGUGACUGUUUAGUGAAAAAAAAUCAGUUUUUUGGCCUGUUUUGGAUUNUAGAAUCAUUCCACAAAGUGUUUUUGUUCAUAAAACUUGAUUUUGAUGUUAUGGUAAUGUUUAUUCUCAUCCAAAUAAAUGAUAAUUGUCAAAGUUUCAAGACAUUUUUUUUAGUUUAUGUGAUUAGCUAAGUUCUUGAAAAUUGUUGAUUAGAAUUAUCUUGUUCUUAUGAGUUGUUUUAGAUUAAUAGAAAGUUUAUGUGAUAAUAUGUUUUCAAUCCAUGUUGAUCUAAAAGUUAUUCAUAAUAUGUGUUUUUGUAACAUGUCCUCAAGUUAUAUGAAAAGUCACAUUUAUGAUUAUUAAAACUCAUAAUAUUUCCAUAAGUUAUAAAAAAAUAAAGAAUUUCAUUUUGUAAAUGCUUUAAAGUCUCCCAUAACUUGUCCUCAAGUUAUGGAACUUGAAGAGUUUUUUUAUUAAAAACUACUUUAAACACAUAAGUUAUGUAAUAGAAAGGUUUUGAACUAUUUAAAACUUGCCCUCAUGUUUUGGAAUUUGUAAAGUUUCACACACACUUUAAUUCCAAACCCUAGAAUUUUAAAAGUUAAAAUUCAACCCUUAUACUUUAUAGUAUUAUAAGUUAAAUAAUNGAAGACGGUCUAUAAGAGGGUAUAAGGUUGUUGCCUAUAAAAUGGCAGCUUAAUGGGUGUCCACUCUCACCCACCGCUUUCUUGACUGGUGGAGGGUCGUUAGCCUAACAGGUAGGACAAGGACUAUAAUUUUUGUUAUAAGUAUAAUGAUAAAUAUAAAAUAACUAAACGUUUUAUUAAUUCCCAAUCUUAGUUACUUUAGGAAAAUGUGAGUUUGGUGCUAACCCAUGAAAUUACACUUUACACUUUGCUUAAGUUGUCAGCGGAGCGUGUGUGGUUAACCGGCACACUAACUUGGAUUUAACAAGGUAGGAAAAGGGUAACUUAAUAUUUAUCAUAGGAACGGUGGAGCGUGUGUGGUUAACUGGCACAUCGAUUAAGUGAUAAUUAUUAAGGGUACCAAGUAUAUUUGCAUGGUUAUUCACACCUUGUUUUUGUGAUCCUGUACAUCCCAGUCAUAAAACUUGAGAGGGCACAAUCAAGAUUGAAACAUGCCAUUGAAAAAAUUUUAUGGAUCUCAAAAGACCUAGGAGUUUCAAAUCCAAUUAAAACCUAAUAAACUAUAUUGUUUUCAUGGUGGAAAUUGGUGAAUCAUUAUUCGCCUACCUUCAAAUAUUUUAUAGCUUGGAUUACGGCAUCCCUCUUCCAAGUUAUAAAAUAUUGUGUUAGGUCCUAGCCUUAAUAUUUCAUAUUGGGUGUUAUAUUAAGGACUUUAAAUCAACUAACUUGAAUUUCUCCUAGUGUAAAUGUCUGGUUCAGACAACUAUGAUCUUCCCAAAUCUCUUGGAACAAGCUUUCCUAAUGAAGAUGAUGUUCCGUAAAUCAUACUUCACUUCCUCCACCUCCAUCAAUUAUUCUCCCUAACCCACAAGUUCUUGAAUAGUUCAAGGUCACUCAAGCCCUAUUGGCAAGUAAGGUCUAUGUGUGCUCAGAUCUUGGUGAUGAAGUCACAUAUAAAGCCGGGAGAGUUGGGUGUCAAAGUCUUGAGAAAGUUGGUUGUUCAAACAUUUUCUAAGUCACAGAGUGAGUUUCCUUUGGGACUACUAUGAAACAGACUAUGCAUGACCCUUAAUGAUCUUAUAUAUUUGCUUGGUGCUGUUGAGUCAGCAAUGAUUUGGAGCAUUGGUAAAGCAAAUGUGAUUAGAAUAUCAACUUCCGAAACUUCCAUGGACUUUGACAAUGGUAACAUUGAAUAUCCAGGAAAAGCUUUUUCUUCCCAAUGGAAAGGGAUCGGAUAUAGUCAACUCGGUUGACCAAAUGGUAAAGAGAAAGGAUAAGUCUGAGAUAGUAUUGUGUACCAUUCACAAAGGGUCCAUAUGUUUCUAUUGCCAAAGGAUAAUUCUGAAACAUUGGAAAAGUUUCGAUGUAUGGCAGAACGAAUGAGAAGAAUCAAAUUAGGCAGAAAGCUAAAAGUUUCUCAAAUCCGAAAAGAUGGGAGAGUACUUUAGUAUCAUGUUUUAUGAUCAUCUUAAUGAUUGUGAGACCAUAUCAGAAUUCAUCCUCUAGGGACAUCUUAGUGCAUUUUGAUGGCUAAGAAGAGGAGUCAUGAAUUAUUGAAAUGGUUAAAUCAAGAAGAUGCAUCAUACUUCGUUCCUAAACAAUUCUUAGAGUCAUACUCCAAGAUUGUAACUUGAGUGACAUAUCUUAAAGAAAGGUUUAUAACACUUGUCAAAUGUAAGAGUAAAAUGUGUCCUACUAUUGUACAUUUGAAAUUGGUAAGUUGUGAUGUUUUGGAGAAACAAAGACCAACUAAGGCCAAUUGUGUAAAGUGUUGGCCUUGACAAACAAUCCACACUAUCUCUUGAAUAUCUGUCUAUCAAGGAGUGACUCUUGGAAAGAGAGUCUUAUAUGUCAAGAGGACAGUGGGAGUCUUAAAGAUCUUGAAAAAGCUUCAAGAUCUAAUCAAGAAUAAAAACCUGUAGUUUAUCACUAGCACACGACGUGAGGUUUAUAACCUAUCGUGUUGACAUAUUCCUAUUUAUGUGCCUACUCCAGUUAAAGUUGGCUUUGCAUAUGAGUUUUGAGAGUUCUCAGUUGGUUGCAAAACAACUUGGAAGCAAUGGUAGGCCCUUGUGCUGCUCGGUGGUAAGAAGUUAAGACUGCGCAAGUUCAAUCCAUAUGAGUUUGGAUUUGUCACUAACUUUGUCUUGAGAUUAUGGUUUUGACAAAUUCACAUGGAUAGGAACACAUACACCAUAAAAUCUAAGUGUCAUAAGGUUUCUCUCCGAUUCAUGAAAAUGAUGGUGAGGAAACACUUUUACUAAGUAGGUUUUAAGUAGACAACAAUUGUGAUAUUCGCGUUCUCAAAGUCGUUAGUGGAGCGUGUGUGGUUAACCGGCACACUAACAUGGACUUGUGAGGAAUGGCAAAUGUCUAAACAAUUGAGACUAUGAUUACGACACCCCUUUCAUAGUUCUGAAAUUGUUUGGACACAUGUGUGCUAUCUAAGUAAAGGUGUAUGAUUUUGAUAAAGUUUUAUCAAAGCAUUUCGUAUCAGAAGUCUGACCUUUGGUAAAAAAAGUCAAUAAAGUAUUGAUUUCUAGAAGUCCAGCUGAUAUCUGAGUACAUGUCAAAGCUAGUGGGAGUAUAAGUGUUAUGCUGAUAAUUCUCAUGUUAGUGGGAGCAUGAUAAUUAUGAUAAGCGUUGCUAAUUAGCAAUGUUAAUUAUAGAAAACAAAAAGUUUCAAUUGGGAAAAGUUGGUUUUCAAUAAUUAAGGGAGAGGAAUUGUACUUCAUUUCAAUUCUAAAAACUUAGAUUGAAAUUUUAAUCAAAUUUAGUCAAGCAUAUAUAUAUAUAUAUAUAUNAUAUAUAUGAAUGUUAUGCUGGAAUGGUUCAACAUUAGGAAAUUCUAUAUAUGGGAACAUUAUUUGCGUUCUAAAAUUCGAUUGUGAUUACGGCAUCCCUUUUCAUAAUCUGAAUUAUGAGAACAUGGCAAAUAGAAAUAGAAGUAUUAUAGCAAAAACUCGUCUAGUAUCAUGUCUUUAUGUGAGACAUCAUGAAUUGUGUCUUAUAUGCUUUGGAUAUAGGAUCGAUUACAUGUGCUAUAAUAUUCAUCUGUUCCAAAUUUUUCCAAAUGCCCAGAGCAUUAAGAGGGAAAAAGUACUAGAACUGGAUAUGACUAAAAUGAUUAAGCAAUUGUCGAGGACAAUCUAAGGUUUACCAAAGAUUGGUUGCCCAGGGACAGUUGGAAGUAUAGUGUUAAUUUUAGAAGGACCAUAUUGACAUAUUUUGAAAGGAGGCAACUCUUGUUCAAAAGUGAUACUCAAAAUGGGAAUAUGGAAAUGUCUCAAUGAGUAGAAACUAUUAAAUCUGUGUAAGAUUAGAAAACUUAAUGCAAGAAGGAUGUUCAAAUCAAUGUACUUUGAAUAUCAGACUUCAUUUCCAUGGAGUUGAUCUCCACAGGAAUACUCUGUAAUGUUUGUUGACAAGUCUUUGUGACUUUGUGCAUAAUCAUUAUAGAGGAUCAGUGCAUAUAAGUUUAAAAUCUAACAGAUCUCGGUAAAUGGCAGGAAUUUGGAAUUCUUGCUUUUGCGGUAAGGAUUUGGGAUUGUGAAAUGAGAAUCAUUGGAAUUAUGUUCAAUCGAUCUAUUUCACAAAGUAAAGAUCAUAGACAAACUUAGUGUGCAUACUUGGUGUAUGGCAUAACUAAUGUUUGGAAAAACAUAGUAUGCAUACUUGGUGUAUGGCAUGACUAGUGUUUAGAAAACAUAGUGUACAUGCUUGGAGCAUAGGACAACUAUUGUUUUAAUUCAAGUAUUAAGUUGAUAAAUUUGAAACGUUAUGCAAUGAAUAAUGUGUAAUCAAUAUGGUGAUAAAUAAAAGGUGUUCUAUUUAUAUUCAUAAGUUUUGAGACCGUAUUGGAUUCUAUUAUUCUUGUGUUUCACUUUGCAUGUUUUGACUUCCAGAAUAACUAGGUCGUUCUUCCUAAACGACUAAGUUGUUCAAACCAUCCACAGUUGAUAAUACAUUGGAAGUAGGUAUUAAGGCAAGACUGUCAUAAAGCUGGUUUGUAGAUGUCCAAUGUAUUGAACAUAGCAAGAGUUGUUGCAACAUUCAUGAGUGCUCAUAAGUUCUAAGUGUUGGAUUAAACCCAUGCUUAUUUGACUCACUUCAUGGAUUUUAUUACGAGUGAUCAUGAGACGAUAAUAUCAUAUAUUCUUCAAACCUAGAGAUAUGAGUUGUUGCCUAUGAGUUGGUUAUACAUUUAUUAUACGAAAAUGCAUUGGUAACUUGAUGUUAUAAAAUGUGCAUUUAUUUAUAUUUCAACAAUUAGUAGAACAAGCAUAUGACUCGAAGUUUAUACAUUCCUUUUACCCUUGAAGGGAUAACAGCGAUAUCUGUGGGCCCCUCGAUGAUUUAGUGAUGACACCCUGAAGUGCUUGGCCAAGCUUGGACUGAUUUAAUUUGUUCAAUUAGUCGGUCAUCAUAAAUUGGAAAUUGGGAAACAACAAAUGGACAGUGAGAAUGAUUAUAAUCCAUGUCUCAGUCCAUAUGAUAUCUAGAAUGGAGGAAUAUAUGAUCCCUUAUCUAAUGGACAAGUCAUUGACUAAGGUCAGAGUUCGACAGCAGAUUUAAGAGCUAUGAUUACUAGUCGGGUUUUGAAGAAUAAUAGAUUUAGACUUAUCCAAGUGGGAGACUGUUGGAUUAGUGUCAAAGCCCAUAACUAUAAUUGGUAUGUACUUGACCCGAUUUGGCAUGAUCCAUUUGGGUUGCACUUCACCGGAACAUUUUAUAUGGAUAGUCUUUUGGGAAUAGUAUGUUUAUGAUUUAUAUUAAUAUAUUAUAAGUUCUAAUAAAUUAAUAUGGAAUCAUAUUAUUUAAUUAAUAUUGAUCAAGAAUUAAUUUUGUGAUCAAAAUGAACUAAUUCAAUAUGGACUCUUAUAUAUAGUAUGGGCCAAGUACAUUUAGGUUGGGUUAAGCUUGCAUGGAUAGUGCAUGGAGUUUUUAACCCAUGGAUCCUAUGGAAAUGAAAGGUCAUGGGUAUUAGGGUUUACAUGGAUGAAACCCAAAUCCUCCAUACUAUAUAAAGAGGCCAUUGGCACAUCAAAUGGCACUAGUGUGUGAGAAAACAAGAGUGGGCCAAUUUUAGUGUGCUUACUAUUCUCUAAAGUUUUCUAUAACACUCGUGUUUCUAUCCUAGGCAUUUAUAUUGAGGUGAUAGUCUAGGUUAACCUUUGUAACUCAUUUUGAAGAAAUGAAAAGAAAUUAUGUGAAUAUUAUGUGAAUUAUGUGUUUUAUGCUUAAUUAUUAGGGCUUAAUUAAUUAAGAAUAAAAAUAAGCAUCAAAAUUAAAGUGUGAGAUAAGCCCUAUAUCUUUACAUAAAGUUGUAGUUGUCGAACAAGGAUUUCGGGGAUAUAAAGAAUGCCGAAAUCCGAGUUAUAACGAAUAAGUUAUGACCUGUCGAAGUUUCGCGACAAAACCGACAUAGUGUCGAAUGUCGAAAAAAGUGAGUUUUUGAUAAACUACUUUUUAGCCUUAGUGAUCUAAAAGAAAGUCUUAGUAUUCGUUAAACCGAGAAGUUCGAUAAAAAAAACGCCCAAAUCUGACUUCGUAUGAAGAAGUUAUAAUUUUUCGAAGUUUCAGCUUAGCAGUAGACAUCUAAAAACUCGAAUUUUAGAUUGAGCAAUUUUUAGCCGACACAACCUAAACGAGAAUUGAAGGUCUCGUUAUUAGUAGCAUAACGGUAAAAAGUCUGACGAAAAUGGACGUCGGAUGAAGAAGUUAUGAAUUUUUAACGGAUUUCCUGUCCCGGUCUGUUAAAAAUAAUAAUAAAAAAAUUAAAGUCAAAAUUAGCUGACGGAGUCUAAACGAAAGUUGUAGAGCAUAAUUUUACCUACGCGUGCAUAUAAAGAACAUCAAAAACGGAUCCCGUAUGCGAAAGUUAUGGAUUUUAGAAGUUUUGGCGCGAAAAUCGAGAAAAUUCGCAUAGUCACGUUUUGCCACGUCACCUUCGCUGAAAGAGUGCCAUGUGUCCUGCUGAGUCACCGAGCUGUUGAGUCAUGCGAAGACACGCGUCGGAUCCUGAUUCGACCGAGGAGGAGCCCCAAUCCGAAGCAGCCAGCUCUCCGGCCGAAGCUUCGCCCUACUGCCGCGUGUUCCGAGCCUCGCACUUGGGUCACGAGUCUGCGGUCCAAUCAGCAGCUGCCACCGAGUCCCUCGCACCUGCGCACCCUUGCCUGCAGACCCCGCCACCGAAGCCGACUUCAGACCCUAUAAAUAGAAGGGGACCUGCGAGCCUUCUCGGGUAGAUUUGGAUAUUUGCCAUUUUUCACCCCUUUCUUCAUCUUUUCUUCACCUUAACCUUCCCCGAAGCCCCAGUAUCGAUAGUAAACCCCGGAAUACGCCACGAAGUGCCAGUGAAUCCCGGAAAAUUUAUCUUUUCGGUUUCGAAGCUUUGCAAAGCCCGGUUUCUCAAUAAAACUCUCAGUUUUAUUAGAAACGAUCGUUUUUGGAAACGAAUUGCUGCCCGAUUAUCAUCAAAUCAUGUGAGUGUAUAGUCACUUUCAUUUUACACAUAGAUAUGAAGUAUUUACCUUAUAAUACAUGCUAUGUGUAAAUAUAUUAAUUGUUUAUUUGAGGUAACUGUUGAGUUAAUGUUUUAUACAAGUUUUAAACUGUAUACGUAUUUUUUUAUCUACAAAUAUGUUGGGUAGAACAUGGGUAGAUACUGAUGUGUGAUAAAAUAAAAUUGAUGAGAGGCCUCGAUGUGUUUUGAGAUUCAGUCAUCUAGCGGAGUUUGGAUGACGACCACGGACUUUCUAGACAGUCUAGUGGGAAACAUUAGCAGGUCCGCAACCUGUAGGUAUUAAUGAACUAAGAGUGUUCAUUCGUUGUACUCCAUCCCCCUCAUGGUUGCCUUUAGGACAUGUAUGGCUGAGGAAACCCCUUAGCAGUAGUGUCUAUCCCGAUGAUAUUCUUUAGGCUAGGUCCCUUGUGAAAAGUGUUUAGGGACGUAAAGUGAGGAUAACGGGAAUGGGUAAUCAGGGUUAUUGUUGAUUGGUGAACUUAAUAAGUUUUAUAUUAUUGUGGGUUGAAAACCCUAUAUGCUCACCAGGCUCCCAAGCCUGACCCACUCAGCUUUUUAUGUUACAGGUAGUGGACCCCGAGCAUAGUCGGAGGACGACGAGAGAUUUUUGGAUUAUAGGCCAGUAGUUGUAAAUAACUGUUGAAAGGCUUAUAAUGUCUUGUUUAUGCUUUUGAUCUGUAUCGGAACAUGACGUCCCGAGGUUUUGAUAUAUAUGGAAAAUAUAUACCUUCUUAAUGAAGGGUUUUGAUAAACUUUUAUCAUAUGUUGUUUGGGGACCAAUUCCGCAACAUCUUUUACACAGAUUUCUCUGAUUUUAUUUUAAAAAGCAUAAACCAGAUCGGUCUUUUCUGACCGAGAAAUUAAGGGAUGUCACAUUUUCCAAGGUGUUCUUGAUGAUUUGUGAUUCUACUUGAGGCUUCCAAACUAUUGGGGCUAAACUCUUAAAGUUCAAGACUUCAAGCUUCAUCAAAAAGGUAUGUUAUCUAACUAGACUUUUGUAGUAUAGUUGCUUCAUGUUAUGCUAGUUAGAUUAAAACCUUGGAAUAUGAAAUAUUUGCAUGUAUAAUAGAGAAAACAUAGAUCCAAGGUUUUUAGGGUUGCAUGUACACCAUAGGAGUGUUAGAAUGUUCAAAACCCAUCAAUAGUGUCAUGGGAAGGAUUGAGAUAAUCCUUCAUAUGACAGAGCUCACCAACAUAUCAGGCAGAGACUUCAAACAACUCAAAGUUGAUAGAAGAGGUACGCCGACAAGUGUCGAUCCGAGUUGGAGUUUUAGGUUGGCGACAUGGUCUUGCUAAAGGUAUCACCAUGGAAGGGUGUAAUGCGCUUUAUGAAGAGGGGCAAGUUGGGUCCCCGAGAUAUUGGGCCAUUUCGGGUGAUUUCCAGGGUUAGCAAGGUAGCUUACAAAAUCAAUUUUCCUGAGGAGUUCAGCCAGAUCCACAUCACUUUCUAUGUUUCAUAGCUUUGGAAGUGUGUGACAGAUGAUUCAACAGUUGUUCUUUGGAGGACGUUCAGGUUGAUGAAUCGCUGAACUAUGUUGAGAGGUGAGUGGCGAUUUUGGAUAAAAAGACGAAGGUCUUGCGCAACAAGGUGGUAUCGUUGGUCAAGGUCUAGUGACAGCAUUGGAUGGGUUCCUCAAACUCCAAGAACAUUAAGAAAUAUGUUUUUAUAGAUUUUUUAUUACGAAAUAUUCAAUCAUUUUUAGGAAACGAAACUCAUUGGAUUCAUAAUCAAUCAUUUAUAGAUACAGGUUUACACAUUCAACAACUUAGUCAAAGUAGUUUUUGACUUUGACUAUACUUUUAUCCUUAAUAUCGAAACUUUAGGCUCCAUUGUUGAUUUAAACAAAUACUCAAACUAUUUUAAAGGGUUGACUAAAUGGACAUCCCAUUUUACCAUUUAGACACCCUAUAUAAUUUUUAAGGUAUUUUUAUUGGUUAAAAUUAUAUUGUUUUUUGAAAAAGAUGAUUAAAAAUGGUUACCUAUUGGUUGACUUUUGAUAAAGAUGUCUAUAUGAUUUCUAAAGGGUGACUUAACAGCAACACCCCUAUUUUAAUUGUAUAAUUGUUUUAAUGCUCAACGAACAUGAUUACCCCUGGUAUAUUAUAAGACUUACGCAUAUUUUCUCUUGCAUGUGCAGAGGUUGCAUACGUUUUGGGGACACAAAAGAACCUUUUAUUCUAAGUCAAAAGAUAAGAAAAAUUUUCACUAUCUUUCUUUGAUUACAGGAUCAAGAUUAAUUUAUAUCUAUAUAAUAUUUCUAUAUUUAGAUUUAUAGCUAUGAGAUCGCGGCUUGAUAAAAAUUUCCAUUUCGUUGCAUCCAAGAUUUUUGUUCUGACAAUCGUAUGAAGAAUGGAUGCGAGAAAAAGACUCUCAUUCCCAGUUUCCUAUUUAUUUUAUUGAAUAUUGUUAUUGUAUUGAGUAUUGAAGUGAAGUAAAAAAUUGGAAACUCUCUCUUUUCUAACAGAGAAAAAGAAAUAGAAAAAGAUUAGUAAUUUACUAUACAUAACAUAAAAAUUAGAAGAAUUUAGAAAGAGAGUUCUUUUUCUUAAUCUCAUGAAGACUUUGGUCUUAUUGUAAUUGUAUAGGAGUUUUUGAACUAAAAAAGGAGCAAUAACGCCCUCUUGAUAAAACAAGAGGGAAGCUAUUGCUCCUUUUUUUUUAUUUAGUAGUAUUUGCCUUACAUAGUUUCUUUAGAAAUAACAAGGUCUUUUGUUUGGUUCGAUUAGCAUGUUUUCUCUUUGUAUUAAUUUAGAGGUUUAUAUAUUCUUUUCCCAAUGUUUUAUGAAGUUUGAUUUACAAUUGAAUUUCAAUCUAAAAUAGAUAAAAAUGAAAAUUUUUAUUAUUUAUUUCUUUGAUUUCAGAAAUAAGAAAGAAAAUAAGAAAGAAAUAAUAUGCUCUUUUUUUUUCUGUUAAUGGAAAAAUCUAGNUGAAUUAGUAGAAUUUGAAGAGGGUACAAUAGGCAUUGCUCUUAAUUUGGAAUCAUGCGUCUAGAAAGGUCAACGACCAUAUACCAAAAAUUUAUUCCUCGUAACUAAAAAUUUAUUAUAGUUUUAGUUUUCAAAACUCCUUUAAACACAAAAUUUAUCACAAGUUUUCAAUUUUGAUAUAGUGAUUCUUAUUUGUUAGUUACAUAUUUACGUCUGUAAUAUCAUGCGCGUUUUAUUGAAAUUUAGACAUAUAUUAUGCUAUUGAAACAUCUCAUACGCUUUUUUUUUUUUUUUUUUUUUUGUCGUGUUCUCCUUCUAAAAAUAAACAUUCGUGUUUAAAUAAAUACGGUGAAAAAUCGUUUCUACAUGCUGUAUUAUGCGAUGAAUUAGUUUUAAAGAUAACUUUUUAAAUAGACAUCAUUAUAUUUUUUUGCGGCUUUGUUAUGCUUCAUACAUCAGUGGAAUAUAUUUCCUAUACUUUCUCAUCUGUAUCAUCUACAAUUUAUUUGAAUAAUAAUUUGUUUGAUUCUGGUAAUAGUUUUAUGAUUGCUUUGAUAUGGGGAUCCAUUAUUUCUUCGAGUAAAUAUUUUAGUUAUACAAAAUAGGGAUGUAAGUGGGUCCAAAACCGGACCGGAUGGACCCGGAACCGGUUAACAGGAUUUUGUAGAACCGGAAACCGGACCGGUAUAUAGGAACCGGUUCCGGUUCGGUUCCGAGUAAAGUGGGUCUAGAACCGGAAAACCCGGAAACAUCAAAGUGGGUAGGUUGGAAGCGGAUAAAAUGAGUUUAGAACCGGAAAACCCGGAAAAACCGGAAUUUUUUGGUAAUUACUUACUACUUAGUGGGUUGAACUUUGAAAAUUUUCAUAUUGAUAUCCUGACUUUGGGGGAUUGUAACUCAUUGAAUAUAAAGCCAAAAUUAACAAAAUUAUAGUCUAAAAUCAUGUACAAAUUCUAAAGUAAACUCCGGAAAAAACCGCAUGUCAAUCCGACUUUAAACGAAUGUGAUAUGCAUGUAUUAGCAUUUUCACAUAAUACAAAGUACAAAAACAAAUAGCUUGAUAUCCCGACUUUGGAGGCCUGUAAAUCAUUGAAUGUUAAAUCAAAAAUGACAAAAUUAUAGUUUAAAAUCAUGUACAAACUGUAAACUACAAAUUGGAAAAAACCACAUGUCAAUCCGACUUCAAACGAAUUAGAUAUGUUUGUUUUAAAACUUUCACCGAAUACAAAAAAACUGAAAAAUUAAAAACUUCCAGCUUUGAUAUAUCGACUUUAGGGGACUGUAAGUCAAUGAAUAUAAAACUAAAAAUGACAAAUUUAUAGUCUAAAAUCAUGUACAAACUCUAAAGUACAUGUUGGAAAAAACCGUAUAUCCAUCGGAGUUGAAACGAAUGAGAUAUGAAUCUUUUAAACGUUUCACAAAAAACCGGUUCUGGUUCCAAAAACCGGUUCACCGGAACCGGUUUUUAGACCCGGUUUACCCGGACUCGAUGGACCCAAACCCAGAUUACCGGGAAUCUGGAUAAAGCCAAUUUUUAAACCCGGAACCGGAACCGGUUCUAUAUAUUCCGGUUCUAACGACGGUUCCAGUUCCGGUUCGAUUUUCCGGUUCUAAAUCUCAUCCCUAUUACAAAAAAGAUAUGGUAAGGUUGAAAUCAUUGUUGCAAAUGACAUGGUGAAAAUCAAUAUUAGUCUUUUUUGAACGUAUUGAAAAAAUCAGUUUGAUAAUAUAAAUUAUUUAAUAUUUUUAUCUAUAUUUUUCAUAUAAAUAAAGUUAAUUUAUUAAAGUAGUGUUAGGGUGAAAAACUCUACGUUGGAUGGUAUCUUAGGUUUCCCCCUUUGUGAUAUAGGUUUUUUGGGUAGAGCUUUCAUAUAUAUAUANNNNNNNNNNNNNNNNNNNNNNNNNNNNNNNNNNNNNNNNNNNNNNNNNNNNNNNNNNNNNNNNNNNNGAGAGAGAGAGAGAGAGAGAGAGAGAGAGAGAGAUUAGUGUAGUGUAGUAAGAAAGCACAUGCUUCUACAUGUUUGUACUUCUCUGUAGGGAUGAGCUUUAGAACCGGAACCGGUUUUCCUAUAUUAUAAGAGCAGGGAACCGGACCGCCAGUUCUAGCGCCGGUCCGGUUCCGGUCCCGAUUUUUCGGUUAUUUAUCAAAGUAGAACCGGUUGAAAUACUAUAGAUUAUAUGCUAUCUUCCGGAGGUUGUAAAUGAUUAAAUAUUUAACUGAAUUAUGAGUUUUUACGUUCUAAAUUGAAGUACAAACACUAAGUUACAUGACGAAAAAAUAAUCAAGUAAUUCCGAUUUCAUAUGAGUAAGUUAUGCGCAUUUUAAAAGUGAGGACAUAUUCUAAAAAAAUAAAAAAUGCUGAAACAGAAAAAGCGCAACAUUGAUAUGUUGUCUUUCGAGGUCUAUAACUGAUUUAAUAUCUAACUAAAAUAUGUGUUUUUAUAGUCUAAAAUGAACUACAAACAUCAAAUUACACGAUGGAAAAAAAUUAAGUAAUUCCGACGUCAUAUGAAUGAGUUAUACAUAUUUAAAAAAUCGAACAGAUUAAAAAAAAAACCAAAAAAAUAAUGCUGAAAAAAAAAACAUCGAUAUGCUUUCUUUCGGAGCAUGUGUCUGAUUCAAUAUCUAACCAAAACAUAUGUUUGUACCGUCAAAAAUGAAUUACAUACUUCAAAUUACAUGUUGGAAAAAAAAGUCAAAUAAUUCUGACUUCAUAUGAAUGAGUUAUGUGCAUUUUAAAAAAUGAAAAAAAUGUCAAACCGGUUCCGGUUUUUAGAACCGAGACCGGUUUUCAUAAAAAUGGAGAGCCGGUAACCGGACCUAUUACCAAUUCCGGUUUCGGUUCCGGCGGUUCUAAUGCUCAUCCCUACUUCUCUGUUAUCUAUACAAAUUAUGCUUAAACUUUAGAUCGGGUCUUAUCGAUUAUGCAAUGAUUCUUCAAAUUCCGCAUUUGUCAUCUUCAUUGGAAUCCUACAUGUGGCAUCAGAGCUUAAUCUUGAAGGUUUAACAACUUUUUCAAGAUCAGUGAUCCUAUAUAGUAAUAUUUUUGUGUGUAAUCGACUAGAAGAUUUGAAUUUUUCUUUGAUGAGUCACUCCAUUUGAUCUAUUUGCUUAUAUUCUAAAUUUGUUGAUCCAAUUAUUUUUUGAUUUAGACCAAAUUAUAAUUUGAUCUGCUUAUUAUUCAUCGUUUUGAGUCAAAUACAAAUCUCAUGAUUCGUUACUGUAUAUAUCUUGCUUAUUUAAGCCCAAUUUUUCUAUUGAUUUGUUACUGUUAAUUACUGAAUUUCAAGCCCAAAUAGUGUUCCAAGCCCGAUAUCUACAUUCUUAAAUUCAGAUCUAAAAUGCUUUGACGAUUAUUCACUAAUCUGAUCUUUGACUUUCACACAUCUGGUUGAAUAGUGAACCACUCUCAAUUUGAAACCUGUGACUGUAUAUCAGUUCAACGAUUCUCUUUUGUUCACGAUUUUGAGUCUGAUUGAGUUUUGCCCAAUUCGUAUAUCGGGUUUGUAACCAAUUCAUCGAAAUUGUUGAUCAUCACUAAUAUUCUUCAAGUUUUAUCUAAUACGUUGAUUGAUCACAAUCUUUAUCAAUCAAUUAUAUAUAUAUAAUCUAUAUCUUUUUAAUUUUGGUAUCGAUUUUUUUAUGGAAAUUAUGAUUGUAGUGAUGGUGAUAAUCGAUUCUUGAUUGGAUUUCGUUCAAGAAGUUGAAUAUGAUAAGAUCUUUGAAAUUUAUGUGAAGAACAUUUGAUGAACAGUUGACAUCUGAUGUUUGAUUUGAAGUUGUUUAGAAAAGUGUAGGUUUGGUGUUUGUUGGUAAUUCAGUUUGAUAGUCAAAGAAGAAUUGAAAGGUAAAAAUUGUGAAUGUCAGUAUGAGAACGAAAGUAAUUGUCUUGCUUUCUCUCAGGCUUUGAAGACUGCUCUUUAUAAGGUGAUUGCCCAACCUAGCUCGGUUGAGGUAUGGAUGUGUUUGUUACUUCUUCCUCACUGCACACUGCAGGUGUUUAGACCCAAAAAUAGACAAGAAUGCAGGUUUGGGAAUAGAAAAUCCUUACAGCAAAGCUCCAUCCUGAAGUCCUUGGAUACAUGGGGGAAAGAGGGUGGUAUCACCAAGUUAGUUCAAAAUAUGUUAGACAAUCCCGAGAUCGGAGCUAUGAGACAAGGUGGAGGCAUCCUUUAGAAGGAGUCUACAUCAAGUAACACCAACAUCAGACAGUGUCUCCGUAAGGUUGUAGAUGGUCAUUUUACCGCAGCAGUGAAAGUGUUAUGCUCAUCGGGUGUUGCACCAUAUAAUGGUGAUACUAUUAAAGCUUUGGAGGACAAACACCCUUUCAGGCCACACACAUCCAUGCCGAGCCCCAUAAUCUCUGAACCUCCUCUUGUAGCAGACUUUGAUUGUGUAUUUGGUUGCAUCAAAUCCUUCCCUAAAGGAACUUCUUGCGAGAGACAUGGCUUGAGGGCUUAACACUUACUAGAUGCCCUUUGUGGAGAAGGGUCUGCUAUUGCCACGGAUCUCAUACAUGCUAUCACUUCAGUGGUUAAUUUAUGGUUAGUAGGAAGAUGUCCAACCAUUUUGGCAGAGUUUGUUGCAUCUGUUCCUCUAACGCCUCUACUUAAACCUGACAAUGACAUCCGUCUGAUUGUAGUAGGCACUAUAUGGAGACGUCUGGUUUCCAAGGUUGCCAUGAAAGGUGUGGGUAAAGAAAUGGCCAAGUACCUUAAUGAUUUUCAGUUCGAGGUUGGUGUAUCCGACAGUGCUGAGGCUGUGUUACACAGUGCCAAUAGGGUGUUGAGUGAACACCAUGCUGAUGGGUCUCUUGUAAUGCUGACCAUGGAUUUCUCGAAUGCCUUUAACUUGGUGGAUUGAUCAGUAUUGCUCCACGAGGUUAAGAAGAUGUGCCUUUCCAUUUAUUUGUGGGUGAAUUUCUUGUACGGGCAAGCAGCAAGACUUUAUAUUAGAGACCAACAUAUAUGGUCUGCCAUUGGGGUGUAGCAAGGUGACCCUUUGGGCCCUCUUCUCUUUGCCCUCGUUUUGCACCCGAUUGUGCACAAGAUUAGAUACAAUUGUAAGCUCCUUCUCCAUGUUUGGUAUCUAGAUGAUGGGACUGUCAUUGGGGAUUCAGAGGAACUGGCUAGGGUGUUGAACAUUAUUCGGUUACAUGGUCUCGGCUUGGGUCUUGAGUUGAACAUCAAAAAAAUAGAGAUUUUUUGGCCCUCCUGUGAUGGUAGGAAGCUUCGUGCCGAUUUAUUCCCAAUGGAUAUAGGGAGACCUUCUUUGGGGGUGAAGCUCGUUGGGGGGGGGGGGGGGUGGGGGNACGGAGGGUUUAUUAGCAGGCUGGCCAUGAAGAGAGCGGUCAAUGCUGUUGAUUUGAUGGGCCUUCUUCCACAAAUAUGUGACCCGUAGAGUGAGCUACUUUUGGUUUGGUCAUGUAUGGGCAUUGCAAAACUUUUCUUUGGUUUAAGGACAUGCCAGUCGGUACACAUAGAAGAGUCAACUUUGUUCUUUGACAACGGAUUACGCAGGUCUAUCGAGGAUAUGGUGGUAUGUAGAGGCCCCUUCUUUGGAGACAUCCGGUGGCGCCUGACCUCCUUACUUAUUCGUUUCAUUGGUUUGGGUUUGUACUCGGAAUACGAGGUUUCCUCCUACGCAUUUGUAGCCUCUAGGGCCCAAUCUUGGGCAUUACAAUACCACAUCUUGCAUGACAGUGGCGUAUGUGGUAUGGACUCGGAUUACCUAUCUGCUAUGACUCGUCUUUGCGAUACGAUUCCGGGAUUUGACUGUAGCGGUUUCACUAAUAAGGACCCCCCCCCCCCCCCCCUAAAUCCCAAAAAGCUUUGGCGUGUGCCCUUUUUAGCAAAAUCGUCUAAGAUAUGGAAGUCGACUUCGACAUGACUAUCAGACAGAAAGCAGUCUUUGAGUGUUUGCGCACACCUCAUGCUUAGGAUUUUCUGUUAACUAUCCCUAUUGAUGGUCUUGGCUAACAUAUGUCUCCUGUGGAGUACUGAACUAUCCUUCGUUACCGCCUCAUGAUUCCCAUAUUCCGAAUUGACUAGAUAUGCCCAGUUUGUUGCAAUGCAUGUUUGGAUACCUUUGGGGAACACGAGGUUCAUUGUAGAGAGCUCCCUAGUUUGAAUUACAGAAAUGAUGUGGUUCGGAAUGUUCUCUUUGAUGUUUGUCGGCGUGCUGGUAUUUCUGUGAAUAAAGAAGCGUCAGUGAACUUUUUGAUGGACCCGCAGGAUGGAAGGUCCACAUUUAGACCGGGUGACAUUUUGGUCUUUGGAUGGAUAGGAGGGAAGAAUGUGUGCGUGGAUCUUACUGGGGUUUUUCCUCUCAUUGGUUUGGGGAGCGAGGGUUUCACAGCAGGGCAUGUCGCUUUGAAAGCCGCUACGUGCAAAGCGGUAAAGCACGAGAAUGCAUGUAUAGAAAAUCAGCAUGUGUUUGUACCUUUUGCAUUCGAUACAUUUGGGUUUCUUGCAUCAGAGGCGGUGGAAAUCCUCAAUAGAGUCCAACGGGUCAUGCAUUCUAAUGUCAUAUCUCCUAGAUCCACAAAUGUUGUUUUCAAAAGAAUUGGUUUUGCCAUCCAGAAAGGGCUAGCGGCACAGCUUGUUGCCCGUUUGCCUUCAAUCGAUAUGUAUUGAACUAAAAUAUGUAGUUACUUGAUAAUUUAUAGAUAUAUUUAAUAUAAGAUUGGAUCUCACAUGUUGAUUGAAGAUUAUUUUGCAAUUGGAUUGUAGGUCUCGGAACUCGAAAUCUCAUAGUUUGGAAUAUCUGUUUCGACUCGUUUGCAUCUACUGUGACUCGCAACUCGCAAGUGAAUGGUUGGCAACUCGCGACUCUCAAUUGAAACCACUCGCAAGUUUGAUAACGAAUGAAUAAUAACAAGUGAUUCGAUAUUGAGUAGUUGAGUUAUUAAUUUUUGAUAUCGAAUGGUUUGAGUUACGAAAGUUCGGUUUUCUUUACGAGUGGUUGAAGGGAGCUCGAUAACGAGUGGCUAGAAAUGGAUGUUUGAAUAUCGUUUGGUUCAGAUAGCGAAUUGAUGGGAUUUCAAUUGUUCUAUGGUUAAAGAAUAGACAUCGAUUCUAAUCGUUAGAUAUUGAUAAUCAAAGAUGAAACAGAAAAAGUCAAAAUUGAAAGGUUGUUUUCGAUGGGCAGAAUGUUUAGUGUUGCCCUAUAUAACGAAUUGAUUUUGGGAUUGCAUAUGCGAAGGUUUGUGGCUAUGAUAUGAAAGAGUUGAUUGUUGAUGACGAAACUUUUGGGAAAGACUCAAUUCAAAAGUUUGGAAUUUGAAUUGUGAUUCCAUGGAUAAAGGCUGAUCGUGGAAACAAAGUUUCGAUCAGGAAAGUAUGUUUUGAAUGGGAAGCGUUUUUCGAUUUUCGUAUUGGAAGGAUUCGCAUAUGGCUAUGUAUUCGCUUUUUGCGUUAGUGUUUUUACAUCUGAUUACAUUUGGCGUAGAAGACUCAUAAAUUCACACAAUUGGUUGCUGAAUGUUCAGAGAAAUGACACUUUUUACCCAUAAACCUAAAUCUUUCGAAAAUUUGGAUAUUUUUUCGAGGAUUCCAAAGAGUGUUAUUUUUGCAAAACAUUUUCCAGCAACAUGAACAAUUGUGUUCAGUCGGGUGAAAAGUGGUCUGGGAAGUCAAGUUACAAAAGUGAUGUUUUUAUGAUAUUUUUGGAUUCGAAGUUUCACUUUUGUGUUACAUAGAGGGGUAGGAUUGUAUUGUCAAAUCCAUAUUGAGCACUUUAUCAUUCCCAUUUGGAGUUUUAUAAUCAUAUUUAGAUUAUANNNNNNNNNNNNNNNNNNNNNNNNNNNNUAUUAUGAUAUAGGUAUUCGAAAUCGCAAGUUUUUGGAUAUUCAUAUUUGGUGAAUGAUCAUUUAUGAUUAAAGACCGAUGUGACUUUGAGGAGGAGUUAGGUAUGAAGUGAUUUGAAUUUAAAAUUCUGAAAUGGUUUGUUUUUAUGAAGGGUUUUCUCUUAAAGAAGUUUUUAGGGUGUGAUUUUAAGCUCAAGGACGGGUAAUUUGCCAUGGGUUUUGGAUACUCAUGUACCAUAAAUUGCCUCUUGGUUUUUGUUGCUUUGGAUUAUAUUCUUAUAUUCUAGAACCUGGAUUAGAAGAUCAAUGAAAACUUGACAUUCUUUUGAUUGCUUCUAUAUUUAUAACACUGGUGGUCUUGUUCGCUAAGUUGCUCUUUUUGAAAAUUAAAUUCGCGUCAUCCAUUCCAAGCACAAAACACAUAAUACUCAAAUAAUACAUCUUUAUUAUUUCUAAACGGGUUACAAAGGUUAACCUAGACUAUUACAUCGCUAUUAAUGACAAGCCCAAAAACACGGGUGUUACAUGUAGAGUUAGUGGUAAUUACUUGGUAUUAUGGAGCUCGUUGAUAUUUCGAGAAGUAUUCAUAUGGUUUUGGAAUGUGUGUAAUCGCUAAGAUUAGCUAGUAAUGGAAUUCCAGUUCUUGUAAACUCUGUUUUUCCAUAGUUUGAAUAACAAGGUUGUGAGAUGGUGUGACAUCCCCUAAUUUUUCGGCCAGAAAAGACCGAUUUAAUUUAUGCUUUUGAAAAUAAAAUCAAAGAAAUCUUUUUAAAAAAUGUUGAGAAAUUGGUCCCUAAACAACAUAUGAUAAAAGUUUAUCAAAACCCUUCAUUAAGAAGGUAUAUAUUUUCCAUAUAUAUCAAAACCUCGGGAUGUCAUGUUCCGAUACAGAUCAAAAGCAUAAACAAGACAUUAUAAGCCUUUCAACAGUUAUUUACAACUACUGGCCUAUAAUCCAAAAAUCUCUCGUCGUCCUCCUACUAUGCUUGGGGUCCACUACCUGUAACAUAAAACUGAGUGAGUCAGGCUUGGGAGCCUGGUGAUCAUAUAGGGUUUCCAACCCACAAUAAGAAUAUACUUAUUAAGUUCACCAAUCAACAAUAACCCUGAUUACCCAUUCCCGUUGUCCUCACUUUACGCCCCUAAGCACCUAUCACAAGGGACCUACCCUAAGGAUUAUCAUCGAGAUGGACACUACUUCUAAGGGGUUUCCUCAGCCAUACAUGUCCUAAAGGCAACCAUGAGGGGGAUGGAGUACGCCAAUGAACAUUUAAUUCAUCAACACCUACAAGUUGCGAACCUUCUAGUGUUCCACUGGACUGUCUAGAAAAGGUCCGUGGUCAUCAUCCAUAAUCCGCUAGAUGACUACAAAAACAACAACAACAUCGAGGCCUCUCACCAUUUUAACACACAUAAGCUAUUUCAUCUACCCAUGUUCUACCCAACAUAUUUUGUACAUAAAAUACAUAUACAAUUUAAAACUUGUAUAAAACAUUUAUUCAACAGUCAGCUCAAAUAAACACUUAAUAUAAUUACACAUAGCACGUAUUUUAUAGAAAAUACUUCAUAUCUAGGUGUAAGAUGAAAGUGACUACGCACUCACAUGUUUUGAUGAAAAUCGGGUAGCAAUUCGUUUCCUAAAACGAUCGUUUCUAAUAAAACCAGGAAUUUUAUUGAGAAACGGGGCUCCGCAAAAGUCGGGCUUCGAAACCGAAAAGAUAAAUUUUCCGGGCUUCACGGGCACUUCGUGGCGUAUUCCGGGGUUUACAAUCAAUAUCGGGGCUUCAGGGAAGGUUAAGGUGAAGAAAAGAUGAAGAAAGGGGUGAAAAUGGCAAAUAUCCAAUUCUACCCGAGAAGGCUCGCAGGUCCCCUUCUAUUUAUAGGGUCCGAAGUCGGCUUCGGUGGUGGGGUCCACAGGUGAGGGUGCGCAGGUGUCAGCAUGUGCGAGGGACUCAGUGGCAGUUGCUGAUUGGACCGCGGGCUCAUGACCCACGUGCGAGGCUCGGAACACGCGGCAGCAGGGCGAAGCUUCGGCCGAAGAGCUGGCUGCUUCGGAUUGGGCCUCCUCCUCGGUCGAAUCAAGAUCCGACGCGUGGCUUCGCCUGACUCAGCAUCUCGGUGGCUCAGCAGGACAUGUGGCACUCUUUCAGCGAAGGUGACGUGGCAAAACGUGACUAUGCGAAUUUUCUCGAUUUUCGCGCCAAAACUUCUAAAAUCCAUAACUUUCGCAUACAAGCUCCGUUUGUUUACGUUCUUUAUAUGCACACGUAGCUAAAAUUACGCUCUACAACUUCCGUUUAGACUUCGUCGGCUAAUUUUGACUUUAAUUUUUUUAUUAUUAUUUUUAACAGACCGGGACAGGAAAUCCGUUAAAAAUUCAUAACUUCUUCAUCCGACGUCUGCUUUCGUCAGACUUUUUACCGUUGUGCUACUAAUGAUGAGACCUUCAAUUCUCAUUUAGGUUGUGUCGGCUAAAAAUCGCUCGAUCUAAAACUUGAGUUUUUAGUUGUCUACUACUAAGCUAAAACUUCGAAAAAUCAUAACUUCCUCAUACGAAGUCAGAUUUGGGCGUUCUUUUUAUCGAAUUUCUAGGUUUAACGAAUACUACGAAUUUCGUUUAGAUUACUAAGGCUAAAAAGUAGUUUAUCAAAAACUCACCUUUAACCACAUUUGGCACCUUGUCGGUUUUGUCGCGAAACUUCGACAGGUCAUAACUUCUUCGUUAUAACUCGGAUUUCGGCAUUCUUUAUAUCCCUGAAAUCCUUGUUUCGACCACUAAAACUUUAUGUAAAGAUAUCGGGCUUAUAUCACACUUUAAUUUUGACGCUUAUUUUUAUUCUUAGUUAAUUAAGCCCUAAUAAUUAAGCAUAAAAUACAUAAUUCACAUAAUAUUCACAUAAUUCCUUUUCAUUUCUUCAAAAUGAGUUACAAAGGUUAAACUAGACUAUCACCUCACUAUAAAUGCCUAGGAUAGAAACACGAGUGUUACAGAUGGAUUGGAAAUCCAUUAAUUUUUGUGGAUUGGAAGGUCACAGUCAAAUCCAAGUAGGGGAGAAACGUUUGGUCUAAGGGUUGCACAAGAAUGGAUAUUCAAGACUCAUCGCACAUCAAUAAUGACGCAUGGUGGAUAUGUCAUCAGGAAUAGGUUAAGGGUUGUGUUAGGGCCUCUCUACAUGUUCUUUUUUGAUUAAGGCUUUGGGACUUGAAGCAUAACCCAAACACCUGGUUGGGAUAUAGUUGGAUGCGAGUUCAAAUAAAUAGGAUCAUAGCUGGUAUGGUAAAUGAGCGGUAAGACCAUAUGUUAGGGUGCAAAUUCACGCUUGGAUGUAGGUUAUCCUUAUUGAUGUGUAAAUGAGUUGUCUUUCCUAUAAAUAGGAAGUGAGUGACACUCAUAUUCAGAAGAAUGAUCAUUUUGGAGUGUUAGUCUAAAGAGAGAAUUUGUACAAACCCAUUUGUAUACUCUUUCAAGAUCUAAUGAGAUCUUAACAAGAUUUAUUUACUCCUUGUGUUCAUAGUUUAUAUGAUGAUUCACUAUAUCUUUACUAAUUUCGCACAUGCCAUCAUAAUCAACACACUACAAUUGGUAUCAGAGCGGGUGUUCUUGAUUUUCAUCAAGAGUUGAUCCAUGGUGGCAAUCAUGAUUUGGUGAUUCUUCAUUGUGUUUUGAUCUUCGUGAUUUAGAGAGUUUUUGGAUUCUAGAAAUCGAAUUCAUCAUAUUUUCUAUUCAUAAUUCAAUUUUAUUCACUAGAAUUCAAGUGAUUUUUGCUUUCUCUUUCUAGAAAAUCCAUUCAAAAUCACUUUCUCUCUCUAGAAAUUUUCAAGUUCUUGUGAUCAUUGUGUAUUUAUCGUAUGAUUCUUGGAUUGUGAUGUUGAAGAUUUCAAAUACAAAGUCAACGAAGAUCAAUUUUAUGGGUUGGUGUUAAGCAAGUUGAUUUCAUGGGGUAAUAUGGGUUCUUUUGGAGAUUUGAAGGAUGAUAAUGGAAGCUUGCUUUUUCAACCACUUUGUAAGAUUGUAUGGUUGAAUAAAAUUGCAUUGUCCACAUUUGUUCGUAGUAGAAAUCAAAAGGAAGGGGAAGAAAGAGAUUCGUUUAAUAAGAAAUACAUUUCUCUAAUUGAAAACCCAAAUGAUCUUCGUGCUCUUAAGUUUGUUGAAGUUCAAGAUAAUGGAGUUCAAUGUGAUGUUCUUGAAGUUCAUGAUAAGAAGAUUCAAGUUGAUUCUCAUGAAAAUGAAAAAGUUUUUUGCUCAAUCAGAGUUUAAACAGAUGAUAUUUUGUGUUUUUGUGAUUCGUUUAAGGGAAUAUUUCCUUAUCGUAAGCCGGUAAUCCAACAAAUUCACAAAUAUCAAACUCCAAAAGAUUUGAUUCAAAUUCACAAUGUUGAAGUUGUGGAAAGUGGGUUUGUUCAUGAAAUCAAGUCUUCAAGAUACAAAAAGAUGAGAAGGAAAAAAGAAGAAUAAGAUUAAACGGAAGGACAAGCGGGUUUAUUCACAAAAAUCGUCGAAUGUUGUUGCGAAUCCAAUAUCCGUGAAGCUAAUUUAGGUUCCCAAGUAACACUCUCCAGAGGAAGCAUUGAAUUUGAAGUCAAAACCCAAAAGUGUUGGUGGCUCUUUUGAAGAUGUUCUUGGAUCGUUGAAGAACACGAAGAACACAAAGAACGAGUUGUACAUCAAGCAUAAUGGAUGGUACAAUGUUCAAAUUGGAGAUUUUCUCAUUCCAACAAAAGAACCAAGAUCUUCUAAAUUUGAUUCGUUCGUUGACAAUGGAACUCGAUUCGUGAAAAAAGGUAUCUCAAAUUCUCAAAUGGAUUCCAAAACAUCCAUGAUUUCGAUUCAUACUUUGCAUUUUUCAAUUUUUGAUCGAUUUGCCUCAUUGGAUCUAAUUCGUUCCAACCCCAUAGUUGAUCCAAUCAUUUUUAUUUAGAUCAAUUCAAAAUCAAAUUCAUAUUCUCAUUAUUUUUUUUUUGAGAUUUACUGUUCAUCAAGAGAAAUCCGAAUACUAUUCAUCAAGAGCCCAAAAUAAUUUGUACCGGUUACUAUUCAUAGCCCAAACUGAAUUCGACUUUAUCACAUUAUUUUUCUGUAUCAAUUCUACGGUGAUUCUAUCAAUCGAAAAGCCUUCACGUGAAAGAAAGUUUUUUUUUUUUGUGGAUUCUCGAUCAGCAAGUCAAAAUAGAAUGAAAAUUUUGAUUGAGAUGUUAUUGAAUCGAUUCAAUUGAAGAGUUGACUAAUAAGUUAAAAUUCACUUUUGAUUGAGACUCUAUGACUGAAUGGAUAGUGAAAUCAAAGUUGUUUUUCUUUGGAGUCGAUUCAAGAGGAUUCGUUUUUGAGGUUUGAACAGUAAUCAGAAUUGAUACUUGAUAUGCUUUAUGAAUGAAGGUUAAAAUCAAAUUUUCAUGGGUGUUUCAGUGAAAGAAAAUCUGAAUGUGUUGUUUGAUAACGAAUGGGAAGACUUGGUUAUUGAAAAACGAAGAUCUAUAGAUGGCUUGAUGUUUCGGAUGUUUGAUAAUGAAGGAUUGUAAGCUAAUUUCGCAAGCUUGGAGUCUGGAUUGAUUCGUUAUUGGGAAGUCGAUUAAUAACGAAAGUUUGGUUUUGAGAAUCAGGUAUCGACUAACGAAGGUUUGGUUACGUGAUUUCGAAAUUUUUGGGUGUAAUGGACACUUGACAGUCGAUAGUCGAAAAUUUUUGAUAGUCGACAUUUUGGAGAUUGAAGUUUCGAAGGUUUUGGUGAUUAGCUACUGAAACAACGAAGGUUUUGUAGCGAGUGGUUCGUUACCUUGGAAACAAAUUGGGGAAGAAACACAACUUUCGAAAUUGGCCGUUAAAGUUUCGAAACUUUGUCAGUUUAUACACAUUUUGACAUUUGGGGCAAUUUUCGCAAGUUUGGAAGAAAUAGGGCAGAAAUUUCGAAGUUAGCCCCUGAAGUCUCGAAAAUUUGGCAAAUUAUACCGAAAUACGAGGAUGGGCUAAUUUUAUGAGAAAAUUAAGAUUUUACAGUUCUGGUCCCUGCAGUUUGUUCAAAUUUACGCUUUAUACCCACUUUCGUAAAUGGGGUAGAGUUUCUUAUUUUAGGCUCUUCUUGGUGCAACGAGUCCCUACAAAAUUCUGUUAUUAACAGUUUUUACCCGGAUUUUGGAAAAUCUUACAACUUUCACACAAAAAGUCAAAAAUUUUCAUGAAUUUGGAAAUUUUUUGGGGCUUUUUCGUGAUUGUUUUUAUGUUCAAGAUUUUUGGUGAUUCAUUUUUGGUAGACAUCAAGGGGGAGUAUUGUGAAGUUUAUUCCUCGGGCGCUUCUCACCCUUAAUGGGUUUUAUAAUCAUUUUUGAUUAUAAAAAGGGGGGGGGGGAUGAUGGGUAUUCGAAGCGGGUUUGUCGGAUAUUCUUUGCGGAUUUUGAAGACCGGUGAUAAUUUGAGGGGGAGUUUGGUCUUGAUCGUGCGAGCUCGUUGGAUAUUGAAGUCGGGUAUCCAAUCCUAACUUUAAUGGGGGAGAAUGUUAGGGUGCAAAGUCACGCUUGGAUGUGGCUUACCCUUAUUGAUUUGUAAAUGAGUUGUCUGUCCUAUAAAUAGGAAGUGAGUGACACUCAUAUUUAGAAGAAUGAUCCUUUUGAAGUGUUAGUCUAGAGAGAGAAUUUGUACAAACCUAUUUGUAUAAUCUUUCAAGAUAUAAUGAGAGUUUAACAAUAUUUAUUUACUCCUUGUGUUCAUAGUUUAUAUGAUGAUUCACUAGAUCUUUUCUAAUUCCGCACAUGCUAUCAUAAUCAACACCACUACACCAUAUGUUAAGACCAUGGCAGUAUAGAAGUGUUAUAAGACUGUGGGGGUGGUCGUAGCAUUUACUAGGUUGGCAUGUAGUGUGGAAGUGUUGUAAGAGUACAAGGUGGCCCAUAGGAUUCACCUGGUUCUUGAGCAGUUAUGAGAGCGUGGUAAAUCUACUGGCUCGUAGUUUCCUCUAUGUGGGAUAAGACCAUGGCAGGAUAGUAUUAUUGGAGGAAUUCUCUUUGUGUUGGUAUGAGGAUCGUUGGAUCUGAGGCGAGGUUAUGCCUAUAUAGCACUCGAUUAGGUGAGACUGAUGGGCGAGGCCUGUUCAAUUGUGCAGAUUGGAUGAGAGCCGUGUGGGAGGCCAGUUUGGUUAUGAUAGAGUGAGUGAGAUCUGAUGGAUUGUAUAACUAUAACAUCCCAAAAAUACGGGCCAAAAAUUUCAUUUUUGAUUAAGUGAUUUGUAAAAACGUUUGUAACAAAAUAUCAUACGAUCAUAACAUUUGAUAAAACAUGUCCCGUGGCCGUAAACCAAAACGUAAAACAUGAUAAUGUCAGAGUACAAAUUCCAGAAUGACUCAUUGUGCGGAAAAAAAGAGCGUGUGUGUGAUGGGCCGCUACCGCGCCUGCUCCUUCCCCUUGACUGAAGAGGUACCUGAAACAACAACUGAAAACCGUAGGCACGAAGCUUAGUCAGUUCCCCUACUAUACCGCAUACCAUAUAACCACAUAACAUACAUAUAUUGUCAGGCAUAUCUGGGUGCCCGACCUACCCCUUCGGUCCUCUCGAUCGGAUACUGACUAGCAUAUCUGGGUGCUAGCCUCCCCUUCGGUCCUCUCGACCGGAUACUGACUAGCAUAUCUGGGUGCUGGUCUCCCCAUCGGUCCUCUCGACUGGAUGUUGGGGACUAUUUCACCCCUACUACUACCACAUAACACAUAUCACAUAAUCUAUCUACCAUGGCUGGGCAUGACUGCCCUUCGGCCCUAUCGACCGGUAAUCUGGGGACUAUCUCCCUAUACUGUCUCUAGCACAUGGAAUCAUAUCAUACUAGCACAUAAACAUAUCACAUGUAGUAGCAACCCUAGAUGAAUAUCACAGAGACAAUCAUCUAACAUAUAACUCCUACUGGUGGGCCGGCAUUGUGGCCGUAGACCCGCCGCUACUGGAACNCGGAGUAGCUGCGGAUUUGAGUGGGAACUGCCUGUCUACUACUGCUGCCGCUGUUCCGGAAGUCCUCCGGCUAUAAUUCCCACAAAACGUUCAGUCAAACACUGCUAGAUGUACUUAAGGUAAAAUGACCAUUUUACCCUUGACCAGGUCAAAGUCCAAGUCAAAGUCAACUUCCAGUUGACUCGACUCGCCGAGUUGGCUUGCCAACUCGUUGAGUCCCGUCCCAUUUGAUUGUCCUUAAUCCCGACUCUACUCGUUGAGUUAGGCAUUGACUCGACGAGUUCUCCUUCUAAACUGAUGACCAAAAGCCCUUCAUCCUACUCGCCGAGUUGUAUGAACAACUCGUCGAGUUUAUCUUCUUCUGAUGAACACUCUAUGCUGAGACUCGCCGAGUUGUAUGAACAACUCGCCGAGUCUGUUCUUGAGGUAAGAAGAUUGCCUUGGACUCGCCGAGUCGGGGCAUUGACUCGUUGAGUCCCUCCAUGGGUGAGUCUGGCUUCCAACUCACUAAGUCCUCCCAUGACUCACAACUCUACUCAGCAAACAUGAAAAGGGGAAAACUCGGGGACUCGCGACUCGAUUCGACGAGUCCGAUGAACGACUCGCCGAGUCGUUCACAUGCAAUUACUACAUACUCGAUUUUGCUUGAAUCCAGCUCAUGCCAUACAUAGAUCUGGGCUCUUAGGGAAGGUUUUACACGUAAAGUUUCCAACUUUACGUGUAUACAUGCAUAGGAUGGGGAUUUAAGGCUUAAUAAAGGCUCAAAUGGUAGAUCUAGGACAUAAAAGCAAUUUACUUCCAUAAAGGCCAUGGAUCUGAGCUUCUGGAGCUCAAACAUGCCUAGAUCUAGAGGUUAAUCAACUCAUUACCAUCCCUAAUCCAUAAACAAGCUUGGAAAUGGCUCAAGAAGGACUUUAAUGGUGCUCUAAGGGACUCUUAGCAUAAAAACAGAAGGAAACUGAGUUAUACCUCAAGGAAUCUUUGAAAGAACACCAAGAUAUCUGGCCUCCUUCUUCUCCUCUUGAUCUACCCUCCGUAUUCUCUCAAAAUCUUCAAGAAAUCACACCAAAACACUUCAAUCUCACAAGAAACACGGUUAGGACGAUAUAGGGAGCUCCGAGGGUGAAGGAGUCGGGCUUGGGGCACAUAAGGUUGGUUUAAAUAGGGUGAAAACCCUUGAAAUAAGGGUUUCAUCCAGAAAACGGGGACUCGCCGAGUCCAGAAUAUGGACUCGCCUAGUCGCCUACUUAAACGUGCUCAAAUAUCUCGGCUCUACUCGGCGAGUCGGGCCUACAACUCGCCGAGCCCAAGGCUAAAAAUGUAAAUUAAUUAGAUAGGUUAUACGUACCAGGAACCAGGUGCUACAAAUCUCCCCCACUUAUUUUAGACUUCGUCCUCGAAGUCUGCUGCUCGACCUUGAAAUAGCUCGGGGUAAUGUUCCAUCAUUUCUUCCACCGGGUCAUCCACUAGGCACUUCCGCAACUGGGAGACAUGGAAGGUCUUGUGGAUCUGAUUGAGUUUGGCUGGCAGAUCCAGCCUAUAUGCCACCUUGCCCACCCAGGUUACAACCCUGAACGGACCAAUGUAUCUCGGGCCCAACUUGCCCCGCUUCCUGAAUUGAAUGACGCCCUUCAAAGGCGACACUUUCAGGAGAACCAUAUCCCCGACCUGGAACUCCAGGUCUGAUCGACGCUUGUCGGCGUAACUUUUCUGCCGACUCUACACAAUCUGCAGCCUGCUCCGAACCUGCUGGAUCCUUUGGGUCGUCUUGAGCACCACCUCUAAGCUCCCCAUGACCCUCUGGCCAACUUCACCCCAACAUAUCGGGGUCCUGCACUUCCGUUCGUACAACAUCUCGAAUGGAGGACGGUCAAUACUCGCGUGGUAGAUGUUGUUGUACGAGAACUCAGCCAAGGGAAGAUAGGUAUCUCAGCUACCACCGAAGUCUAGCACGCACGCCUGCAGCAUAUCCUCCAAAGUCUGACCAUCCGUCUGUGGGUGAAAGGCGGUGCUAAAAUGCAGACGAGUGCCCAACUCGUCAUGAAACUUCUUCCAAAACCUGGAAGUGAAACACGCAUCCCUAUCUGAAAUCACUGACACUGGCACCCCGUGCCGUGCCACUAUCUCCCUGAUAUAGAUAUCGACCAACUUUUCGGCCGAGAUACUCUCCUGGAUCGGAAUAAAAUGGGCGCUCUUGGUCAAUCGACCCACGAUGACCCAAAUCGAACCUACUCCUCACGUAGUCCUGGGAAGCUUUAUGAUAAAAUCCAUCAUAAUAUCUUCCCAUUUCCACAACAGGAUAUCCAACGGCUGCAUCUUGCCAUGCGGUCUCUGAUGCUCGGCCUUGACCUUCAUGUAGGUCAAGCAUCACUCGACGUACCAAGCCACAUCCCGCUUCAUGCAGGGCCACCAAUAGUCUAGACGAAGAUCCCUAUACAUCUUCGUCUCCCCUGGAUGAAUGGAGAAUCGGGAUUUAUGCGCCUCCUCCAUCAAGAUCUAGCGCACGCCCCCGAGAUACGGCACCUACACCCUACGGUGUAGUGUCAAUAAACCUCGGCUAUCGUAAUCGAAGGAGGUGACUUAACCCACUAUCCACUCACUCUUCCGAUGCUCCAUCUUCAUAGCCUCCUGCUUAGCUUCCCGAAUCUGUUCUAACAGUGGAGUCACCACCGUCAUCCUCAUACACACAUCCUUGAUCGGAGCCGCCUUACGGCUAAGCGCAUCGGCCACUACAUUGGCUUUCCCGGGUGAUAAAGGAUCUCGCAAUCAUAAUCCUUCACCACGUCCAGCCACCAACGCUGUCUCAUGUUCAGAUUCGGCUGAUCCAUGAGGUACCUCAAACUCUUGUGGUCCGUGUAAAUGGUACACUGAACUCCAUAGAGGUAAUGUCGCCAAAUGUUUAGGGCGAAGACCACCGCCCCUAACUCUAAAUCAUGCGUCGGGUAGUUCGCCUCGUGAGGCUUCAGCUGCCUCGAUGCAUAGGCAAAGACAUGCCCUCUCUGCAUCAGUACCACGCCCAACCCCGAAAUGGACGCGUCACAGUAUACCACAAAAUCCUCUACGCCCUCAGGCAGGGCUAAGAUUGGUGCCUCGCACAAUCUCUACCUCAGAAUCUUGAAUGCUACCUGCUGCUCAGGCCCCCAUCGAAAGACCACGGCUUUCUUAGUCAACCGUAUCAGGGGUACGACUAUCUUGGAGAAAUCCUGAAUGAAUCUCCGAUAGUAGCCCGCUAACCCUAGGAAACUCCUAAUCUCAGAUGGAGACUUCGGAACCUCCCAUCUCAUCACGGCCUCCACCUUGGUCGGGUCUACUGAAAUCCCGUUCUGGUUGACAAGGUGCCCAAGAAACUGCACCUCGCGCAAAUAAAACUCACAUUUGGAGAACUUGGCGUACAAGCUCUCCCUCCUCAAGGUCUCCAAAACCUCUCUCAGAUGCUCCUCGUCCUCCUCCUGUGUCUUGGAAUAAACCAAGAUGUUAUCAAUGAAAACUAUCACAGACCGAUCCAGCAUCGGUCUGCACACGCGGUUCAUGAGGUCCAUGAACGCGGAAGGAGCAUUGGUGAGCCCAAACGGCAUCACCACGAACUCAUAAUGGCCAUAACGCGUCUGAAACGCGGUCUUCUACACAUCCUCCUCUCUGACCCUCAUCUGAUGAUAACCUGAACGCAAAUCGAUCUUGGAGAACCAAGAUGCUUCCUGUAACUGAUCAAAGAGGUCAUCAAUCCUCGGGAGUGGGUAACGGUUCUUCACCGUUACCUUAUUCAGCUCCCGGUAAUCUAUACACAUCCGAUGCGACCCGUCCUUCUUCUUCACAAACAGGAUCGGGGCUCCCCAGGGUGAACUGCUCGGUCGAAUGAAUCCCUUGUCUAACAGCUCCUGCAGCUGUGUAGACAACUUCUGCAUCUCAGUAGGAGCCAACUGAUACGAUGCCUUGGCUAUCGGAGCCGCACCAGGAACUAGGUCGAUCCUGAACUCUACCUGACGCUCUGAAGGUAUUCCAGGAAGCUCCUCCGGGAACACAUCAGCAUAGUCUCGCACCAUUAGAACCUUGCUCACCGUCGCCUUACCCGCCUCUCGGGUAUCCAUAACAUACGCGACAUAUCCCGCGCAACCCUGCUGAAGGUAGCACCUAGCUCUCGCUGCUGAACAUACUGUGGGUCCACGCUAUGGCCUCUCGCCGUGGAUCGCCAACUCUCCCCCACUUGGGGUCCUGAUCCGCACUAGCUGCUGUGCGCAAUCUAUCACCGCCCCAUUAGGGCUCAACCAAUCCAUGCAUAUAAUCAGCUUGUUCCCACGCAACGGGAUGGGAACCAAACCCACCAAGUAGCGCUCCCUCGAAUAACCUCAGAACACAAUCUCUGAACACCGCUGAUGCCCGCACCGAUCGAUCAUUGGCAAUCUCUACCUCUAAAGGGCAAUCCAACAUGCUUGAAGACUCAGUAAACUUCUUGCUAAGCGCAAGAGAAACAAACGAUCGGGUGGCACCCGAUUCAAACAACACCUGAAUAGGGAUACCAUUCACAUGGAACGAUCCUAACCCAUAUAUACGGAGCACAUAUCAAUAUCAUAACAUCAUAUAAAUAAAAUAGUGGGAAAGAAUCAUACCCAUCACCACAUCGGGUGUGAUGCGUGGCUCCUCGGUAGUCAGCUGAAAUGCCCGGCUCCUCACCACUGGAGCCUCUACCUUGCCCUGCCGGCCAUCAGUAAUCUGCAGGGUAGCUGGAGCUGGCGGCUUCACUGGUGCUGCUGCUGUCAACUGGGGGCAAUUGGCCUUCUUGUGGCCCCUCUGGUUGCAAUGGAAACAUAGCAUCUCAGAUGUCUGUAUCACAAGUGUAGGGGCGGUACAAUCCCGGAUGAAGUGCCCUGCCUUGCCGCACUUAUAGCAGCCUGACGAUCCCAACUUGCACGCUCUCUCGUGCGUCUUGCCGCAUUUCCUGCAGCGGCCUCGCGCCUGUUGGACUUUCAGCCCCGCGUCUGGUCCCUUGGGCUUCUUCCCCGAAGCCCCUGUAACUGCCCCUCGUCUGCCUUCCUCUUUUGGAUGUGCUCCAGACCUAUCUCCCUCUCCCUUGACCUGGCAAUCAUAGAGUCCAGGGUAGGGCAAGCUUAAAAACUGACAUGCUCCUAAAUAUAAGCUUGUAGCAUGUCAUGAUAGCAGGUCCUACUCAUAUCCUCAUCACCCACGUACUGGGGCACCAACAACGCCCUCUCCCGAAACUUGGCGGUGAUCUCCGCCACAGUCUCCAUCGUCUGCCUCAUAUCUAAGAACUCCCUGGCCAGCUGCUGAAGCUCGACAGCUGGCACAAACUCUGCCCUGAAUGUGGUCACGAAAUCCGACCAGGUCAUAGCCUCAACAACCGAGGCUCCCAACGAGUCACCGACGGCCUUCCACCAAUCUCUAGCUCGGUCUCUCCAACAUCCUGCUGCAAAUCUCACCUUCGACCCCUCGGGGCAGAAGCUAGUUAACUGUGCAGACUCAAUGUCUGCAAUCAAUCGCCUGGCAGCUAUGGGGUCCUUCGCCCCGUGAAAAUCCGGCGUACCACUGCACCUAAAGUCCUUAAAGGACAGUGUGUGAGAUCCCGACUAGCCAGAUGCCAUGUCGCUCCUGAAUGCCCUGAGGCGAUCCUCCAUCAACUCAACUAUCCCUUCCUUGAUCAACCCGAAGAUAAUGGGGGUCGACUCAAGGAUGCCUCUGGUGAUCUCUGACGCGAUGAACUCGCGUAGCCCCUUAUCUACUGGCUCGGAACCUGAUCCCGAACCCGAUCCCUCUCCUGAACUGCCAACUGUUGGCCUCGAGCGUAGUACCACCAUUCUGAAAUACAUAAAUAAUAAUCGUUAGCGAUACUGAUACCUCUGGAGGGAUCACACCUACUACAAGUUCCCUGGUCUUAUCUUGGCCUUCCUCGGUUCGGGUACGGAUCCUCUGCUUUCAGUAGUACGGGCCCAUACUACCUUCCACAUCUAUCCGUACCUUCUCCAAGGACUGCCUUGACUCCACCAGGUCCCUUUCACUACCGCUGAUCACUGCUAUACUCAUCCUAGGCUUGCCCUAGGAAAAUCUCUAACUCCACCCUACCCGGUCCUCAGCUGCUGAAGGCCUCCUUGUAAUGCCAAUUAGUCAUUACCUGAAUACCAUCACAUGUGGUGAGGCUCAGAUAAUCCUUCGAGUAACAGAAUCGGCUCUACAACAGUUAGACUCAGACAAGAGCUGCGCAAUAGGGCGAAAUCCAGCACUCUAAGAUUAUUCAACCCUGAUCACAUGUGACGUGACGUAUUCAUCUAAUGGUUAACUCCCAUCACUCAGAGUCCCACGAAGCAAAAAGCAAGCAGCAUUCAGACAAAAGGGAACAAUCUCAAGCAAAUCCGUCGUCAUAGAGACAAACUGAACUAACAUACAAUGCUAAACUCAUACUAUCAGGCAUAACCUAAACAGGCUAUCCUACUGCUGUCUACUCAAUUCUAGCAAGCAAUUUCCAUACAAUGAAGCACAUAAAGCAGGCACAUAAGGCAUCAUCCUAGAUCCUUAGUCCUAUUCUAGCAUGCUGUUCUACUGAAACUGAUAAACAUAACAUAAGCUUGUAUGGGUACUAUGGGGAAUACUUACGUGAGCUCGACCGGUCGCGCACAUCACACACUUUGUUCCUUCUUAAAACUCUUUACUUAUCCUUUUAGAAAACAUUUUCUUCUUUAAAACCUUUUAAUCCAUCGAUUUGAGUUCAGACACCCCUGAAGGUGUGUCCGAAUCCCUCAAACCAGGGCUCUGAUACCAACUUGUAACAUCCCAAAAAUACAUGCCAAAAUUUGCUGUUUUGCUUAAGUGAUUUGUAAAAACGUUUGUAACAAAAUAUCAUACGAUCAUAACAUUUGAUAAAACAUGUCCCAUGGCCUUAAUCCAAAACGUAAAACAUGAUAAUGUCAGAGUACAAAUCCCAGAAUGACUCAUAGUGCGGAAAACAAAGAGCGUGUGUGUGAUGGGCCGCUACCACGCCUACUCCUUCCCUUUGACUUAAGAGGUACCUGAAACAACAACUGAAAACCGUAAGCACGCAGCUUAGUGAGUCCCCCCACUGUACCGUAUACCAUAUAACCACAUAACAUACAUAUAUUGUCAGAGAAAUCUGGGUGCCCUACCUACCCCUUCGGUCCUCUCGACCGGAUACUGACUAGCAUAUCUGGGUGCUGGCCUCCCCUUCGGUCCUCUCGAGUGGAUACUGACUAGCAUAUCUGGGUGCCGGUCUCCCCUUCGGUCCUCUCGACCGGAUGCUGGGCACUAUUUCACCUCCUACUACUACCACGUAACACAUAUCACAUAAUCUAUGUAUCAUGGCUGGGCAUGACCGCCCCUUCGGCCCUAUUGACCGGUAAUCUGGGGACUAUCUCCCCCUACUGUCUCUAGCACAUGGCAUCAUAUCAUACUAGCACAUAAACAUAUCACAGGUAGUAGCAACCCUAGAUGAAUAUCACAAAGACAAUCAUCUAACAUAUAACUCCUACUGGUGGGCCGGCAUUGUGGUCGUAGACCCACCGCUACUGGAAGGUAACUCACCUCGGAGUAGCUGCUGAUUUGAGCGGGAACUGCCUAUAAUUCCCACAAAACGUUUAGUCAAACACUGCUAGAUAUACUUAGGGUAAAAUGACCAUUUUACCCUUGACCAGGUCAAAGUCCAAGUCAAAGUCAACUUCUAGUUGACCCGAAUCGCCGAGUUGGCUUGCCAACUUGGCGAGUCCCGUCCCAUUCGAUUGUCCUUAAUCCCGAAUCUACUCGUCGAGUUAGGCAUUGACUCGACGAGUUCUCCUUCUAAACUAAUGACCAAAAGUCCUUCAUCCUACUCGCCGAGUUGUAUGAACAACUCGUCGAGUUUAUCUUCAUCUAAUGAACACUAUAUGCUGAGAGUCGCCGAGUUAUAUGAACAACUCGCCGAGUCUGUUCUUGAGGUAAGAAGAUUGCCUUGGACUCGCCGAGUCGGGGCAUUGACUCGCCGAGUCCCUCCAUUGGUGAGUCUGGCUUCCAACUCACUGAGUCCUCCCAUGACUCACAACUCCACUCAGCAAACAUGGAAAGGGGGAAAACUCGGGGACUCGCGACUCGACUCACCGAGUCCGAUGAACGACUCGCCGAGUCGUUCACAUGCAAUUACUACAUACUCGAUUUUUCUUGAAUUUAGCUCAUUCCAUACAUAGAUCUGGGCUCUUAGGGUAGGUUUUACACGUAAAGUUUCCAACUUUACGUGUAUACAUGCAUAGGAUGGGGAUUUAAGGCUUAAUAAAGGCUAAAAUGGUAGAUCUAGGACAUUCAAGCAAUUUACUUCCAUAAAGGCCAUGGAUCUGAGCUUCUAGAGCUCUAACAUGCCUAGAUUUAGAGGUUAAUCAACUCAUUACCAUCCCUAAUCCAUAAACAAGCUUGGAAAUGGAUCAAGAAGGACUUUAAUGGUGCUUUAAGGGACUCUUCGCAUAAAAACAGAAGGAAACUGAGUUAUACCUCAAGGAAUCUCUGAAAUAACACCAAGAUAUCUGGCCUCCUUCUUCUCCUCUUGAUCUACCCUCCUUUUUCUCUCAAAAUCUUCAAGAAAUUACACCAAAACACUUCAAUCUCACAUGAAACAGGGUUAGGACUGAUGGGUUUUGGUCAUAAGACAUCCUAUGUGCUCAUACAAAUCCUAAUGCUUGGAUCUAGGUUUCUCUAUUGUACAUGCUUUGAAUCCAAGACUAUAAACCCUAAUUCUAGCAUAUGAGUAAUCAUAUUAGAUAUUAGAAUAGAUUUAUAAUGUUACCUUGAUUGUUAUGUAUUAAUAACAAUCCCAAUUCCUCCUUGAAUUGACUUUGGAAGGCUUAGAGUCACAAGUGUCACUCCUCUAAUGGCUCACAAACACCAUAAGCAAGAGGAUGAAGAGGAGAGAGGAUGGAGGCUGCCCAAAACGUGUUCUAACCCUAGAAUAAAGCUUCACCACGUUUUUGGGUCAUAAGGGUCUUAUAUAUAGUAAGGCUAUUAGGGUUAUCUAACAAGGAAACCCUAAUUUGGUUGCUUAAGCCCUAAGCAACCCAUAGACUCCUUUAAUCAAGCCCUUGGACGAUUUCCUUAUGGGCUUCCCAUAAGAAUUCGUCCACUUCUUGAUUUAAGACAAUCCACGGCCCAAAUUCCAAUUAUCUUAUAAUUACAAUUCCAGUCCCUUAAGUUUAAUUAAUCUCUUUUAGUCACAAAACUAAUUACCAAUUAAUUAUUGACUAAUAUUAAUUAAACAAUAUGAUUUCUCCUUUAAUAUAUUAUUCCCAUAAUAUAUUAAUAAAUCAUAUUUAAUCCUUUCUCUCCAUAAUUCAUCCUAUCAAGUUGCUUUGGUGAAGGCAACCCAAAAGGACCAUGCACCAUCGGGUCAAGUACAUACCAAAAUAGUUAUGGACUUAGACACUAAUCCAACAGUCUCCCACUUGGAUAAGUCUAAUAACUAUUANUUUAAAUAGGGUGCAAAACCAUGAAAUUAGGGUUUCAUCCAGACAGCAGGGACUCGCCGAGUCGCCAACUUAAACGUUCUCAAAUAUCCUGACUCUACUCGGUGAGUCGGGCCUACAACUCGCCGAGUCCAAGGCUAAAAAUGUAAAUUACUUAGAUAGGUCAUACGUACCAGGAACCAGGUGCUACAGUAACGACCCAAAUUUUUACAAAGAAAAUGUUCAAUUUUAAUAAAUGAAACCAUUUCCAUAAACCAUGAAAUCCCAAAGCAAUUGCUUACAAAUCCACAUUCAUUACAAGUUUAUUUUAAAAAUAUCAGAGUGUCCCAUAAAACGAUGGUGAGAGAGUGCACGUCGCGCCAUCAAGCCUUGCCCUUGCCCUUGGGCUCAGAUGUACCUAAAACAAAUCCACAAACUGUAAGCCAAUGCUUAGUGAGUCCCCCAUAGCAUAUCCCACACACAACCUACAUAACACAUAUCAAAUUAGCUAUAAGCUACGUAUAUCAUAUAAGCCAUGCAUACAACAUAUAAGGAACCUCUGGAAAUGCUCACGGGUCUUACACCUAAUGCCACGGGAACCCCCACGUGAUCAUAUCUUCCAUGGGAACCCCCACAUGGUCUUCUUUCCUUGGGAACCCCCACAAGGUCUUCCUGCCUUGUGAACCCCCACAAGAUCUUACUACCAAACAAGAUACAAUGCAAAAUCUACAAGCAUAUAUACUAGGAUGCCAUGGAAACCAUCCAAGGUCUUAUACCAAAUGCCACAGGAACCCCCACGUAGUCUCUCAUGCAAAUUCCAUAUUAUCAUAUCGCAUAUUCAAUCAACAAUCUGCAUCUCAUAAAAUGGGCCGUCCUUGGUGCCUUUGACCCAUUGAUAUGGUGAGAAGACUCACCUCUGCCCGAAGAAUCCGAAAGAUGUUCUCCUAACUGCCCGCAACCACCCACACUGAGUAAUAAUGUUAAACAAUGUUAGGACUUCACUUGAUCAAAGGGAAACCCAAACCCCAAGUCCUUCCAUAAAGUUCAAAUAUGCAUUCUUUGAAAAUGGGCCCAAAAUCCAUGUCCAUGAUUCAUUAAUGGGCCUCAUGGCCCAAUAAGCCCAAUAAUAAUAUGCAUGGCCCAAAACAGAUGAAGUGGCCCGCCAUCCCAAAAUACAUCCAGGCCCAAUAACCAGCUGAGGCCAAACAACUCAAGGCCCAAAACAAAGUCCAAGUCCAUCUGUGGGGCGUAUGCUUAGUGUACCACCCUGAUAUGCACAACGUAAUAUGUCUCUGGGACUUACCCGCGGUAUAUGCUAGGUUACACCCAAUGUACUUAACAAUUAAGCACUUUCUCCAUUAAGUGCUUAAUACCCGAUUCUCUUACAUCCAAAAGUCAGAUCUAAGCUAAUUAAGACGACCUAGGGCAUAAAGUUGGCAACUUUAUGCCUUUGCAUGCCUCAUAUGCUCCUAACAGCCCCAUUAAGACCUUUCUAAGGUUCUUAACCCAUGCAUGAGGUCAAUAUACCAACCAAGACUCCAUUUUUAUGUUACAAAAGGACCAAGGGACCUUAGAUCUAACAUUUUGAUCAUCUGGAGUUGCUUAACUCACAAGAGGAGGUCCAAAAUCAACCAAAGGGACAAAACUAGAAAACCCUAGCUAGAUCUAGUGAUUUAAGUGGCAAUGAGCAAGCUUUAUACCUCUAGAAGCUUCCUUGCCAACUUUUUCUUUUUGGAUGAACACUAAAAGGAUCAAAAAUGCACUCUUAAAGCUCAAAAUGCACUCACAAAUGAUAUUAGGGUUUUCACAGGCAUUUGAAGGUGAAGGAGGCUAUUAAGGGUGAGGCUCAAAAGAGUUAAGGGUAUUUAUAUAGGUCUGAAGUCCGUAUUUUAGGGUUUGAACAUCCUGGAACGUACGCCCAGCAUACUCCUGGUACGCCCAGCCUACGUGCUUCCCCUCCGCGAUCCUCCUUGCUAAGUACGCUAAGCGCACACAUAAGUACGCCCAACGUACUUAAGGGUCUCAUAUGUUAUAAUUGAAAUACUUCUAGGGCUAUAAAGUCAUACCUGAUUUGGAGUGUUAGAACUCUCCCCCAGUUGAACUAGACUUCUUCCUCGAAGUCCAUAGCUGCGAAUAGAUCGGGAUAAUGCUCCCGCAUCUCAUCCAUCGGCUCCCAAGUCCAUUCGGAGCCCCUUCGGUGCCACCGUUGCACAUUCACUAGCUUCAUCUACUUGUUAUGAAUACCCUUCGUCUUCCUAUCUAAGAUAGCAAUCGGCCUCUCGAUGUAGUUUAGGCUUCCAUCCACCUGAAUAACGUCCAACGAGAUGACUGCGGACUCGUCAGUGACACACUUCCAAAAAUGAGACACAUGGAAGGUGUUGUGAAUCUGGCUAAGCUCCCGUGACAGAUCCAAUCGAUAUGCCACCUUGCCCACCCGACCAUGAUCCUGAACGGGCCUAUGAACCGAGGCCCCAGCUUACCCAUUUCCCAAAACCUGAUAAUCCCCUUCCAUGGUGACACCUUCAACAACACGAAAUCCCCCACCUGAAACUCGAGAUCUGAUCACCGUCAGUCAGCAUACCUUUUAUGACGGCUCUGCGUGACCCGUAGCUAGUCGCGCACUUACAGAAUCAGUCUGGUAGUCUUGAGUACUACCUCAUUGAGCACUAUUAUUGUACGAAAACUAUGCCAAUGGGAGGUACAUAUCCCAACUACCUCCAAAAUCCAACACACAUGCUUGGAGCAUGUCCUCCGGUGUCUACAUUGUCCUCUCGCUCUAGCCAUCAGUUUGGGGUGAUACGCCAUACUAAAAUGCAGUUGAGUACCCAGUUCCUUAUGGAACUUCUUCCAGAACUUAGAUGUAAACCGAACGUCCCUGUCAGAGACUACCGACACUGUCACCCCGUUUUUGGCCACCACCUCUCGUACAUAGAUGUCCGCCAACUUCUCCGCGGAUAUACUCUCAGAGAUCGGUAUAAAGUGGACACUCUUCGUCAGUCUGUCCAUGAUUACCCAUAUGGUGUCCACACCCGUUUCCAUCCUCGGAAACUUCGUGAUGAAGUCCAUAGUGAUAUCUUCCCAUUUCUACAUGGGAAUGGGUAGCAACUGAACCUUGCCAUGAGGCCGCUGAUGCUCGACCUUGACCUUCCGGCAGGUCAAGCACCGCUUCACGGACCCGACGAUCUCCCGCUUCAUGUAGGGCCACUAAUAACUCGGUCUCAAGUCACAAUAAAUUUUCAUAGCCCCUGGAUGAAUAGAGAACUUGGACUUGUUUGCCUCCUAUAAUAUCCUCUAUUUCACUCCUCCAGUCACCGGUACCUACACUCGGCCACAUUGUGUCAAAAGGUUGCGGCUAUCCUUUACAAACAAAGGAUAUUGUCCCUGAAUCCGCUCUAACUUCCAAUUCUCCUUCUACACUCCCUCGACCCGGGCCUCUUUGAUCAUAUCCAACAAAGGAGAAAUCACCGUCACCCUCAUACAAAUAUUCCCAAUAGGGGACCCUGCCAUCUUGCGGCUCAACACAUCUGCUACCACGUUGGCCUUCCCUGGAUGAUAUAGGAUCUCAUAAUCAUAAUCCUUUAGCACAUCCAACCAUCUCCUCUGUCACAUAUGGACGUUCUGCGAGUCCAUCAAAUACUUUAAACUCUUGUGAUCAGUAAAAAUGGUGCAUCGCACCCCAUACAAAUAGUGCCUCCAAAUCUUGAGGGCAAACACCACUACCCCCAGCUCCAGUUCGCGAGUGGGGCAAUUCGCCUCAUGAGGCUUCAACUGCCUCGAGGCGUAGGCUAUCACCUGCCCCCUAUGUAGGGUUUUGAGCAUUCUAACACUCCUAAGGUGUUCAUGAAACCCUAGAAACCAUGGAUCUAUGUUUUACUAAGAUACAUGCUGUAACGCCCCAAUUCUGGUAUGUUACUUAUUAUUAUUUGUUCAAAUUUCAAGAGGGACUCGACAAGUCAAUGGCCUAACUCGUUGAGUAGAGUCGGGAUUUCAAGCACAUUUAAGUUGGGGACUCGGCGAGUCCAUAUUCCGGACUCGGCGAGUCCGACAGUCUGGAAGAAACCCUAAAUUUGCGGGUUUUGCACCCUAUAUAAUCCCCCUUAUGCGCCCAAUCUGGCCUCCCUCACCCUUAGAACGUUUCAUAGCAACACCUUAACCUAUCUUGAGUGAUUUUGGGCAUUUUUGAGUAAUGAGUGAAGAUUGGAAGAGAAGAGGAAGGCUAGAUCCAAAGGAGAAGAAGGGAAACAAGAUCUUGCAUCCUUUUCAGAGUCAUUUGAGGUAUUAAUCAGACUCCUUCUGUUCUUUGGAUGCUUCUCUUUAGAAAUAUCAUUUAGGUUACCCCUUUUUGCCCAUUUAUGAGCUUAAUCUAGUAAAGGAGCUUGUGUAGUGGUAUAGCUUUCAGAUCUAGUCAUAUUUUUGUCCCAAAAAUCCAGAUCUAAUACCUUUAUUGAACCUUGUUGCAUAUAAGCCCUAGAUCUAAUCUUAUUCACGCAUUUAAGACUUUAAAACUAUUUAGUGGUCUUAUUGCACGUAAAGAUGGAAUCUUUACGUGCAAAACAAGCCUUAGGAGCCUAGAUCUAUCAUUUGGAUGCGUUGGUUUUGAGCAGAAUCAUUUGAAUAGUAAUUGCAUGCAUGCGACUCGGUGAGUCGUUCUUCGGACUCGGUGAGUCGAGUCAUGAGUCCCUGAAGUUUCCGCUGUUGAGUUACGCGAGUGGAACUAGUGAGUGUGAGGAGGACUCGGUGAGUUGAUUGGCAAACUCGUUCAUAGACGGACUCGGCGAGUCCAAGGCAAUCUUCAUACCUCAAGAUCAGACUCGAUGAGUUGUUCAUACACCUCGGCGAGUCACAACUAGAGUGUUCAUGUGUUGAAGGAGGACUCGACGAGUUGUUCAUACAACUCGGCGAGUCGGAUGCAAAUUGAUUGAGUGAUAGCAUCGAAGAGGAACUCGUCGAGUCUAUGCCAAACUUGACGAGUAGUAGCGAGCAGAAGCAAGGAAGUGGGAGUGAGGACUCGAUGAGUCAGGUAAACUAUAUGUUGACUUUGACCAAUAGGUUGACCUUGACCAGGGGUAAAAUAGUCAUUUUACCCUCAGUAUAGUUAUCAGUAUUUGAUUCAGUGUGUUAUAGAAAUUGUAGCCGAGGAGAUACUGGAGCAGCAGCUGACAGUUUCCAAAGUAGUUAAUUUUCCAACCAGCAUACGAGGUGAGUUUUCUUCCAGUAGGAACGGGUCUAAGGCCAUAAUGCCUGCCCGUUUAGUUAACAGUAGUUUCCGGAUUUCGGUCUCAUGCAGUAGUUAGUAUGUUUGAUGCCUUCGUGGCUCAGACAGGUUUUGCGUGUUAUGUGUUUCGGGUAUGGCCCGACUAAGUAUGCAGUCUAUGUUGUUAUGCUAGUUGAUAUGUGUUGGCUAUGCUAUGCUUAGUAGUUCUGGACUUUAGUCCGAUGCAGUUAGUUCCGGACUUGAUUCUGAUGCAGAUAGUUCCGUACUUUGGUCCAAUGCAGUUAGUUCCAGAAUUCGGUCCGAUGCAGUUAGUUCCGGACUUCGGUCCGAUGCAUAGGGAAGGGCCCUGGUUAGUUUCGGACUUCGGUCUGAUGCAGUUUCCUGACUUCGGUCCGAUGCAGUGGGUGAGGCCAAGUAGUUGUUUAUAUGUUUGUAUGGUAUAUGGUAGUUUGGGGGAGCUCACUAAGCUUUGUGCUUACAGUUUCAGUUUUGGUUUCAGGUACUUCCGCAAGAAAAGGGAAGAGCUCGGGAUGACAACAUCUCACACACCACAACUUCGACUUUAUUCCUAGGAGUUUUUGUUCAGAUACUUAGAUAUGAUUUGAUACAGUUUUUGAUACGACACUUUUAUUAUGGCAUUUGAGAUACCCGACGUACGGUUUUUAUAUAUGACAUUCAGUGUUAUGACUUUUAUUAUUAUUUAAAACAAAAUUGUUGGGUCGUAUUUUUGGAUGUUACAAGUUGGUAUCAUAGCCUUGGUUUGAGGGAUUCGGGCACACUUUCGUGUGUUUCUGAACUCAAACUAACGAAGUAGUAAAAUGUUUUUCAAAAGAAAAGAGUUUUAGAAAAGUAAAAAGAAUUUUUGGAAAGAAAAGAACUUUGAAAAGAGAAAAGGGUGUGGUGCAUGCGAUCAGCCGAGCUCAAAUAAGUACUCCCAUAUUACCCAUACAACAAUAUGUUUUUGUUAUGUUUAAAUUUCAGUUUCAGUUUCAGUAGAACAACACGCUAGUAUAGGACUAAGGAUCUAGGAGGAUGCCUUAUGUGCCUGCUUUAUGUGUUUCAGCUUUAUAAGAAUUGGAUGCUAGCAUUCAGUAGUUAGCAGUAGGAUAGCCUGUUUAGGUUAUGCCUGAUAGCAUAAGCUCAGCAUUGUAUGCUAGUACAGUUUCUCAUUAUGAGGAUAGAAUUGCUUGAGUAGUUUCCGUGUCCGAAUGUUACUUGCUUUGUGCUUCGUGAGACUCUGAGUGAUGAGAGUUAGCCGUUAGGUGAAUACGCCACAUCACAUGUGAAUAGGGUUGAAUAAUCUCAGAGUGUUGCAUUUGGCCCUGCUGUGAGCUCUUGUUUGAGUCUAACCAUUGUGGGGACGACUUCUUUACUCGAAGGAUUAUCUGAGCCUCGCCAUAUGUGAUGGUAUUCAGGUAAUGACCAAUUGGCAUCACAAGGAGGCCUUCAGUAGUUGAGGACUGGUAGGGUUGUGUAAGAGAUUUCCCUAGGGCAAGCCUAGGAUGAGAGUAGCAGAGAUCAGCAGCAGCAAUAGUACUCUUGAAGGACAUUCAGGUUGAUAGCAGCCUGAAUUAUAUUGAGAAACCCAUAGCGAUCAUGGAUCGGAAGACGAAAGCCUUGAGGAACAAGGUGGUUUAGUUGGUGAAGGUGCAGUGGCAGCAUCGGAAAGGGUAUGAGUGGACGUGGGAGGCAGAGGAGGAAAUGAGGGAGCACUACCCAGAGUUGUUCGCAGAUACAGCAGCAGCAGACUUCGAGGACGAAGUCUGAGACAAGAGGGGGAGAGUUGUAACGCCCCAAUUCUGGUAUGUUAUUUAUUAUUAUUUUUUGUUCAAAUUGAAAGAGGGACAAGACGAGUCAGUGGCCUGACUCGUCGAGUAGAGUCGGGAUUUCGAGCACGUUUAAGUUGGUGACUCGGCGAGUCCAUAUUCCGGACUCGGCGAGUCCCCAUGUCUAGAAGAAACCCUAAAUCUGCGGGUUUUGCACCCUAUAUAAUCCCCCCUUAUACGCCCAAUCUGGCCUUCCUCACCCUUAGAACGUUUCAUAGCAACACCUUAACCUAUCUUGAGUGAUUUUGGGCAUUUUUGUGUAAAUAGUGAAGAUUGGAAGAGAAGAGGAAGGCUAGAAACAAAGGAGAAGAAAGGAAAUAAGAUUUUGCAUCCAUUUCAGAGUCAUUUGAGGUAUUAAUCAGACUCCUUUUGUUCUUUGGAUGCUUCUCUUUAGAAAUCUCAUUUAGGUUACCCAUUUUUGCCCAUUUAUGAGCUUAAUCUAGUAAAGGAGCUUGUGUAGUGGUAUAGCUUUCAGAUCUAGUCAUAUUUCUAUCCCAAAACCCAGAUCUAAUACCUUUAUUGAACCUUGUUGCAUAUAAGCCCUAGAUCUAAUCUUAUUCAUGCAUUUAAGACUUUAAAACUAUUUAUAGGUCUUUGUGCACGUAAAGAUGGAAUCUUUAUGUGCAAACCAAGCCUUAGGAGCCUAGAUCUAAUAGUUGGAUGGGUUGGUUUUGAGCAGAAUCGUCUGAAUAGUAAUUACAGACUCGACGAGUCGAUUCGUGAGUCCCCGAAGUCUCCACUGUUGAGUUAUGCGAGUGGAACUAGUGAGUGUGAGGAGGACUCAGUGAGUUGAUUGGCAGACUCGUUCAUGGAGGGCCUCGGCGAGUCAAUGCCAUGACUCGGCGAGUCCAAGGCAAUCUUCAUACCUCAAGAUCAGAUUCGACGAGUUGUUCAUACAACUCGACGAGUCACAGCUAGAGUGUUCAUGUGUUGAAGGAGGAAUCGAUGAGUUGUUCAUACAACUCGGCGAGUCAGAUGCAGAUUGACUGAGUCAUAGCACCGAAGAGGAACUCGUCGAGUCUAUGCCAAACUCGACGAGUAGUAGCGAGCAGAAGCAAGGAAGUGAGAGUGAGGACUCGACGAGUUGGUGACCCAACUCGACGAGUCAGGUCAACUGUAUGUUGACUUUGACCAAUAGGUUGACUUUGACCAGGGGUAAAAUAGUCAUUUUACCCUCAGUAUAGUUAUCAGUAUUUGAUUCAGUGUGUUAUGGAAAUUGUAUCCGGGGAGAUACCGGAGCAACAACAGAUAGUUUCUAGAGCAGUUCAUUUACCAGCCAGCGUAUGAGGUGAGUUUCCUUCCAGUAGGAACGGGUCUAAGGCCACAAUGCCGGCCCGUUUAGUUAACAGUAGUUUCUGGAUUAUGGUUUGAUGUAGUAGUUAGUAUGUUUGAUGCCUUCGUGGUUCAGACAGGUUUUGCAUGAUAUGUGUUUCGGGUAUGGCCCGACUAAGUAUGUAGUCUAUGUUGUUAUGCUCGUUGAUAUGUGUAUGCUAUGCUAUGCCUAGUAGUUCCAGACUUCGGUCCGAUGAAGUUAGUUCCCGACUUCGGUCUGAUGCAGAUAGUUCCGGACUUCGGUCCGAUGUAGUUAGUUCCAGACUUCGGUCCGAUGCAGAGGGCAGGGCCCUGGUUAGUUCCAAACUUCGGCCCGAUGCAGUUUCCGGACUUCGGUCCGAUGCAGUUGGGAGGAGGGGGGGCNNNNNNNNNNNNNNNNNNNNGGCUAGUAGUUGUUUCUAUGUUUGUAUGGUAUGUGGUAGUUUGGGGGAGCUAAUUAAGCUUUGUGCUUACAGUUUCAGUUUUGGUUUCAGCUACUUCCGCAAGAAAAGUGAAGAGCUCGGGAUGAUGGCAUCGCACACACCACAACUUUGGCUAUAUUCCUGGGAGUUUUUGUUCAGAUACUUAGAUAUGAUUUGAUACAGUUUUUGAUACGACAUAUUUAUUAUGGCUUUUGAGAUACCCGACGUAUGGUUUUUAUUAUAUGACAUUAAGUGUUAUGACUUUUAUUAUUAUUUAAAACAAAAUUUUUGGGUCGUAUUUUUAGAUGUUACAAGUUGGUAUCGGAGCCAUGGUUUGAGGGAUUCGGGCACACUUUCGAGUGUGUCUGAAAUCAAACUAAGGAAGUAGUAAAAUGUUUUUCCAAAGAAAGGAGUUUUAGAAAAGUAAAAAGAAUUUUAGAAAGAAAAGAACUUUGAAAAGAGAAAAGGGUGUGGUGCAUGCGAUCAGCAAAGCUCAAGUAAGUACUCCCAAAUUACCCAUACAACAGUAUGUUUUAGUUAUGUUUGAAUUUCAGUUUCAGUUUAAGUAGAACAACAUGCUAGUAUAGGACUAAGGAUCUAGAAGGAUGCCUUAUGUGCCUGCUUUAUAUGUUUCAGCUUUGUAAGAAUUGCAUGCUAGCACUGAUUAGUUAGUAGUAGGAUAGCCUGUUUAGGUUAUGCCUGAUAGCAUAAGCUCAUCAUUGUAUGCUAGUACAUUUUCUCAUUAUGAGGACAUAAUUGCUUGAGUAGUUUCCGUGUCCGAAUGUUACUUGCUUUGUGCUUCGUGAGACUCUGAGUGAUGAGAGUUAGCCGUUAGGUGAAUACGCCACAUCACAUGUGAACAGGGUUGAAUAAUCUCAGAGUGUUGGAUUUGGCCCUACUGCGAGCUCUUGUUUGAGUCUAACCAUUGUGGGGACGAGUUCUAUACUCGAAGGAUUAUCUGAGCCUCGCCAUAUGUGAUGGAAUUCAGGUAAUGACCAAUUGGCAUCACAAGGAGGCCUUCAGCAGUUGAGGACGGGUAGGAUUGAGUAAGAGAUUUCCCUAGGGAAAGCCUAGGAUGAGAGUAGUUGAGAUCAGUAGCAGCAGCAGUACCUUUGGAGGACAUUCAGGUUGAUAGCAGCCUGAAUUAUAUUGAGAAAACCAUAGUGAUUAUGGAUAGGAAGACGAAAACCUUGAGGAACAAGGAAGUUCAGUUGGUGAAGGUGCAGUGGUAGCAUCGGAAAGGAUCUGAGUGGACGUGGGAGGCAGAGGAGGAAAUGAGGGAGCACUACCCAGAGUUGUUCGCAGAUACAGCAGAAACAGACUUCGAGGACGAAGUUUGAGACAAGUGGGGGAGAGUUGUAACGCUCAAAUUAUGGUAUGUUAUUUAUUAUUAUUAUUUGUUCAAAUUGCAAGAGGGACUCGACGAGUCAGUGGCCUGACUCGUCGAGUAGAGUCGGGAUUUCGAGCACGUUUAAGUUGGUGACUCGGCGAGUCCAUAUUCCGGACUCGGCGAGUCCGCCAGUCUGGAAGUAACCCUAAAUUCGCGGGUUUUGCACCCUAUAUAAUCCCCCUUAUGUGCCCAAUCUGGCCUCUCUCACCUUUAGAACGUUUCAUAGCAACACCUUAACCUAUCUUGAGUGAUUUUGGGCAUUUUUGUGUAAAGAGUGAGGAUUGGAAGAGAGGAGGUAAAUCCAAAGGAGAAGAAGGGAAACAAGAUCUUGCAUCCAUUUCAGAGUCAUUUGACGUAUUAAUUGGACUCCUUCUAUUCUUUGGAUGCUUUUCUUUAGAAAUCUCAUUUAGGUUACACCUUUUUCCCCAUUUAUGAGCUUAAUCUAGUAAAGGAGCUUGUAUAGUGGUAUAGCUUUCAGAUCUAGUCAUAUUUCUGUCCCAAAACCCAGAUCUAAUACCUUUAUUGAACCUUUUUGCAUAUAAGCCCUAGAUCUAAUCUUAUUCAUGCAUUUUAAGCCUUUAAACCUCUUUAGAGGUCUUUGUGCACGUAAAGAUGGAAUCUUUACGUGCAAACCAAGCCUUAGGAGCCCAAAUCUAUCAGUUGGAUGCGUUGGUUUUGAGCAGACUCGUCUGAAUAGUAAUUGCAUGCAUGCGACUCGACGAGUCGUUCUUUGGACUCGGCGAGUCGAUUCGUGAGUCCCCGAAGUUUCCGCUGUUGAGUUAUGCGAGUGGAACCAGAGAGUGUGAGGAGGAGUCGGUGAGUUGAUUGGCAGACUCGUUCAUGGAGGGACUCGGCAAGUCAAUGCCCUGACUCGGCGAGUCCAAGGCAAUCUUCAUACCUCAAGAUCAGACUCGGCGAGGUUGUCCUUCANUCACAGCUAGAGUGUUCAUGUGUUGAAGGAGGACUCGACGAGUUUUUCAUACAACUCGGCGAGUCGGAUGCAGAUUGACUGAGUGAUAGCAUCGAAGAGGAACUCGUCGAGUGUAUGCCAAACUCGAUGAGUAGUAGCGAGUAGAUGCAAGGAAGUGAGAGUGAGGAAUCGACGAUUUGGUGACCCAACUCGACGAGUCAGGUCAACUGUAUGCUGACUAUGACCAGGGGUAAAAUAGUCAUUUUACCCUCAGUAUAGUUAUCAGUAUUUGAUUCAGUGUGUUAUGGAAAUUGUAUCCGGGGAGAUACCGGAGCAGCAGCAGAUAGUUUCUAGAGCAGUUCAUUUACCAGCCAGCGUACGAGGUGAGUUUCCUUCCAGUAGGAACGGGUCUAAGGCCACAAUGCUGGCCCGUUUAAUUAACAGUAGUUUCUGGAUUUCGGUCUGAUGCAGUAGUUAGUAUGGUUGAUGCCUUUGUGGCUCAGACAGGUUUUGCAUGUUAUGUGUUUCGGGUACGGCCCGACUAAGUAUGCAGUCUAUGUUGUUAUGCUAGUUGAUAUGUGUAUGCUAUGCUAUGCUUAGUUGUUCCGGACUUCGAUCCGAUGCAGUUAGUUCCGGACUUCGGUCUGAUGCAGAUAGUUCCUGACAUCGGUCCGAUGCAGUUAGUUCCGGACUUCGGUUCGAUGCAGAGGGAAGGGCCCUGGUUAGUUCCAGACUUCGGUCCGAUGCAGUUUCCGGACUUCAGUCCGAUGCAGUGGGCGGGGCCUAGUAGUUGUUUAUAUGUUUGUAUGGUAUGUGGUAGUUUGGGGGAGCUCACUAAGCUUUGUGCUUACAGUUUCAGCUUUGGUUGUAGGUACUUCCACAAGCAAAGGGAAGAGCUCGGGAUGAUGGCUUCGCAUGCACCACAACUUCGGCUUUAUUCCUGGGAGUUUUUGUUCAGAUACUUAGAUAUGAUUUGAUACAGUUUUUGAUAAGACAUUUUUAUUAUGGCUUUUGAGAUACCUGACGUAUGGUUUUUAUUAUAUGUCAUUCAGUGUUAUGACUUUUAUUAUUAUUUAAAACAAAAUUUUUGGGUCGUAUUUUUGGAUGUUACACAUGCAAAAGUGAUUUCCAAGGUUCAUAAUCCUAUCUAGCAUACAUGGGGAACUUUUAAACAGAAAGUAAGCUAGAACAACAUACCUUGUAGUAGUUUGGAUUCCUUGAAAACCUUGUGAGCCUAGCACCCCAAGUGUGACGCCUCAAAUGUUUCACACAACACCAAAUGCUUUUGGAAUGACUUGAGAGAAAUGUCACACACUUAGAAAUCGACUAUACCCACUUACUCUUGCUUAGGUGUCGAUUUUGGUGAAUAUGAUGAUGCUGAUAUAGUGUGUUACAAUUAGGGUUACACCACGUAAACCCUAAUUAUCAUGACCUUUCAUUUCCAUGACCGAUGGUUUAUAUAACCACCAUGGAGCAUCCACGGAGCAUCCUAUGGGUUUUAGCCUAACUUGAUAAUCCAUGGAGCAUUAGCUCACUAUACAAGUAUGAGUGAUUUACACAAUCAACCCAUAUAUUUAUUUAGUCUUCUUUUGAUCACUUAAUUAAUUCUAAAUUAAUUAUUGAUCAAUACUAAUUAAAUAAUAUUAUUAAUAUAUUAGAACUUAUAAUAUAUUAAUAAACCAUAAGUGUUAUUUCUCUCAUUUUAGUGUAUCCAAAUGCAUGAUGCCAUGCAACCCCAAUGGACCAUGCUAAACUAGGUCAAGUACAUACCAUAAAUACUUAUGUACUAGACACCUUAUCCAACAGUCUCCCACUUAGAUAAGUCUAAUAACUAUAACUGCAAGUAUGACUUCAGGAACUGAUCAACAAUCGUAGCUCUUUCAAGGUCUCUCGGAAAUGAGAUGAUGAUGAUACAUCAUUUAAGAUAAGCGAUCAUAUAAUCCUCUGUUCUAUAUAUCAGCCGGACAAAUACAUGGAUCAAUGUCUUACUUAUUGUCCAGCAGUUUGUUUCUCGAUUUCCGAUUUGUUUGACAAAGUACUUAAUUGAACACAUCAAUUUAGUUCUGACCGGGCCCGAUACAUGGGCAAAACAAAAUCAUCGAGGGGCCCAGAUAUCGCUUCUAAUCCAAGAAGGAACAUAUAAACUUCGACUCAUAUGCUUGUUCUACUACUUGUUGAAUCAUACACAAAAGCACGUUUUAUAACAUCGAGUUACCAAUGCGUUUUCAUACAAUCAAUGUAUAACCAACUCAUAGGCAACAAGUCAUAUCUCUAGGUUUGAAGACUUAUAUGAUAUUACCAUCUCACUAUCACUCGAGAUAAAUUCCAUGAAGUGAUACCAGUGAGCAUGGGUUGAAUCCAAUACUCAGAACUUAUGAGCACUCAUUAGUGUUGUAGCCAUGUUCAACAACUUAGACCUCUGCACCUAACUCAUGACAGUCUUGAUUCAUACCUAUUUCCAACAUAUGACCGACUGUGGAGAAUUCGAAUAAUAUGUAAUACAUAACAUAAAUAUUAUGGAAGUCAAAACACACAAAAGAAAUAUAGUAAACAAUUGUUAAAAGAUAGCAACACUUUACUCAUAAAUAAACACAACUUUUAUUCAUCAUCAAAUGUCAAUUACACUUUACAAAUUUCAGAGCUAUCUAACUACUAAAACUAAUAUCAUGCUUCAGCCCUAUACGCCUCGCACGCUGGAGAUGUUUAACCAUACCCAGUCCCUUCGUGAGGGGAUCUGUUGGGUUCUCAUCUGAUGAUACCAUCUUUGCCACGAGGAGUCCUUCUUUCGUUCGAUGUCUGAUGAAAUGGUAUUUUCUGUCAAUGUGUCUGGAUCUCCUAUGAUCCCUUGGUUCUUUCGCUAAGGCAAAUGCACUUUUACUAUCAAAGAUAAUUUCCAUAGGCUCCUUUAUAGCUGGUACAACUCCAAGGUCUCCAACGAAGUUCUUCAGCCAUAUUGCGUCCUUUUCUGCCUCGCUUGCCACUAUAUACUCUGAUUCACAAGUUGAAUCAACCAUUGUAUCCUGCUUGGAACUUUUCCAAGUGAUUGCUCCUCCGUUUAAGGUAAAGACCCAAACUGACUGAGAGCGGAAAUUCUCCCUAUCAGUACGGAAGCUAGCAUUACUAUACCUUACAACUCUUAAGUCAUCACUCCCACCGAGGGUAAGGACCCAAUCCUUAGUCCUCCACAUGUACUUGAGCAUAUUCUUUACCGCGGUCCAGUGAGCCUUGCCAGGAUUCCCAUGAUAUCUGUUGACCAUGCUCAAAGCAAAGGCUACAUCAGGACGAGUACAAGUCAUAGCAUACAUGAUCGAGCCUACAUCAGAAGCAUAAGGUACUUGACUCAUUUUUUCAAUCUUAGUGUCGGUACUCGAGCUCUGAGUCUUACUCAAUCUGGCGUUACUCUGGAUGGGUAACUCUCCUUUCUUGGAAUCUUGCAUGCUGAACCUCUUCAGCACCUUAUCCAAGUAGGUACUCUAACUAUGUCCAAUUAGUCUUUUACUCCGGUCUCUCAGAAUCCUUAUGCCUACAAUAUAGGAAGCUUCUCCCAGGUAUUUCAUAGCGAAAUACUUCCCAAGCCAGGACAUCACUUCCUGCAAGGUUGGGAUGUCAUUUUCUAUGAGUAGUAUGUCAUCCACAUACAGUACCAAAUAGCUAACUAUACUCCCACUACCUUGACAUAUACAUAAGAUUCAUCUUCACUCCUCGAAAAGCCAAACUCUUUGACUUUCUCAUCGAAACAAAGAUUCCAUCUGCGAGGUGCUUGCUUCAAUCCAUAGAUGGAUUUCUCAAGCUUACACACUCUAUUAGCGUAUUCUGUACUGAUGAAACCCUCUGGCUGACACAUGUAAACAUCUUCAGCCAAACUUCCAUUAAGGAAGGCGGUUUUGACAUCCAUUUUCCAUAUUUCAUAAUCAUGAAAAGCAACAAUGGCUAACAGGACCCUAAUGGACUUAAUCUAUGCUACUGGUGAAAAGGUCUCAUCAUAAUCAAAUCUCGGAGUUUGAGAAAAGCCCUUUGCAACCAGUCGAGCCUUAUAUGUGUGUACAUUACCAUCCGUGUUGGUCUUCUUCUUGAAGAUCCAUUUGCACCCAACUGUCUUACAACCUGGUAAAUUGUUAACCAAGUUCCAAACUUGAUUGUCAUACAUGGACUGUAUCUCGCUGUCCAUUGCCUCUUUCCAUUUAGCAGCCUCAGGGCCUUCCAUGGAUUCCGCAUAGUUGUUAGGUUCAUCCAGACUUACCAGUGUCUCAUCGCUGAUAAGUUUCUCACCUUCCGCAGUAAUAUGGAAACCAUAGUAGUGCUUAGGUGCAUUCCUAACCCUUUUGGAACGCCUCAGAGGUACAGACUCGUCAAUUGGAUCAACAGGAGUUUCCUCCUCAGGUUGACUGCUAGGGUUUGAAGUUCCUUCUCCACUUGAAUCUUGAAUUUCUUCAAGGUAAAAUUGCCUCCCAUUGUUUCCUUGGCUUAUGAACUCUCUCUCUUACUCUCUCUCUCUCUUUCUCUCUCUCUCUCUCGAAAGACACCCCUCCUUGCUAUAAAGAUCACAUUCUCACUGGUUCUGUAGAAGAGGUAACCAAAGGAUUUCUGUGGGUAGCCGAUGAAAAUACACCUCUCACUUCGAGGUUCGAGCUUAUCUUGAGUCUCACGCCUCAGGAAAGCCUCGCAACCCCAAAUCUUGAUGUUUUCUAGAUUAGGGACUUUUCUAGUCCACAUCUCAUGAGGAGUUUUGGCAACUUUCUUUGUAGGGACUAGAUUAAGGAUAUGUGCAGCAGUCUCUCAGGCAUACCCCCAGAAUAAGAUUGGUAGCGAAGCUCGACUCAUCACGGAACGAACCAUAUCCAACAAGGUUUGAUUACGCCUCACAGCCACACCAUUCAACUGUGAUGUCCUGGGAGGUGCAAUUGUGAGACAAUCCCACAUUCCUUAAGAUAGUCGAGGAACUCUGUACUAAGAUACUCUCCACCACGAUCAGAUCGAAGCAUGUUAAUGUUCCUGCCCAAUUGAUUCUCGACUUCUUGUUUAAACUCUUUAAACCUUUUAAAAGUCUCUGACUUAUGCUUGAUUAAGUAGUCAUAUCCAUAUCUACUAUAAUCAUCUGUAAACGUCACAUAAUAACGAUUAGCAUCCCUUGUGGUAGUUUUGAAGGGUCCACACGCAUCUAUGUGCACUAGAUCCAACAAACCUUCACCCCUUGCACAAGAACCAGUAAAGGGUGACUUUGUCAUUUUUCCAAGUAAACAUGAUUCACAACUACUAUCCUACUUUAGGUCAAAUGACUCUAAGACUCCAUCCCAUUGGAGUUGGCCUAUGUAUUUCUUGCUUACAUGUCCAAGACAACAAUGCCAAAAUGAUGCUUUAUCCAAGUUAUUAUUAAAAAGAAUCAAUACACAACACAUUAUUUCCUAGGUUAUCUACAACAUACAUAACUUGAUACACACCAUCACAAGGUAAUGCUUUAAAAUAAAGAACGUUAAUAAAGAAAGCAUUUAUUCCACCAAUUUCAUUAUCAAAAGAAAAGGUAAACCCUUGUUUGUACAAAGCAUGAAAGGAAAUAAUAAUUCUUGCUAUUUCAGGCAAGUAACAACAUUUAUUCAAACCUAAUGUAAACCCACUACUAAGCAACAAAGAAUAAACUCCAAUCUUGGUGACAAGUGAAUCUUUCCUAUUCCCCAUGAUCAAGUUUAUCUUUCCAUGGUCCACAUUCUCACUUCUUCUUAGUCCCUACAAAUCAGAACAUAUGUGAAUUCCACAUCCUAUAUCAAGGUCCUAAGAGUUAGAAUAGGGUGAGUUAUUAGACAAUAUUAUGUGAAUACCUGCAUGGUUGGGUUUCACUUUCCCAUCCUUAAUAUCUUGCUAGUACUUUGGGCAGUUCUGCUUCCAAUGCGACUUUUCAUGGCAAUAGAAGCAUUCAACCUAUUUUGGGUCAGAAGAACGAGUGACGAAACCUUUCUUGGUUCCACUUGAAGAGGAGCCAUCAAGGGUCUUACCCUUGGUACCCUUCGAAGGGUUCUUCCUCUUUUUCCCUUUACCUUUCCCGAUUGCCAGGUCAGGGGUGGAGUUUGGAGUAGGAGUAGGAAUGGUCACAAAUUACAUACCUUUAAGACCUAUUUCUGCGGUCUUUAGGAGUCCUUGAAGCUUGCUGAGGGUAACUUCCUCCUUGUUCAUGUGGUAUGUCAUGCAUAAUUGAUCAUAACACGAUGGUAAGGAGUGCAAAAUGAUAUCUAUUGCAAGCUCCUCGGGGAAGUUCACAUUCAGUUUCAACAAACGGUUCACAUACCUUUGCAUUUUCUGCAUGUGGCCCGUGAUGGGUUCAUCAUCCUUCAUCUGGGUUGUUAUCAUAAAGGAGAUGAUUUCAUAUCGCUCUUGACGAGAACUAUGAUGGUAGUGGUCCAUUAAAUCCUUGUGCAUCUCAAAAGGAUAGUAGUCCUCAUAGAAUUUUUGGAGCUCGGUUGUCAUAGUGGCCAACUUGAUGCAUGCCACUUUGGUAGCAUCUCUUUCAUAAGCCUCAUAUUCAGCGACCUCCUAAGGAGAGGCAGGCGGCUCGGGUACCUUAAGCUCCUUGUCGAGGAAAUAUUCCUUGUCCUCAUAUCGAGUGACCAUCCUGAUGUUCCUGAUCUAAUCGAUAAUGUUGGAUCCAUCAAAGAUGACUAUCCCACAAAGGUUCAUGAGAGAGAAGGAGCUGGUAGGGUUUGAGCCAAAAGCAGCAUUGUUGGAAGACAUCUGAAAAGAAGAAAACAAGUUUAGACUAGAUAUAAAGAUAGUCCUUAAUAGAACACCCAAAUGUAAUAUUAAGGCUAGGAUCCAAUCACAAUAUAUUAUAACUUAGAAGAGGGAUGUCGUAAUCUAAGCUAUAACAUAUUUGAAAGGUGGGUGAAUGACGAUUCACCAAUUUCCACCCUCAAAAACGAAAUAUUAUUAGGUUUUAAUUGAUUUUUAGAAACUCCUAGAUUCUUUUGAGAUUCAUCGAACUUUUCAAUGGCAUGUUUUAAUAUCGAGUAUUCCCUUCAUGUUUUGUGACUGGGAUGCCGAGGAUCACAAAACAAAGUGUGAAGUAACCAUGCAAAUUAUUUGGUACCCUUAAUGUUUUUCACUCAAUCGAUGUUCCGGUUAACCAUACGUGCUCCACCGACCUAUGAAAAACCUUAAGUCACCAUUUUCCUACCUUGUUAAUUCCAAGUUAGUGUGCCGGUUAACCACACACGCUCCAAUAACGACUUAAUCAAAGUGCACAGUGUAAUUUCAUGGGUUAGCAACUUAUUCAAAUUUUCCUAAAGUAACUAAGAUUGGGAAUUUAUAAAAAACAUUUAGUUACUUUAUAAUAAUCAUUAUACUUUUAAUGAGAAUUUAAGUUAUUGUCCUACCUGUUCGGCUAACGACCCUCCACCGAUCAAGGAAGCGGUGGCUGGGAGUUGUCACCCAUUAAAAUGCCAUUUUAUAGGCAACAACCUUAUACCCCCUUAUACACCAGCUUCGUGAAUGAGGCCUACUAACGGUAAAACGACAUGAUCUUAUAUAUAUAUAUAUAUAUAUANNNNNNNNNNNNNNNNNNNNNNNNNNNNNNNNNNNNNNNNNNNNNNNNUAUAUAUAUAAUUAACUUAUAAUAUUAUAAAGUAUAAGGAUUGAAUUUUAACUUUUAAAAUUCUAGGGGUUGGAACUAAAGUUUACUAGAUGACUUUACAUGUUCCAAAACUUGAGGGAAAGUUAUGUAACUUCACGAAACUUUUCAAUUCAUAACUUAUGAGUUAUUGAUUAUUAAAAAUGAAGACUCUUCAUUUUUUGUAACUUAUGUGUUCUUUUAAUGGAUUUAUUACAAAGUGACUUUUGGUUAUCCAUAAAUUGAGGACAAGUUAUGGACUCCAUUAAAACACAUCAUGAUCAUGAAUUAACUACCAAUCAAUAGCACAUAAUUUCUAUGAUCUUGUAAGAACUCAUAAAGAACUUGAAUAUUCAUAUCAAAAUUUCAAGAACAUAUGAACAUAUAUAAUCAUGGAAUUUUGGUAUUAGCCAUUGUAAAUGGAUUAGAACAACCAUUACACCAUCUAAAACAAGUUUUAUAACACCAAAAAAGUUUAGGAUAAUGUUUCUAGUGCAUUUCCAGCAACAAAAGUAGAAAAUAUGCACUCUGCCUGGCCAACUCGUCGAGUGAAAGAACUGACUCGCCGAGUUGGUUGCAGAUAUGCUUGGACUCGUCGAGUCCCCCCAUGGACUCGGAGAGUCUCCUAUGCAAACAGCAAGAAUUUCGACCUUUUUCACUAUUGUGCAUCAAGUAUCAAACAAACAAGCCUAGGCUCUGAUACCAUUGUAGGGUUUUGAGCAUUCUAACACUCCUAAGGUGUUCAUGCAACCCUAGAAACCUUGGAUCUAUGCUUUACUAAGAUACAUGAAAAAUUGAUUUACCAGGAUCAUAAUCCUAUCUAGCAUACAUGGGGAACUUUUAAACUUAAAGUAAGCUAGAACAACAUAUCUUGUAGUAGUUUGGAUUCCUUGAAAAUGUUAUGAGCCUAGCACCCCAAGUGCGAUGCCUCAAAUGUCUCACACAACAACAAAUGCUUUUGGAAUGACUUGAGAGGAAUGUCACACACUUAGAAAUCGGCUAUGCCCUCUUACUCUUACUUAAGUGCCGAUUUUGGUGAACAUGAUGAUCCUUAUAUAGUGUGUUACGAUUAGGGUUACACCAUGUAAACCCUAAUUAUCAUGACCUUUCAUUUCCAUGACCCAUGGGUUAUAUAAUCACCAUAGAGCAUCCUAUGGGUUUUAGCCCAACUUGAUAAUCCAUGGAGCAUUAGCCCACUAUACAAGUGUGAGUGAUUUACACAAUCAACCCAUAUAUUUAAUUAGUCUUCUUUUGACCACUUUAUUAAUUCUAAAUUAAUUCUUGACCAAUACUAAUUAAAUAAUAUUAUUAAUAUAUUAGAACUUAUAAUAUAUUAAUAAACCAUAAGUUUUAUUUCUCUCAUUUUAGUCUAUCCAAAUGCAUGAUGCCAUGCAACCCAAAUGGACCAUGCUAAAUCAGGUCAAGUACAUACCAAAAAUAGUUAUGGACUUAGACACCUUAUCCAACACCCUCUACAUCAUCACCACUCCUAAACCUGAAAUCGAUACGUCACAGUAUACCACCAAAUCGUCUAACCCCUCGGGUAGUACUAGAAUCAGAGCCUCACAUAACCUUCGUCCCAGUGUCUUAAAAUCUGUCUGCUGAUCCGUGCCCCACCGAAAGGUCACAUUCUUCUUGGUCAAGUGGGUCAAUGGCACAAUAAUCUUGGAGUAAUCCUGGAUAAAUAUCUGAUAAUAUCCUGCUAAACCCAAGAAGCUACGACUCUCUGAUGUGUUCUUUGGUACUUCCCAUCGCAUCACAGCCUCAACCUUGGUUGGAUUAACCAAAAUUCCCUCCUGAUUGAUGAUAUGCCCAAAAAAUUGAACCUCCCGCAGCCAGAAAUCACACUUGGAGAACUUUUCAAAAAGCUUCUCCACCCUCAUGGUCUCUAGCACCACUCUCAAAUGUUGUUCAUGCUGCUCCCUCGUCUUAUAAUAGACCAAGAUAUCAUCAAUAAAAACGAUCACCGACUGAUCCAGCAUUGGUCUACACAACCUGUUAAUGAGAUCCAUGAACGCUGCUGGAGCAUUGGUGAGCCCAAACGACAUCACCACAAACUCAUAAUGCCCAUACCGAGUCCUGAAAGUCAUCUUCGAUAUAUCCUCAUCUGAUGGUAUCCGGACUGAAGAUCAAUCUUGGAAAACCAAGACGCACCCUACAACUGACUAAACAAAUCAUCGAUCCUUGGCAACAGAUAACAGUUCUUCACCAUUAGUUUGUUCAACUCCCUAUAAUUGAUGCACAUCAUGUGCGAUCUAUCCUUCUUUUUCACGAAAAGGAUCGGUACUCCCUAUGGGGAACUGCUUGGAUGGAUGAACCCUCGGUCUAGCAGCAACUGAAGCUGCAUCGAUAACUCUUGCAUCUCGGGUGGUGCUAACCGAUAUGGAGCCUUUUCUAUCGGAGCGACACCAGGCACCAAUUCGAUGCGAAACUCCACCUACCUCCCUGGAGGCACUCCUGUUAACUCUUCGGGAAAUACAUCCCGAAAUUCCUGUACGACCGACACACUACUCACAUCCGUCAUGGCCUCAACCUUCAUAUAGGAGACAUAAGCCAAAAAUCACAUACAUCCCUGUUGCAGAAAUCUCCUGGCCCCCGCAGCCGAACAGAGAGUUGGCCCCUACGAGGCCAUAUCACCAUGUAUAACCAGUUCUCCCCGCUUUGGGUUCGAACCUCACCAACUGGCGCUCACAAUCGAUCAUGGCCCCGUUAGGCCACAACCAAUCCAUCCCGAUAGUCACCUUUAGCCCCCGCAACGGUAUCGGUACUAUGUCGAUAUGAAACCUCUCACCAAGCACAUUCAGGACAUAGUGCCGGUACACCCUCGCAACACUAACGGUGCGGUCAUCCACAAUCUCCACCUCGAGUGGGGAAUCUAGAAUUUCAGGCGCGUCCCGAAACUUCUUGCUAAGCGUAAGAGACACGAACGAUCAGGUAGCACCCAAAUCAAACAAAACAUGCGUCGUCAUACCAUUGACCAAAAAGGUCCCUAUACAAGCAUAAUAUACGUAUAAGUCAUACAAAUCAUGAGGAGUACAGAAUAAUAGAUAUGUACCAUCCACAACGUCUCGCACUGCCUGAGCCUUCUCGGUGGUCAACUGAAAUGUGCGGCUCUUCAAUGCUGAAACAUCCGCCUUAGCAGGGCGGCCAUCGGUAAUUGAUAAGUUAAAAACUAACUUGAAGAUCGAUUAGAUCUUAUAACAGGUAAAAUAAAGAAUACGAAAACAGUAAACAACUCAAGUAUGGAUCGAAGAAUGUCGAAUGAUUAAUCAACAAUCCUCAGCAGAGCUCGAUAAAGAACUUCUACUGUAUAGGAUUAAGGGUUUACAAGAAUGAUAAAGAAAAUAAUCUCUGAUCUAUUGUGAUCUCUAUCAAUCGUUUUUUUAAUAUGCAUGCAAGCACAUUAAUUUAUAUUAAAACCCUAACAGCUCACGGUUGGACAGGCCCAAACCGGAGUAACAAAACUUGGACUAUAAACCGAGCCCAAUAGACGCAAUACAUCAAAACUGCUACGCUAUGCUGCCCAACAAUGUCCCCCUUUGCGUCAAAUUGGAGUGAGAUCACUACUUCUUGCUUGGGCCAGUCGUAGGAACCUUCUUCUUUACAGUUUCAAACAGACGUGAGAUAAGUGCGAGGAUCGUCUGUCUGAACUGGAUGUACCACUGAAUCAUAUCAUCAAAAUACUUGAUAUCAUCCGCUGUAUUUUCCUUGCAACUGUGGAUGAUCCCCAACACAUGCUCUAGAGAAGAAGUGGUAUAAAGAUGUUUAUCCGCUAAGGCAAAGAGACAUUUCUGUCCUUCACUCCUAGUGAACAUGACCGAGUUUCGCCUGGGGUCAAUUUUUCCCAUCUUCAUCUGGUUUAGAUCACUGGCUGAGCCAACAAGAGAGAUCUUCGGUUUCUUCUUGAAGACAGUUGCAAUCUCCUGAUCCAUCAGUGCAACCUCCAUGAUGUAGCACACCAACAUCCUUUUAAGAUGGUCGAUGAUCGGACCAUAUUCAGCUUCAUUAGUCAGAAGGAUGUUGUGCAGAACAAUCCAAUCAUGAGGAUUGAGGUUCGGUAGAUCUGCUAAAGAGAUGGCAUGUUCGGUUUUUGCAGAUCCCCUGAGCACCUUGAACCGAACAUUGAUAAACUUCCCAAUAGUGUACGGUUCCAGGACCCGAACGUUGAUGAUCUUCUGAGCGCUCCAGGUUUGAUACUGAGGUUGACCGGCCUUCAGAUAGAACUCAAUCAAUUCCCGAUCAACCUCUGGAUGAGGAUGAGGGAACUCAGCAACGUUGGCGAAGGCGUGAAAGAUGAACGCCUUUCGGGUAAGUGGCAUGUCGAACUGAGAGUCGACAGAAUUAUAACAGUCAAACGAGAUGACUGGUUCAAGCCUCAAGAUGCUCGGGGUGUCGAUUGCCUCCUUUAUCAUCCUCUCUCGAGUCCAAGCAGGAAAAAGAGUUUUCCUACUCUCGAGGAGGUCGUGGGCUUCUUUCUUUUUGCGUUCAGCUUCUUCAGCUUCUCUUGCCACACGAACAUUAUCAUCUUCAUCAUUGCGUCGACUUUUGCGUUUCAGCAAGUCGGCAAUGGUUUCGUUGUCUUCUUCCUCUUCUUCCUCAGCAAUUUUCUUGCCUUUAUCCUUCACACCCGAACCAGAGGCUUGGCCUACAGGAGGAGGUUCGGUGGUGUGUGUUGCUUUUGAGGAAUGAGGUGGUUGCGAUCCAGACUCCUUUUCUCCCCCUUGUUUCGGAGUGGACACGAAAUCGGGUAGCCCUUCAAUUUUACUUAACAGAUCCAGGGCAGGAGCGAGCUUUUCUGCAAGGGUACGCCUCACAGAAUGAUUAAGGAUCGGAUCAUGUGCUUCAAGGAUGUUAGAUAUUGCUGAGUGGACAUCCGAAACACACGUCUUGAUGACCUCCCGUUCGGACCGAAGAGUGUCAAGUUGUUGUUGAGAAUUGGAGAGUUGAGCACUCUUGACCUUUAGGGAAGUGGUCUUCUUUGCCAGAACAUCCAUCAACAAGUUCUCAGCAGCUAGGUCCUCUAGGAGUUUAGAGAGGCGCUCGUCAAUAGAGGCACGAAGGGCAGAGUUGUCGUCUGUCAUAGAUUGACGAAGUGUGGCAAAGGACUUCAACUCUGUAGAGACAAACGUGGCCAACUGUUGAACAAUUGGUUCCAACGUAGUCUUUGUGGCAUCUGCACUCUCCUGUAAGGACUUUAACAGGGCAGAGGCAUCAGAGAAUAGUUUAUCGACUUUUUCGGUCGCAGCCUCACAGGCUUUCGUUGAGGCAUCAAUGGCGGCGGUUGCAGAAGCGACCGAAUCUUGCUGAGCCCUUGAGAAGGCAUCAACAAUCUUCUGAAGAGCGGCUUCAGAGAGGGAUGAUUGAGAGGUGGAAGAAGAAGCAAUGAGCAAGUCGACCUUGUCAUGUAGCUCCUUAAGAUGCUUCUUUGUGACCGGAGCGUCUUCGUCAUCGUCACUCUGCACUUGAAACGGACUGUAAUAGACCGAAUCAAAGGUCAUGUUUUCCCUGCCAAGGAANAGAGGCAUGACCGGGAGAUGGUGGUGGUGGUGAAGCUGGGGGUGUAGUUGUAUGGGUAGGUUCAGGUUGUGUGGUUUCGGGCGUAGGUGUAGGGGUAGGUUCGGUGUGUUUUUGAGUAGGGGUAGGUUUGGGUGCUGUUUGGGUUUCGGUUGUGUGAAUGGGUUCGGUUACUGGUGGUGGUUCGGUUGCGUCGGUAUGAACCCCCGUAUCAGAUACGUUGAUUAUAACCUUUGCAGUGGAUGUUGUUGAAGCAUCAGUGAAGAUAGGUGGUGGCAUUUGGAAUGAAGGUUUUGGAAUAUGGGUAGAGGGGUUUAUGGUGGGAAUGGAAGUGGGAAUUGUUUGAGUAGGAGAGGGAAUUGGAGAAGUAUGGAUUUGCAUGUCAGGAGUAGGUGAUCUAGGUGGUGUGUUGCCCCUUGGAGGUGUGUUGCCUCUUGGAGAGUCGUCAGAAUCCGAACUCUCUCCCUCCGAAUCACUGGAAGAGGAAUCGAUAAUCAGCUUGACCUUCGGUUGUGUCUUUCGUCUCUUCUGUUGCGGUGACGGAGCAGCUUUGGUGGCCUUCCUCGGCGUGAGAUCCCUUGGACCAGACCUCUUGAACUCCUGGUAGGUCCGGAUGAGCUGGCUGUCAGCUGGAACAUCAGCGUACAUAGUUUCCGGAAUGGAACCAUUGAAAGGGAAUUUUGAAGCAUCUGAAACGAUGAUCUUCGUGGUAUGAAAGGUACCAAUCGAAGACAUCGGUGCGCUGGCAACAGUGGGGACAUUGUUCUUAUCCAUCGCCCACUUAGUGAUCAAGGUCCAAAACCUGGCAUACGACACCUCUGAAUGCCGUGAAGAAGAAGAUAAACUUUGGAUGAUUUGUUGCCAGAGAACAAACCCAUAGUCGACGUUAAUACCGUAGUAGACACCGUACAGGAUGGACAAGAAUAGUCGACUGGAGCCAUCUGAACCAGAGCUUCUUUCUGAGAGACCCUUGAAUAGCACAGUGAACAUCCCGUUCCACUGUGGCGGUAAACAGGACUUCUUAAACUUUGCGACGGAGGUAAGCACCUCCGUGUACCCCAUAUUGUAGAACAUGUUGAAAAGGUGCCCCAUUGGAAUAGUCUCUGGAUUAACCCUCGUUGGGUCAGCUUCAAACCCUAGUAGAGAACAAAAGCGUUGCUUGGAGAUGGACGCUUUGUGAUGAGAAACUUCGAAGAAGAUCCUAUCGACCACUUUAUCGUAAUGUGCAGUCGCAUAGAUCUGCGAUAAGAACUCCAUGGGCACUGAUUCCACCCUAGAAAGUGCAGGUGCAAUCGGCGAAUACUUCAAGCACUCGAUGAUUGGGAACAUGUAGGAGUCAUAGACAUGAGGGGUUAAAUCGAUUACGAGACACUGUUGAGGGCGAAUGGGAAGAAUGUGGGAAGUGGCAUGCACAGAGGAUGAAUCGGCCAUUGUUGAAGAGAGUGAAGAAGAUGAUGAACAGUUAGGGUUCAGGGAAUUCUUACUCUCUUGGGAAUUUUGAUUGCAGUAAAGAGGUAAAUGGGAGAGGAUGUCGCCUUUUAUAGUGGGUUAAAGGAGAGAGAAAGAUCUGCCCAUAUCUUCUAUCGAAAUACCAAGAGUUUUCCGGAGGUGACUGAUGCGUGACAGUUGGGGAACCGAUGAUCACGCAUGAGAGAGAGUGUCAGAUUCCGAAGAACACGCCUCCCAUCAAGCGCCGUUUCUGAUAAACCGUUUCAAAUUCACACACGCCCUUUCUGUGCCAGAGAUGAACCGUUUCAAAUUCGCACACGUGUCUGCGACGUCGGUUAGAGAUUAGACGUUUCGCCUGAGUCAGCAACUUUUCAUCUUAUCCCUUUAAAGUAUAACGACAUCUUUUGAAUAAUACGCCCACAUGGAUUAAAGUUGACCUCAGCUUUUAAUCAACCACCAAUCCAAAGAAAAAGCCUGUAAUUAUUAGAACCAGAAUUUUGGAAAAUCAAAGAUUUUCGUGCUAAGGGUGUAAAAGAUAAGAAAUAAAGCAAUUCUUUUGAGGAAAAAUUGUGAUGUCAAUAAAGACACAAAACAAAGGAUCCCGGGCACGAAUCUCUUCCUUCAAAGUCAAGAGAGACCUUAAAGUGUUAGUGUGGUUUCCUGUUCAAUAACGAUCAAACACUUAUUAAGAAGUGAUGAAAGGCUUCUUUUAAUUAAGCUUUGUAGGGUGGUUUUUGCUUUGAUUCAACAGUCCUAAUCUUGAAAUAAGAUAGAAAGUGAACAAAGUACUUGUGAGACCGGUGUAGUCUGUUGAACAAGUAGGUGUGAAAUAAUUUAAAAGUGGCUAGUAAAUAUAAAAUCUCAACAAAAAUUAAAAACUGGAUCCCAAGGGAAGAAAUGUGAUGGUGUUUAACAAUUUCAUAGGAAUCACACAAAAUAAAAGUUUGAGAUUUCAUAAAGAUACGUCCGUCAAUUCAUUAUUGAAAACUUGAGCAAUUUAAUUGUUCACCGUCAAUUCAGAUUGGGUAUUGAAUUUUGGGUUUCACUCAGCUCGUAGUGGCACGAAACUAAGAUCAUAAACACAGUUUUUGAGUAACCAUAAACCUCAGUGGUAAUGUCUGAGAGUCUCAAGGGUUACGAUUGUGAAACGAAGUUAAAUGGAGAAAUACAAUAGAGAUGGUGAAAGAAUAUAACGUACCUCUGCUGUNAAGUGUUGAAGAGUUUACGGCCAAGAGUAUUUCUUGGGCCGUAAACUCCUUUAAUGGGGUCAAUAAGCACCCUAGACUCUUCCUAAGGCCAAGAAACUUUUAGGGCAAGUACCUAGAUGAGAUAUGGACUAGUUAAAAUUCUUAGAACCUCAUGUGUGAGGGAGUUUACGGCCCAAAGAGUUCUAUGGCCGUAAACUCCAUCAAAUGGUCCCAUUUAGUGCCAUAAAUCUUCCUUUAGCCAAUGGUUGAAACCUAGACUUGUUCCUAGAAAUGUUAGGGACUUGAAAGGACAAUAAGAACCCUCCCAAGGGAGUUUACGGCCGUAAACUCCAAGGGAAAAGGGGCUUUGGGCCAUAAACUCCCCUUAGGAGUCAAUAUGGUACCUUAAACUCUUGUUUAGCCUUGAAACAGUUCCCCUCUAAGGUUGUAGUACUUCUAAACUCCAUUUCGGGACUUGGUUGAGAGUUUACGGCCAGGAGCUUACUCCCCUGGGCCGUAAACUCCAAUGAUUAUGGUAUUUUGACCUUAAACUUCCAUUAGGGGCAUUGCACUCCUUUGUUGCAACCCAUUAGCCUCCUAGCACUUGACCAAAAGUGUUGUCCUCGCACUUAAAUGUUUAUACUUGUAUAAUUAGUGAUUUAAUCUCUAAUUAUUUAUAUACAUAUGUCUUCAUAUGUAAUUAGGAUCAUUGUGUGUGUCUAAGUCAUCACUUGACACCAAGCACUUGUCCGAUCCUUCCNNNNNNNNNNNNNNNNNNNNNNNNNNNNNNNNNNNNNNNNNNNNNNNNNNNNNNNNNNNNNNNNNNNNNNNNNNNNNNNNNNNNNNNNNNNNNNNNNNNNNNNNNNNNNNNNNNNNNNNNNNNNNNNNNNNNNNNNNNNNNNNNNNNNNNNNNNNNNNNNNNNNNNNNNNNNNNNNNNNNNNNNNNNNNNNNNNNNNNNNNNNNNNNNNNNNNNNNNNNNNNNNNNNNNNNNNNNNNNNNNNNNNNNNNNNNNNNNNNNNNNNNNNNNNNNNNNNNNNNNNNNNNNNNNNNNNNNNNNNNNNNNNNNNNNNNNNNNNNNNNNNNNNNNNNNNNNNNNNNNNNNNNNNNNNNNNNNNNNNNNNNNNNNNNNNNNNNNNNNNNNNNNNNNNNNNNNNNNNNNNNNNNNNNNNNNNNNNNNNNNNNNNNNNNNNNNNNNNNNNNNNNNNNNNNNNNNNNNNNNNNNNNNNNNNNNNNNNNNNNNNNNNNNNNNNNNNNNNNNNNNNNNNNNNNNNNNNNNNNNNNNNNNNNNNNNNNNNNNNNNNNNNNNNNNNNNNNNNNNNNNNNNNNNNNNNNNNNNNNNNNNNNNNNNNNNNNNNNNNNNNNNNNNNNNNNNNNNNNNNNNNNNNNNNNNNNNNNNNNNNNNNNNNNNNNNNNNNNNNNNNNNNNNNNNNNNNNNNNNNNNNNNNNNNNNNNNNNNNNNNNNNNNNNNNNNNNNNNNNNNNNNNNNNNNNNNNNNNNNNNNNNNNNNNNNNNNNNNNNNNNNNNNNNNNNNNNNNNNNNNNNNNNNNNNNNNNNNNNNNNNNNNNNNNNNNNNNNNNNNNNNNNNNNNNNNNNNNNNNNNNNNNNNNNNNNNNNNNNNNNNNNNNNNNNNNNNNNNNNNNNNNNNNNNNNNNNNNNNNNNNNNNNNNNNNNNNNNNNNNNNNNNNNNNNNNNNNNNNNNNNNNNNNNNNNNNNNNNNNNNNNNNNNNNNNNNNNNNNNNNNNNNNNNNNNNNNNNNNNNNNNNNNNNNNNNNNNNNNNNNNNNNNNNNNNNNNNNNNNNNNNNNNNNNNNNNNNNNNNNNNNNNNNNNNNNNNNNNNNNNNNNNNNNNNNNNNNNNNNNNNNNNNNNNNNNNNNNNNNNNNNNNNNNNNNNNNNNNNNNNNNNNNNNNNNNNNNNNNNNNNNNNNNNNNNNNNNNNNNNNNNNNNNNNNNNNNNNNNNNNNNNNNNNNNNNNNNNNNNNNNNNNNNNNNNNNNNNNNNNNNNNNNNNNNNNNNNNNNNNNNNNNNNNNNNNNNNNNNNNNNNNNNNNNNNNNNNNNNNNNNNNNNNNNNNNNNNNNNNNNNNNNNNNNNNNNNNNNNNNNNNNNNNNNNNNNNNNNNNNNNNNNNNNNNNNNNNNNNNNNNNNNNNNNNNNNNNNNNNNNNNNNNNNNNNNNNNNNNNNNNNNNNNNNNNNNNNNNNNNNNNNNNNNNNNNNNNNNNNNNNNNNNNNNNNNNNNNNNNNNNNNNNNNNNNNNNNNNNNNNNNNNNNNNNNNNNNNNNNNNNNNNNNNNNNNNNNNNNNNNNNNNNNNNNNNNNNNNNNNNNNNNNNNNNNNNNNNNNNNNNNNNNNNNNNNNNNNNNNNNNNNNNNNNNNNNNNNNNNNNNNNNNNNNNNNNNNNNNNNNNNNNNNNNNNNNNNNNNNNNNNNNNNNNNNNNNNNNNNNNNNNNNNNNNNNNNNNNNNNNNNNNNNNNNNNNNNNNNNNNNNNNNNNNNNNNNNNNNNNNNNNNNNNNNNNNNNNNNNNNNNNNNNNNNNNNNNNNNNNNNNNNNNNNNNNNNNNNNNNNNNNNNNNNNNNNNNNNNNNNNNNNNNNNNNNNNNNNNNNNNNNNNNNNNNNNNNNNNNNNNNNNNNNNNNNNNNNNNNNNNNNNNNNNNNNNNNNNNNNNNNNNNNNNNNNNNNNNNNNNNNNNNNNNNNNNNNNNNNNNNNNNNNNNNNNNNNNNNNNNNNNNNNNNNNNNNNNNNNNNNNNNNNNNNNNNNNNNNNNNNNNNNNNNNNNNNNNNNNNNNNNNNNNNNNNNNNNNNNNNNNNNNNNNNNNNNNNNNNNNNNNNNNNNNNNNNNNNNNNNNNNNNNNNNNNNNNNNNNNNNNNNNNNNNNNNNNNNNNNNNNNNNNNNNNNNNNNNNNNNNNNNNNNNNNNNNNNNNNNNNNNNNNNNNNNNNNNNNNNNNNNNNNNNNNNNNNNNNNNNNNNNNNNNNNNNNNNNNNNNNNNNNNNNNNNNNNNNNNNNNNNNNNNNNNNNNNNNNNNNNNNNNNNNNNNNNNNNNNNNNNNNNNNNNNNNNNNNNNNNNNNNNNNNNNNNNNNNNNNNNNNNNNNNNNNNNNNNNNNNNNNNNNNNNNNNNNNNNNNNNNNNNNNNNNNNNNNNNNNNNNNNNNNNNNNNNNNNNNNNNNNNNNNNNNNNNNNNNNNNNNNNNNNNNNNNNNNNNNNNNNNNNNNNNNNNNNNNNNNNNNNNNNNNNNNNNNNNNNNNNNNNNNNNNNNNNNNNNNNNNNNNNNNNNNNNNNNNNNNNNNNNNNNNNNNNNNNNNNNNNNNNNNNNNNNNNNNNNNNNNNNNNNNNNNNNNNNNNNNNNNNNNNNNNNNNNNNNNNNNNNNNNNNNNNNNNNNNNNNNNNNNNNNNNNNNNNNNNNNNNNNNNNNNNNNNNNNNNNNNNNNNNNNNNNNNNNNNNNNNNNNNNNNNNNNNNNNNNNNNNNNNNNNNNNNNNNNNNNNNNNNNNNNNNNNNNNNNNNNNNNNNNNNNNNNNNNNNNNNNNNNNNNNNNNNNNNNNNNNNNNNNNNNNNNNNNNNNNNNNNNNNNNNNNNNNNNNNNNNNNNNNNNNNNNNNNNNNNNNNNNNNNNNNNNNNNNNNNNNNNNNNNNNNNNNNNNNNNNNNNNNNNNNNNNNNNNNNNNNNNNNNNNNNNNNNNNNNNNNNNNNNNNNNNNNNNNNNNNNNNNNNNNNNNNNNNNNNNNNNNNNNNNNNNNNNNNNNNNNNNNNNNNNNNNNNNNNNNNNNNNNNNNNNNNNNNNNNNNNNNNNNNNNNNNNNNNNNNNNNNNNNNNNNNNNNNNNNNNNNNNNNNNNNNNNNNNNNNNNNNNNNNNNNNNNNNNNNNNNNNNNNNNNNNNNNNNNNNNNNNNNNNNNNNNNNNNNNNNNNNNNNNNNNNNNNNNNNNNNNNNNNNNNNNNNNNNNNNNNNNNNNNNNNNNNNNNNNNNNNNNNNNNNNNNNNNNNNNNNNNNNNNNNNNNNNNNNNNNNNNNNNNNNNNNNNNNNNNNNNNNNNNNNNNNNNNNNNNNNNNNNNNNNNNNNNNNNNNNNNNNNNNNNNNNNNNNNNNNNNNNNNNNNNNNNNNNNNNNNNNNNNNNNNNNNNNNNNNNNNNNNNNNNNNNNNNNNNNNNNNNNNNNNNNNNNNNNNNNNNNNNNNNNNNNNNNNNNNNNNNNNNNNNNNNNNNNNNNNNNNNNNNNNNNNNNNNNNNNNNNNNNNNNNNNNNNNNNNNNNNNNNNNNNNNNNNNNNNNNNNNNNNNNNNNNNNNNNNNNNNNNNNNNNNNNNNNNNNNNNNNNNNNNNNNNNNNNNNNNNNNNNNNNNNNNNNNNNNNNNNNNNNNNNNNNNNNNNNNNNNNNNNNNNNNNNNNNNNNNNNNNNNNNNNNNNNNNNNNNNNNNNNNNNNNNNNNNNNNNNNNNNNNNNNNNNNNNNNNNNNNNNNNNNNNNNNNNNNNNNNNNNNNNNNNNNNNNNNNNNNNNNNNNNNNNNNNNNNNNNNNNNNNNNNNNNNNNNNNNNNNNNNNNNNNNNNNNNNNNNNNNNNNNNNNNNNNNNNNNNNNNNNNNNNNNNNNNNNNNNNNNNNNNNNNNNNNNNNNNNNNNNNNNNNNNNNNNNNNNNNNNNNNNNNNNNNNNNNNNNNNNNNNNNNNNNNNNNNNNNNNNNNNNNNNNNNNNNNNNNNNNNNNNNNNNNNNNNNNNNNNNNNNNNNNNNNNNNNNNNNNNNNNNNNNNNNNNNNNNNNNNNNNNNNNNNNNNNNNNNNNNGGAUUCGUAGAGCCAAAGAUGAUAUCAUCGACGUAAAUUUGAACAAUCCUAAGGUGGUUACCUUCCUUCUUACGAAAGAAGGUUGGGUCAACCGAACCUUGUUUGAAUUUCGACAUCUUUAAAAACUUUGUCAGCGUUUCAUACCAGGCCCUCGGAGCUUGUUUCAGUCCAUACAUGGCUUUGUCCAAAAUAUAACAAUGAUUAGGAUACCUUUCAUUUACGAAGCCAGGAGGUUGCUCCACGUACACUGUUUCUUCGAGUUCACCAUUGAGAAAUGCACAUUUGACAUCCAUUUGGUAGACUUCAAAGUUUUUGUGUGCAGCAUAGGCGAGAAAGAUUCUAACGGAUUCCAGCCUAGCUACAGGAGCGAAAGUCUCUUCAUAGUCAAUUCCUUCCUCCUGACAGUAUCCUUUCACUACCAGACGUGCUUUGUUUCGAAUCACGUUCCCUUCUUUGUCCAUUUUAUUCCUGAAGACCCAUUUGAGACCAACAACCGAGGCAUCUGGAGGAGUUGGAAUUAGUCACCAAACUUUGUUCCUUUCGAAUUCAUUCAGUUCGUCUUGCAUAGCUUGAACCCAAUCGGAGUGAUCAAGAGCAGUGUUAACUGUCUUUGGUUCAAUUUUUGAGACGAAGGAGUUAAACAUACAGAAUUCUACUUGAGAAAACAAGGAAGUUUGUUUUGCCUUGAGUUGUGAUCGGGUCAGAACCUUUUCAGAUACAUCCCCAACGACUUGAGUGACAGGAUGAUCUCUGGUCCAUUUGACGAGAGGAGGGUAGUUUGGAUCAAAGGAUGGAUCCAAUUCAGAGUUUAUCAUCUCUUCUGGUUCGUAUGGACUUUCAUCAUCAUAAAGCAUAUUGACAUGCUCCCCCUCGAUAGAUAAGCUUUCAGUAACGUCUUGAGUAUUUUGAGCUACAGAGGUUUCUGGUGGUGCUGACCUUUCAGGUGUUGAACCACCUUCGGGUGGUGAGGUACUUUCGGUUGAAAAAUUUCGUUCGGGAGCAGUUUGAGACCUCAGCUCCCCCUCAACAUGUGAGCUCGGCUGAGAUGAUGAUGGCGGAUCCUCCCCCUCGACUGAAGCAUUGUGUUGUUGAGGGUCUUCAGAACCUGAUUCUCCUUCAUUCAUUCUCCUUGCAGCAUCGUCGACAAGUUGCUUUAAGUGAUCUACCCUGUUGUCAGCUGCGCUGGCUUCUGAGAGAGUGGCCUUCUCUGGUUCAUCAAAGAGCUCAACAAACUUCUCAAAUAGAUUAGCGAUUGAGGUUGUGACCUGGCCAGUUUGAGGAAAGAUUUCUCUAGCUGUGUCCUCGUUGGCCUUCAGCUUUUUGACAUAGUUGUCAUCAAAAGUCACAUAGUAGGUUUCUUCUAUUUUCCUCGAACGCUUGUUUAAUACUCUGUACACUUUAGAAGUAAGAGAAUAUCCCAAAAAUAUCCCCUCGUCGGCUUUGACAUCAAUCUUGUUGCGGUGUUCUUUGGAAUUGAAAAUGAAACACCGUGAACCGAACACAUGGAAGAAUUUGACAUUCGGCUUCCUGUUGCUGAUGAUCUCAUAAGGAGUGAGGGUGAAGCGCUUGUUGAGAUAUGACCUGUUAUGUGUAAAACAAGCAGCAGAAAUAGCAUCAACCCAAAAAUAUAAAGGUAAGUAAGCGAAACUUAGCAUGGUUCGGGCUGCUUCACACAAAGAUUGGUUUCGUCUUUCGACAAUCCCGUUUUGUUGAGGAGUGUAGGGAGUUGAGAAGUUGUGACUAAUUCCCUUUUCUUCCAGGAAUUCUUCAAAUUCUUUAUUUUUGAACUCCAGUCAAUUAUCGCUCCUGAUAUUGCGAACGACUUUCUUCAGCUGUACUUCAGUCUGCUUGAUGAACACCUUUAGCUUAUGAGUCGCUUCAGAUUUAAGCUUCAGAAAGAACACCCAUGUAAAACGUGAAAAGUCAUCAACAAUAACAAGAAUGUACUUGCUACCACCGAUACUUUCGAUAGAUGAUGGACCACACAAAUCAAUAUGAAGUAAUUCUAGUGGUUCAACAACUUUAGUGUUUAUUAUAGAUGGAUGACUUUGACGACUCUGCUUCCCCAUUUCACAUGCAGCACACAAAUGUUCUCUAUCGUACUUGAGCAAUGGAAGACCUCGAACAUGACCUCCAGUGACAAGUUUAUUGAUAUCCUUAAAGUUGAGAUGAGAGAGCCUUCGGUGCCACAACCAGCUUUCGUCAGAUUGUGCUUUUGAUAACAGGCAGAUAGCUGGGUUUCCUUUGAUGGGUUUGAGGUUUAAGGGAAACAUUUCACCUUUACGCUCUGAUUUGAGAAUAACUCUUUUCGUCUUCUUCUCAAUUAUUUCUGAACCCUCAUCGUCGAAUGAAACUUUGAGACCGGUACCUCCAACAAGUUGAGAUACACUGAUGAGGUUGUGUUGUAAUCCUUCCACGUAUGCAACCUUUCGUAUAGUGAAAUCACCGUUUGUAAUCAUUCCGUAGCCUUUUAUGGUGCCGAAGGAGUUGUUCCCGAACUUGACAUUUCCACCGUUUGAAAGAGACCUGUAUUCUCUUAGCUCUUCCUUCCUUCCUGUCAUGUGACGCGAGCAACCACUGUCAAUGUACCAUUCUUCGUCAAACUGCUCGUCACUGAUAACCUGCAAAAAUUAAGUAGAUUUAGGAACCCAAAGUUUCUUGGGUCCACGUGAGCCUUUCACAGGAACAGGGAUAGUAAGAGAGAUGUCAACAAGAUAUGUUCUUUUUAUUAGUGUUGUUUCAUCUUUCUUUUUGAUGGUGAAAACUUUAAUUUUAUUGGGAUUUGUUGCUUUUGGUUUGGAUUCUGGUUUAAUUGAUGAAACCUUAGAUUUUCCUUUCGGUUCAGUUAAUGAUUGAGGUUUUUGAGAGUGAACAGAAUGGAAUUUAGACUGAGGUGGAGAGGAAUUAGAAGAGUUUGAAGAAUUAGAAGAGUUAGAGUGUGAGAGCUUAAAAGGAGAGGACUUCUUGGCUGGAGAUUCAGAUGACUUCUUGGCUGGAGAUUCUAGGUGACCCUUUUGCUUUUGAUCAUUAAUGGGACUGACCCUAUAAUUUUGAUCUCUUUUGUUCUCAGAACCGAACCUCUGCUUUCGGUUGAAGUCAUUCUCUGAACCGAACCUUUGCUUUCGGUUGAUGUUUUCUCUGAACCGAACUUCUGCUUUCGAUUGAAGUCUUUUUCUGAACCGAACCUCUGCUUUCGGUUGUUAUUGCUCUCUUGUGAUUCUAUAGGACUUUUCUCUGACUUUAAGUUCCUAUCUUGAUGUGAAAAAUAGGCAUUCUGAGAUUGCCAAAACUGUUUUCUCUCAGAGAGAUUCUUCUUGUAUCUCUGAUUCCUUUGUUGUUUUUGAUUUCUCAUCUGCUUCGGUUGAUGAUGAAUAUUGGCUUUUGAUUUCUGUUUUCCUUUAGCUGGUUCACUCUGAACUGAUGAUGUUUCGCUUGAAGGAGUGACUUCUUUUGCAGGAAUUCCUUUUUCUUGAGGAACAUCUUUUGUACCACUAGUACUUGGCACGUCGAAGCUAUCAGGCUUAUUUAAAGGUUCUGGCACAUAUCUGCCUUUGCUUUUCCAUGAGGUCCUUUCAGAUAGACCAACCGUUUCAUCAGCAUUAUCAAUGGGAGCUGACCAGAAGAACUCGUCACAGCCAUCAGCAUUGUCUUCGUUUACAAUUGUUGUGAGUUCAGCAGUCUGAUGUUUGGUUACACCUGUGACCUUAUACACCUGAUUUGGAGUAGUUCUGACCUUUUGAUAUACUACUUCCUUCUCUGCAAGAAUCGGGGACUUUUGUUGGGACAUACGAGCGAAUUCUACUAAAUUUUCCGAAAUGAGAUUCUUGUGGUUUUCGGGUUCACUCUUCACAAAUUCUGAACAGUCAACUGUGUCCUCUACAGAAAUUUCACUCAUAUUAUCGUCCUCAUUAAGCUUAGAUGCAUUUUCAACUUCAAUUUUGUUUUCUGAGCUCAAGUUGGCGUUUAAAGAGUCAAAUUUUUGUAUGGUUUCGGUCCUCAGUUUCAGUUUCUCAUUUUCAUCCAAAAGGUUUUUAAGCAUGUCCUUAUGAUCCUUGGACUUAAUAAAAGAUUCAAUUUUGUCCAGUCCAUACAUAUACGUCGGAUUAACUUCUUCAGAUGAAAUAACACUUUCACAAUUAUAUGCUUCAACAUCAAUUUCAUCCUCCUUAAACUCAAGGAAGGGUAAAAUCGUGUGAUGAAUCUUUUGUCCUAUUUCACAAUUCAGAUGAAGCUGAGUGAUAUUAGUGUAAAGACGUUUAGCAAUCAAACAAAAAACAUUUCGCUGUUUUAAAAGCUUUAAAUUGUCUCUUUGCAAAUAAAUGUUUUCAUCUUUUGUUUUAAUUAACUCCGACUCCUUCAGUUCGAUCCAGAUCCUGCGUUCCUCAUUCUUCGAAGACACCCUGCUUAUUUGGUCAGUUAGGUUAGAAUUGGUGACUCGAGUUUGACUUAAACUACUGUCUAGAUAAGAGAUUCUUGAAUUAACAUUUUUUAAUUCUUUUUCAUAUGAGCAUUGUGGAAUUUUGAAUGAAACAAAAAUGGAUUGUACCUUCUUGAUCAGUUCAUCAAGCUCGUUGAACUGUAAGCUGAGCGGUUUUGCAGUGAAGCACAAGUCCUCUCGCUCUUUUGCGUCUUCAAUCCCCCCGUCCGUGUUGUAUCCCCUUAUUUGAGAAAUGUCGGACACCAUCAAGCAUUUUCCACCACUGAUCUCUUCUUUCGCCACAUAAGCCUUUCCAUGAGAAGGCUUCCUCACUUCAUCAUCUUCAGAGUCGGUUGACCAGACCUCCACGCCACCGAACUCAUCAUCUGCUACCGAACCCUGCACAAUUAAAGCGUUCAUAGAAGGGUUAGCAGUAGAUCUCUUCUUUCUGAUCUCAUCCAGCUUUUUCUGCAACAAAGCUUCUUCAUCCUUUUCUGCCAUUUUCUUGAGGACGCAAUCCUUUGCAUAGUGAUUCUUUCCUCCACAGUAAUAGCAGCUUACUCCCGAAUCUCCUUCAGCUUUCGGUUCAUCUUUGACCUUUUCGGAACUAUAACUCCCCUGCCAAUUUCGGUUCUUGUUUGUGGGGAAUCUCUUCUUGAUGAACCUCUUGGGGUUGGACACCAUCAUAGCAUAGUCUUCAGAAGUGAGGUCAUAGUCCUCCAAGUUGAGGUCUUCUUCUUCCAUCACUGCUUUGCUUUUGGACAGGAGGGCCAACGAACCCAGGGUUGAAACCACAUUUUUCUCUUGUAACACGAUCUUUUAUUGGGAUUUCAGGAUGCCCACUAGUUUCACCAAAGAAUAGGAUUUAAAUUGCUCAUGGGCUUUAACUGUGGACACUACAGCUCUCCACUCAGAUCUGAGACCGUUCAAAAACGUAACCUUCUGAUCAAUUAGCUUCCUUUCAAUGUCAUGUUUAAUCAUCUUGCUAAGAAGAUGAUUGAAGCGAUCGAACGUUUGCGUCACAGUCUCUUCGGCUCCCUGCUUGAAUUCACCAAACUCAGACAAGAGUAAGGUUUGAAUGGAGUGUUCAAGAUCUUCGUCUGUAGAGUAUAAUUCUCGUAGCCUGUCCCAUAUUUCUUUUGCAGUCGUGCACGAACUCACCAGUCUGAAAGUAUCGGAUUGAAGAGCGAAUCUGAUUAAUCUCAAUGCUUUGAUAUUGCACUGAAAUUUAUCUUUUUCGUCUUGAGCAAUAUCUUUAACGUCUUUCAGAAGAUCAUUAUACUCCUUUUGAGUUUUAAUAAUCCUUGAAGUUGCUGAAUGAGAAAAGGGUCCAGAGAUGAUUGCUUCCCAGAUGAGGUAUCCAUUAUCCUCAGAUCCAAUAACAUAAUCUUCAAAGUGAUGUGCCCAGACUUCAUAAUCGUGGGUGUAUAGGAUCAGAAUCUUCGUUGUUGAUCCAAUGCUGUUCGAAAUAUUAAUGGGAUUGGAUUGCGACUCGUCCAUGCUUGAUCGAAUAACCUGUUAAAAGAUCAGACUUGUAAUGUAAUAAAUUAGGGCAAAACAAUAAAUAUCGAGUUACGUCAAUUAUGGGAUGACGGCUCAAUAAAUAUCAGUUAAUGCGGAAUAACCCUAAUUGAAACCCUUUUCACAGAAAAGAAGUGUAUGAUUUACACAGCCUCCUGCUCUGAUACCAAUUGAUGAGUUAAAAACUAACUUGAAGAUCGAUUAGAUCUUAUAACAGGUAAAAUAAAGAAUACGAAAACAGUAAACAACUCAAGUAUGGAUCGAAGAAUGUCGAAUGAUUAAUCAACAAUCCUCAGCAGAGCUCGAUAAAGAACUUCUACUGUAGAGGAUUAAGGGUUUACAAGAACGAUAAAGAAAAUAAUAUGUGAUCUAUUGUAAUCGCUAUCAAUCGUUUUUUUUAAUAUGCAUGCAAGCACAUUAAUUUAUAUUAAAACCCUACAAGCUCACGUUUGGACAGGCCCAAACCGGAGUAACAAAACAUGGACUAUAAACCGAGCCCAAUAGACGCAAUACAUCAAAACUGCUAUGCAAUGCUACCCAACAGUAAUCCUCAACGUGGCGGGCACAGGCGCCACUACCGCUCAUCCCCCUCCCUUCAACCUCAGACAAUCGACCUUUUUUAUGGCCAAUCUGGUUGUAGUGGAAACAUAUCAAGCCCUUCCUGGGGCAGUCCCUGCUUACGUGACCCGACUGACCACGCAUAUAACACACUGGGUUCAACCCCUUUCAAGCUCCUCCAUGAGAUCUCCCACACUUGGCACACCGGCCACGACCCUGCUGGCCCCUACUAGAUGAAUAUGAGGUCUUAGGCUUUUGAGCCUGACCUACUGCUGCCUGUGCCUGCUCAGGCUUUCGCUUGUUGCAGAAGUCCAUCUCCAUCUCCCUCUCUCUCUCUCUCUCCCUCUCUCUCUUUCUCUCUCUCUUGUUCCUUCUCCACCAUCUCAUUCAGGGUUUUGCACCCUAUAAAACUUGCAAACUCCUGGAUAUCAUCCCUCAGCAUGGAAUGAUACCUCAUCCUCCACAUGUCCUCAUCGGUAACGUACUGCGGGAUCAACAAAGCUCGCUCCUGAAACUUGGCGGUGAUCUCCGCCACAAUCUCGGUGGUCUGCUACAGGUCAUGAAUGUUGGGUUUUGAGCAUUCUAACACUCCUAAGAGUACAUGUAACCCUAAAUACCUUAGAUCUAUGUUUUAUCUAUUAUACAUGCAAAUAUGAACUUUCCAAGGUGUUCAUCCUAAAUAGCAUAAUAAUAUUGACCCAUAUGAAUAUAUCAAGUUAGAAUUACAUACCUCUUUGAUGUAGAAUGUCUUCAUGAAGCUUGAGUGGCUAGUGCCCCAAGUGUGACACCUCAAAUGGUUCACACAACACCAAAUACACAUGGAAUGACUUGAGAGAAAUUGGAACACUUCAUAAAAUCGGCUAGCCCUUUCUAUCUUCCGUAGUGGCCGAUUUUGUUACCAAUAAGAUCUUUAUAUAGUGUCACAAUUAGGGUAAACCCUAAUUGUCAUGGAUUUCCAUUUCCUUGGUCCAUGGUUUCAAAUACACCAUGGAUCAUCCUAUAGGUUUUAGCCCAACUUGAUAAUCCAUGGAGUCUUAGCCUACUAUACAAGUAUGGAUGGUUUACACAAUCAACCCAUAUAUUUAAUUAGUCUUCUUUUGAUCACUUAAUUAAUCCUAGAUUAAUUCUUGAUCAAUACUAAUUAAAUAAUCUUAUUAAUAUAUUAGAACUUAUAAUAUAUUAACAAACCUUAAGUGAUAUUUCUCUAAUUAUAGUCAAUCCAAAUGCAUGAUGCCAUGCAACCCAAAUGGACCAUGUCGGGCCGGGUCAAGUCUUACCAAUUAUAGUUAUGGAAUUAGACAUUAAUCGAACAAUCUACCACUUGGAUAAGCCUAAAAAUAUUAUUGCAAGUAUGACUUCAAGAACCGGAUGGCAAUCAUAGCUCUCAAAAGCUUCUGUCGAACUCUGACCUUGCCGAUGAUCUCUGAACUUUGUCAAUGACUUGUCCAUUAGAUAAGGGAUCAUAUAUUCCUCCAUUCUAGAUAUCAUAUGGACUGAGACAUGGAUUAUAAUCAUUCUCUCUGUCCAUUUGUUGUUUCCUGAUUUCCGAUUUGUGACGACUGACUAAUUGAACAAAUCAAAUCAGUCUAGGCCCGGUCGAGCACUUACAUUUGUCAUCACCAAAUCAUCGAGGGGCCCACACAUAUCGCUUUUAUCUCGAAAGUAAAAGGAAUGGAUAAACAUCGACUAAUAUGGCUUGUUCUACUACUUGUUGAAUCAUACACAAAGGCACGUUUUAUAACAUCGAGUUACCACUGCGUUUUCGUGCAAUCAAUGUAUAACCAACUCAUAUCUCUAGGUUUGAAGAAUACAAGAUAUCAACGUCUCAUGAUCACUCGUGAUGAAAUCCAUGAAGUGAUUCUAAUUAGCGCAGGUUGAAUCCAUUACUCAGAACUUAUGAGCACUCAUGAGUGUUGUAGCACCACCUUGUCCAACAUCUUAGACCUCUACUAGCCCAACCCAUGACAGUCUUGAUUCAUAUCUACUUCCAACAUAUGAUCGACUAUGGAUGAUUUGAAUAACUUAAUCAAUCAGGAAGAACGACCUAGUUAUUUUGGAAGUGAAAACAUGCAAAAUGAAACACAAUAAUAAUCGAAUCCAAUAUGGUCUUAGAACUUAUGAAUAUAAAUAAAACACCUUUUAUUUAUCACCAUAUAAUUAGACAUUAUUCAUUGUAUACUGUUUCAGCUAUCAACUGUUUUCUUGAAUUAAAACAAUAGUUGUCCCAUGCUCCAAGCAUGUGCACUAUGUUUUCUAAACACUAGUCAUGCCACACACAAAGUAUGUAUACUAUGUUUUUCUAUGACCUUUACUUUGCGAAAUAGACCAAUUGAACAUAACUCCAAUGAUUCUCAUUUCACAGUCCCAAAUCCUUACUGCAAAUGCAAGAAUUCUAAAUUCACGUCAUUUACUGAAAUCUGUUAGAUUCUAAACUUAUAUGCAUUGAUCCACUUGUAAUGAUUAUGCACAAAGUCACAAAGACUUGACAACAAACAUUACAGAGCAUUGCAAAGGAGAUCAACUCCUUGGAAACAUCCUUCUUGCAUUAAGUUUCCUAAUCUUACAUAGAUUGAAUAAUUUCUAACUUUGAAACAUUUCUAUAUUCCAUUUUGACUAACACUUCUGAACAAGAGUUGCCUCCUUACAGAUUAUGUCAAUAUGGUCCUUCCAACAAUUAACAUUAUACUUCCAACUGUCCCUGAGCAACCAAUCUUUGGUAAACCUUAGAUUGUCCUCAACAAUUGCUUAAUCCUUUUAGUCAUAUCCAAUUCUAGACCUUUUUUCCUUCUUAAUGCCCCAUGCAUUUGGAAAUUUUUAGAAAGGAUGAAUAUUAUAACACAUGCAAUCGAUCCUAUAUCCGAAGCAUAUGGGACACGAUUCAUGAUGUCUCACAUAAAGACAUGAUACUAGACCUGUCCUUUUGCUACAAUAUUUCUAUUUGCCAAGUUCUAAUAAUUCAGAUUAUGAAAAGGGAUGCCGUAAUCAUAAUCGAAUUUUAUGUUGAGCCAUUCCAACAUGAAAUUCAUAUAUAUUCUUGACUAAUUUUGAUUAAAAUCUCAAUCUAAGCUUUUAGAAUUGAAAUGAAGUAUAAUUUCAUCUCCCUUAAUUAUAGCAAAAAAACUCUUNUCCCAAUUGAGACCUUUUGUUUUUCUAUAAUUAACAUUGCUAACUUGAAACCUUUAUCAUAAUUAUCAUGCUCCCACUGACAUGAUAAUUAUUAGCAUAACACUUAUGCUACCACUAGCUUUGGCAUGUACUCAGAAAUCAAUUGUACUUCUAGAAAUCAAUACUUUAUUGACUUUCUUACCAAAGUUCAGGUUUCUGAUACUAGAUUGCUUUGAUAAAACUUUAUCAAUAUCAUACACCUUAUCUUAGAUAGCUCACAGGUGUGUCUAAACAAUUUUAAGAAUUAUGAAGAGGGAUGACGUAAUCAUAGUCUCGAUUAUUUAGACCUUUGCCACUUCUCACAAGUCCAUGUUAGUGUGCCGGUUAACCACACAUGCUCCAUUAACGACUUUGAGAGUGCAAAUAUCAUAAUUGCUAUCUACUUCAAAUCUACUUGGUGGAAGUGUUUCCUCACCAUCAUUUUCAUGAAUCGGAGAGAAACCUUAUGACCCUUAGAUUUUAUGGUAUAUGUGUUCAUUUCCAUGUGAAUUUUUUUGUCAAAACCAUAAUCACAAGACAAGAUUAGUGACAAUUUCAAAUUCAUGUGGACUGAACAUGUGCAAUCUUAAAUUCUUGCCACCUGGCAGCUCAAGGGAUUGCCAUUGCUUCCAAGUUGAUAUGCAACCAAUUGAGAACUCUAAGAACUCAUAUGCAAAGCCAACUUUAACUGGAAUGGGCACAUAAAUAGAAGUAUGUCAACACAAUAGGUUAUAAACCUUACGUCGUGUGCUAGUGUUAAACAGCAGGUUUUUAUUCUUGAUUAGAUCUUGAAAUUUUUUUCAGGAUCUUUAAGACUCCUACUGUCUUCUUGACAUAUAAGACUUUCUUGUCAGAUAUUCAAUAUAUAGUGCAGCUUCUUUAUCAAGAUAAACACUUCACACAAUUGGCCUUAGUUGAUCUUUGUUUUAUCCAAAACAUCACAACUUACCAAUUUCAAAUGUACAAGAGUAGAAAAGUUGUACUCUUACAUUUGAAGAGUGUUUUAAACCUUGUUUAAUACAUGCCACUUAAGUUACAAUCUUAGAGUAUAACUCUAAGAAUGUGACAACCUGAAAUUUCUAUUCUGUACAAACAAUUUCAAGUCAAUAGAAGUUAUAACAGUUGUAGUAAAUUUUUAGACUUUUGGUAUAAGUUUGAGUAUUUCAGGAUUUACACUUAAAGAGAUAUCAAGAGAAAUGAUGCACUAGGGUUUUGUGCAACUCUGUUAUUCCAAAACUUCAUGAUAUUAGAGUUCACUUCCUGCAUAAAAUAUUUUCUGCCAAAAACCCCAGGGGUAUAUAUAUGAUUCUUAGCCAUAUUUAUUCGUUUGUUCCAUUUCCAACUAGAGAAAAGCCAAAUUCUCUCUCACGGAUCCUCGGCCUUUCGUCCCAAAACGUGAGUACUUCUAUCUAGGUGUAUUAUAGAGCUUUUUAUGUGUUUAAUAACCUAGAAAUCAUAUGAAAACAACAAGAUCAAAGAGUUUACAACCCAAGAACAUCUUGGACCGUAAACCCUUCUUUAAGGGACAAAUGAGUGCCCCAUUGCCUUCCUUUUGCAAUAAAACUAGCCUAGACUCGUACCCUAUUGUAUGUAGGACUAGAAAACACCCCAAGAACACCAAGAAUAAGGUGUUCACGGACCAAGAAAUUCUUGGACCGUGAACCCCAAUAAAGAGUGCGAAAGUGUGCUUUAACUCUUCAUAAGCCUUGGAAACUAGCCUAGAUUCAUUCCUAGUUAAGUUAGGGACUUGAAAACACCAAAAACACCAUGCCUAUGAGAGAUUACAGCCGUAAUCUCUAAGGGUUUUGGUUCUAGGGCCGUGAACUCCUCAAAGGAGUUGAAAGGUGCCCAAAUAUCUUCCAAGGACUAAGCCAUCAAGUAGCAAUACUUCUAAGGGACAUGUAAGACUUCAAAACACCAAAUAAACUAAGGUUUAGGAGCUUACGGCCGUAAACUCAAGAGUUUACGACCGUAAACUCAUGGUUUUUAUGGUCUUGGAGAGUAAACUCAAGAAUGGGGUCCUUUGGAACCCUAAACCCACUAGCCUUGUCCUACAACAGCUUAGAUGCAAUCCUUAGGGCUAAUCACACUUAUAUAAGGUGUUUAGCAUGUUCUAGGAGGUCUUACAAUUAGUAGUUUAAGACUAAUUGGGUACAUAUAUGUGUGAUUAUAUAUUAACUAGGAUCAUAGAGUGUUUUCAAGACUUCACUCGACACCUAGAAAUCCUACAUAUUCAGUUCAUCCCUACCACUCACCACAGGUGAGUUCAUACCGCUUAAUCAAUGGUUUAAAUGUUUUUAAAUGCUUUUAUGGGGGGGGGGGAAUACAAGUUAAAUACUUAUAGUUUAAUACAUCAAUCACAUGUGAGUAAUAACUACAAACCAGUGGUUUUCUUAUUGUUCAAACUGUUUUAUCAAACUGUUUUACAAAUUCUGUUACUUAUCAAAUACUUCUACUUAAGCUCUUUUAUACUUAUUAUCAAUUGCAUGUCUAUGUAUGUAUAGUUAUAUAAGCAACGUUUAAAAGGCUUAGGAAGGCCUGGCUGCUUUAUUUCCUUUUCCCCGUUGGGAUGUGGUCUGGUAAGGUAUCGGGUAUCCAUCCGAAGGUCAUUUAAAUAUUAUUUAUAUAUCAUGGGUACAUAUAUAGUCAUAAAGGUUCUUCGAGUCAGUUCAAUAUCCUUGGGUAGCAAGGCUAUACUUCCAUGUUCAUACGUACCAGUUAUAUUACUAGUAAGCUAGCAUAGGGGUAGCACAGGAAGAUACAAUUACUAUUACUAGAACAAUAAAACAUACAAUGAGUCAGUUCAUUCAUGAGUCAGUACGAGUAAUACAUACAGUACAUUACUAUACAUGCUAGAUAGAGAGAACAUACAUUACAUCUAGCACACGCAGAACAUUUCAGUACAUAAAGGCUAGACAGAGAAAGAUUACACUUUUCAGUUAGCACAUUCAUUACAUGUAUAUUUAUGCAGUUAUGUGAACCAUUAAGCGGGUCAUGGCACUUCCUUCCAUGACCGUUUUUGUAUCCCGAAUCACCUUAAUUAGGCAGCGUAUGAGUUUGCGUAUAGAUAUAUACUGGAUUGACUAUCCUACACCUUGCUGCUCGCUACAGUGGGACUUGCAAGUCUACGGGUGCCAAAUGUCAUUUCAUAUGGCGUCUUACAUCGUCGUUUUACUAGAGUCGGUAGCAGGAUAUAGGUCGAUCACCUGUUACAUUAAACACCUUUUGUUUUAAGGUAGUUAGUACAUCGGUAUUCACUUAUUACAAAUACUACGGUACUUUGAUAUUUUCCCAUAACAUUCACUUCGUGAAUAUUCACAUGAUGCAUGGUAAUGUAAAAACUAUAUUUUUGUUAAAUGAUAGUCAAAAUUAGGAAAACACACACUCUAACAAGAGACACACACACAGACACUAGAUGCCUUGGUAGAAGGCUGAAGUUAGUUGGAAACAUAGGGUUUUCUAGGAGAGUUCAAACAUUUUACAAAACAUUGUACAAAAAAUCUUAUGAAACAUCUUACAAAUGCUUUCAUACAAAGACAGACAUUAAUAUACUUAUGAUCUCACCAACUUUAAGCUGAUACUCGCUUUCAAAAUAACUUUAUUCUCAGGUCACCAAUAGACAGGAACAGGUGCCAGGCUUUUGAGAAGAUGGAGUUCGUUCAAGACUCAUCUUUUAUUUUGAUAUGUAUAUUUUGGUGUCUAUAUAACUUGACAGAACACACAUGUAUGAAAUUAUAUUAUUAAUGCAAUGAAUGAUGUUGUUGCUUGUUUACUACUAUUCAUUGUUGUGAUACUGUACAUGACGUCCUCCGCCCCAGAACGUUUCCGCCGUUCAUAGUUUUGGGUUGUGAUAGAUUGGUAUCAGAGCAUUGUUUAUAGUGAAUUGAGUAUAUCAACCCAUAAAAGAUAUACUAACUAUAAAUACAUUGGGAUUAAAACACUUUGACUAAGAGUUUAUACUUUAAAUAUUAAAAUAUUUAAUUAAAUAUACGUGCCUGUAUUCAUACUAAAAUCAGUGUCACUAAGACAGUAUAAAAGUAUUACGAUUGUUGGGCAACACAAUUAGACUUAGAGAUAUAUGGUCAAAACUGGGAAGAUAUAGCCUGAUCAACUAUAUUAUCCGAGGGUUGACUAGCAUGUGCCUAAGUGUGGUUGUGAGGUUGCAACAAGUCUAAAAACUUACCCACAAUACCACAAUGAGAACAAUAGAACCUAAACUUAAAAUACUAUAGGAGUAUUUUGCAUUACUAUAAAUUACUUACGUACUAGAUUUUUAUACCUCCCUUCUCGCAUAGAUUUAAUGGUUGGAUUCAACCUUCCCAAAUACCCGUACUAUCCCAACCAUGACAAUGCAUGAUGGCUGGAAGAAGAACAAGAAGAUGAUCACCCAAUUCCUUUGGAUGAUCAUGAAGCUGAAGGCUUUUCUGAUGGUUCUGACUCAAAGCCAGAAGUCAACAACCUACCGCUAGUAGGUCAAGCCCCUAAUAACAACCCUCACCCAGCAUUUCAAGGACCCACACCCUUGUGGGCAACCAACCUGAACCGCUAGAGCGACGAGCAGGGUCAACCUUACCUUACUUUGGGUACCGAAGCUUUUACAACCUCAGCGAAGGUAGCUCUGUUGAUCGAGCUCUGCCUGUCAUGGUUCGUAGAAUAGCUCGUAAUGUUGAGAAAGGUCGAGCAGCCAUCGAUCGAGUCAUGGAAAUUGAUGCCAACUCUGGUGUCAACAUUGUCCGCAUUCGUCAUCUAGAUUCUACUCACGAAAGGGCUCUGGUUCACAAUGCAGCUCUUCAGAGGGAACUCACUGAAACGCGAGCUGAAGUCAGAGAACUUCGAGCUCAGCGAGCAAGAGCUGAUAGGCGUGUGAGGGACAUAGGGCGUCUCCUGUCGGAAUCAAGAACUCACUCUGGUAGUUCUCGUCGCUGAUAGAUUCUCAUUAACUUCUCUCUUUUGGUUAUAACCUAGUUAUGUAAAACUCUAGUCUAAUUCCCUAUCUUUGUAUAUCAUAGGCCGGUUGGGUCUUGGUUAGGUUGUAAUGCUGUCAAAAUUUUCCCAUUUUGGUUGAUGUAAGGCCUCUUUCAGUUGGCCGUUUUUCCCGAACUUAUUACAUCUAUAAUUCCAGUAAUAUUGACAAGUACCUAAUCUUAUGGGAAUUUUUAUCCAAAUGUGAUCAUCUAUUAGUUCUAGAUUUCCAUUCAAUUGUAUCAUUGGGCAAUGGAGAGUUAGUCCAUGAGUCAUUCUCAUCAAUUCUUCCAUUGAAAUCUUACCAAUAUUUUCAUCUCCAUAAACUAUAGAUCAAAGAUGCCGCCUCGCAGAAAUCCAAGGAGAAACCUCAAUAACGAAACACCACCUACUCCACCUCCUGAACCACCUACUCCUCAGUUCGACACGACAGCCUUAAAUGUUGUCGUAGUUGCAGCUAUAGCUACAGCCAUGGCUCAGUAGCAUUCAUCUGGUUCCACUGGAGGAGGAACCCGUGUCCUGUCAACACAUGGUGAAAUCCCGGUGCGCUUGAAAGAGUGCUCAUACAAGGACUUCACCAAAUGCAAGCCACUGUCCUUCAAGGGGACUGGCGGAGUCAUUGCCCUCUCGCAAUGGUUCGAGAAAACCGAAUCGGGUUUCAAAAUCUGCUCUUGUCCCGAGGAGAGCAAGGUGAAGUACGCUGCNGCACCUUCGAAGUAAAGCCUUAACAUGGUGGAAUGACCAUGUUAAGUCACUAUCUCUUAUAGUGGCUAAUGUGAUGGGCUGGGAAACUUUGAAAGACCUCAUGAUUGAGGAGUACUGCCCGAGGGGCGAGAUCCAAAAGCUGGAGCAGGAGCUAUGGAGCCUAACCAUGAAGGGAUCCAACAUAGUCGCCUACACCACCAGAUUCUGUGAACUGGUGGCCCUCUAUCCCAACAUGAUCCCUUCGGAGGGAAAGAAGAUUAAUAGAUACAUAUGGGGGGUGGUGCCACCAUAGCAGGGAAAUGUUUUGGCAUUACACCCCACUACAUUUGAUAGUUCCAAGCGAUUGGCACAACGGCUCAUAGACCAUAGGGUUCGUACCCCGACCGCAACAACUACCCUGGCCAUCUCAGAACCUGCAAAAACCGUUGAUUCCAAGUGGAAGUUUUGGGAUGACAAGAAGAAGGCUAAGGCUGGCAAAAAGCAGCAGGUCGUGGCAGUACAUGCUGCGAUAGCACCUACCGCUGCUGCUCCGGUAAAGCAGUACGUUGGAAGUUUGCCUAAGUGCAACAAGUGCAACUUCCAUCACAUUGGCGCAUGCCGGGAGAUGCAGUGUCUGAACUACAACGGGAAGGGGUACACAGCCCGUUUCUGUAAUGCUCCGGCGAAGCCAAUCAACCAAGCCCCCGGUGCUGGAGCAGGCCAAACUUGCUACGGAUGUGGCGAGGUAGGCCACUUCAAAAGAAACUGCCCGAAGGUAGGGUUUGCCGGUGGAGCGGCAAGAGUUCUGGCCUUAGGCCAUGAGGAAGCGGUUGCCGACCCCACAGUGGUCACUGGUACGUUCCUCCUUGAUAACUCUUAUGCAUGCAUUCUAUAUGAUAGUGGAGCGGAGAGGAGUUUCGUGAACCAAAAAUUUGCUAAAUUACUUAGGCAAAAAUCAGGAGCACUUAAUGAACCGUUCAUUGUAGAAAUGGCCAAUGGAAAGAUAGAGAGCACUAGCAGUAUAUUCGUAGGAGUACCCUAACUUUAGAUAACCAUUCAUUUUCUAUCGAUGUCUUGCCAGUCUCAAUUAAAAGUUUCGACGUCAUUAUCGGCAUGGAUUAGUUGAGUAUUCAUCGUGCCAAUAUUAUGUAUUACGAAAAGGUUGUACGCCUUAAUCUGUUGUCUGGCAAAACCUUAGUAGUUUAUGGCGACAAACCCAACACGAACCUUCGUAUCAUCUCGAGCAUCCAAGGUCAGAAAUUCUUGCGAAAGGAAUGUCGUGCAUUCCUUGCUCAUGUGGUCGACGUAAGCCAAGAAACGAAGGACAUUCAGAACAUGCCAGUAGUAUGCAAAUUUCCCGACAUAUUUCCAGAAGAACUCCCAGGAUUACCUCCGCAACGUCAAGUCGAGUUCUGAAUCGACUUAGUUCCAGGGGCUACCCCAAUAGCCAAAUCGCCCUAUUGUCUAGCACCUGCAGAGAUGCCAGAACUAUCUGGUCAACUUAACGAACUGUUCAGCAAGGGCUUUAUAAGACCAAGCUUCUCACCCUGGGGAGCUCCAGUCUUGUUCGUCUAGAUGAAAGACGGAUCGUUUCAUAUAUGCAUCGACUACAGGGAGCUCAACAAACAGACGGUCAAAAAUCAUUAUCCGUUACCUCGUAUCGACGAUUUAUUUGACCAACUUCAAGGGGCGAACUUCUUUUCAAAAAUCGACUUGAGAUCCGGAUAUCACCAACUACAAGUGUUAGGGGAGGAUGUUCGAAAGACAGUCUUCCGAACUCGUUAUGGGCACUAUGAAUUCGUAGUGAUGUCAUUCGGUUUGACAUAUGCACCCACAGUAUUCAUAGACUUAAUGAAUAGGGUGUGUCGUCCUUACUUGGAUCAAUUCGUCAUCGUCUUCAUCGAUGACAUACUUAUCUACUCUCGAAGUAAGGAAGAGCAUAGUUAACAUCUGCAUCAUGUCCUCGAAACAUUACGCUCGGAGAAACUCUAUGCGAAGUUCUCGAAAUGCGAAUUUUGGACUCGACGAGUCAAAUUCUUAGGGCACGUGGUUAGCGAAGAGAAUAUAUACGUGGACCCUUCCAAAAUCAAGGCCAUUAAGAACUACUCAGCACCGAAGACGCCUACAUAAAUUCGUCAAUUUCCAGGCCUUGCUGGCUACUAUCGUAGGUUCAUUCAGAACUUUUCCCGCAUAGCGAAACCUCUUACAAUACUGACCUAGAAGGGCGUGGCCUUUGACUGGGAAGAGAAACAGGAAAGAGCAUUUCAAACGCUCAAAUGAGCCUUGUGCACAGCACCAAUACUAUCGCUUCUAGAAGGAAUAGAAGACUUUGUCGUCUAUUGUGAUGUGUCGAAUCAAGGACUCGGAUGUGUCCUGAUGCAACGAGGUAAGGUCAUCACCUAUACCUCGAGACACCUAAAGACACACGAGGUCAACUACACGACCCACGAUCUUGAACUAGGAGCAGUUGUGUUUGCUCUGAAGAUCUGGAGACAUUACUUGUAUUGAACGAAAAGCACUAUCUUCACAGACCACAAGAGCUUACAACACAUAUUGGACCAGAAGGAGCUCAACAUGAGACAACAACGGUGGGUCGAGCUACUCAGUGAUUACGAAUGCGAAAUUCGUUAUCAUCCGGGUAAAGCCAACGUAGUAGCUAACGCCCUGAGUCAGAAAGAAUAUUCUGGUCGUUGAGUCAAAUCAUUGACUAUGACUAUCCAUUCACACUUGUCCACACAAAUUAAGGCAGCUCAGCUCGACGCUUUGAAGCCUGAAAAUGUGGUGGGUGAAUCCCUAAGAGGGAUGGAUAAGAACGUGGAGGUUAAGGGUAGCGGAGCUUAUUAUUUCAUGGACCGGAUCUGGACCCCGAAACUAGGUGGAUUCAGAGACUUGGUCAUGAACGAGGCGCACAACACUCGUUAUUUCGUGCACCCGGGAUCAGAUAAGAUGUAUCUGGAUCUCAAAAAGUUAUACUGGUGGCCUAACAAGAAAGCAGAGAUUGCUACUUCGUGAGUAAAUGCCUUACUUGCGCAAAGGUGAAGGUCGAAUACCAGAAACACUUCGGUCUAUUACAACAUCCUGAGAUACCGGAAUGGAAGUGGGAGUGGAUAACUAUUGAUUUCAUAACCAAGCUGCCCAAGACAACGGGUGGACUUGAUACCAUAUGGGUCAUCGUCGACAGAUUGACCAAGUCUGCACACUUCCUACCCAUCAAAGAAACCGAAAAAAUGGAGAAACUUACGAGAGCCUACAUUAGGGAGAUUGUAAGACUGCAAGGUGUUCCCUUAUCCAUUAUCUCGGAUAGAGAUAGUAGAUUCACUUUGAGGUUUUGGCAGUCGUUACAAAGUUCCCUAGGAACUAGGCUGGACAUGAGUGCAACCUACCAUCCACAGACCGACGGGCAAAGUGAGAGAACUAUCCAAACCGUGGAAGAUAUGUUGCGAGCCUGUGUGAUCGACUUUGGGAAAGCAUGGGAUACUCAUUUACCCCUUGUCGAAUUUUCCUACAACAACAGUUAUCACACGAGCAUAAAGGCUGCUCCAUUUGAGGCCCUCUAUAGCCGAAAGUGCAGAUCCCCUCUAUGCUGGGCUGAGGUGGGUGAUACCCAGUUAGCUAAAGGACGAAUUCCUGAAAGCACUCUCACAGGUCCAGAGAUCAUAUGGGAAACGACGGAGAAGAUCGUUCAAAUCCGUGAACGAUUGAAAGCCUCUAGAGACCGACAGAAAAGCUACGCUGACAAGCGAAGGAAUCCGUUGGAAUUCUAGGUGGGCGACCGUGUUCUAUUGAAAGUCUCACCCUGGAAUGGCUUGAUACACUUCGGAAAGCAUGGAAAGCUAAAUCCAAGGUACAUUGGGCUUUUUGAGAUUCUCGCAAGAAUCGGCCCUAUAGCUUACAAACUUAACUUACCACGCGAACUCAGCAACGUACAUCCUACCUUCCACAUAUCGAACUUGAAAAAGUGUCUGUCCGACGAGACUGUUGUUAUUCCACUCGACGAGAUCGAGAUCAAUGAGAGCCUCAACUUUGUGGAGGAACCAGUAGAGAUCAUGGACCGAGAGGCCAAGCAAACGAAACAAAUCCGUAUCUCGAUACUGAUGGUUCGCUGGAACGCCAAGCGAGGACCGACAUUCACUUGGGAGCGUGAGGAUCAGAUGAAACUGAAAUAUCCUCGUCUUUUUACUUAGUUAUUUGUAACUACUGAUUUGCUUAAAUUCUAAUUUUGGGAUGAAAUUCCUUCUAAGGAGGGGAUUAUGUGACAACCUGAAAUUUCUAUUCUGUACAAACAAUAUAAACUCAAUAGAAGUUAGAACAGUUGCAGUAAAUUUUCAGGCUUUUGGUAUAAGUUUCAGUAUUUCAGGAUUUACACUUAAAGAGAUAUCAGGAGAGAGGAUGCACUAGGUUUUGGUGCAACUCUUUUAUUCCAAAACUUCAUGAUAUUAGAGUUCACUGCCUGAAUAAAAUAUUUUCAACCAAAAACCCCAGGGGUAUAUAUAUGAUUCUUAGCCAUAUUUAUUCAUUUGUUCCAUUUCCAACUAGAGAAAAGCCAAAUUCUCUCUCACAGAUCUUCGGUAUUUCGUCCCAAAACAUGAGUACUUCUAGCUAGGUGUAUUAUAGAGCUUGUUAUGUGUUUAAUAACCUAGAAAUCAUAUGAAAACAACAAGAUCAAAGAGUUUACAGCCCAAGAACAUCUUGAACCGUAAACCCUUCUUUAAGCGACAAAUGAGUCACCUAGUCCCUUCCUAUUGCAAUAAAACUAGCCUAGACUCGUACCCUAUUAUAUGUAGGACUAGAAAACACCCCAAGAACACCAAGAGUAAGGUGUUCACGGCCAAAGAAGUUCUUGGACCGUGAAACCCAAUAAAGAGUGCCAAAGUGUGCUUUAACUCUUCAUAAGCCUUGGACAGUAGCCUAGAUUCAUUCCUAGUUAAGUUAGGGACUUGAAAACACCAAAAACACCAUGCCUAUGAGAGAUUACGGCCGUAAUCUCUAAGGGUUUUGGUUCUAGGGCCGUGAACUCCUCAAAGGAGUUGAAAGAUGCCUAAAUCUCUUCCAAGGACUAAGCCAUCAAGUAGCAAUACUUCUAAGGGACAUGUAAGACUUCAAAACACUAAAUAAACUAAGGUUUAGGAGCUUACGGACGUAAACUCAAGAGUUUCUGACCGUAAACUCAUGUUUGUUAUGGUCUUGGAGAGUAAAUUCAAGAAUGGGGUCCUUUGGUACCCUACACCCACUAGCCUUGUCCUACAACAACUUAGAUGCAAUCCUUAGGGCUAAUAACACUUAUAUAAGGUAUUUAGCAUGUUCUAGGAGAUCUUAACAUUUUCAAUUAGUAGUUGAAGACUAAUUGGGUACAUAUAUGUGUGAUUAUAUGUUAACUAGGAUCAUAGAGUGUGUUCAAGACUUCACUUGACACCUAGCAAUCCUACAUCUUCAGUUCAUCCCUACCACUCACUACAGGUGAGUUCAUACCCCUUAAUCUAUGGUUUGAAUGUUUUUAAAUGUUUUUAGGGGGGAUACAAGUUAAAUACUUAUAGUUAUUACAUCAAUCACAUGUGAUUAAUAAUUACAAAACUAGUAGUUUUCUUACUGUUCAAACUGUUUUGCUUCAAACUGUUUUAAAAACUCUGUUACUUAUCAAAUACUUCUACUUAAGCUCUUUUAUACUUAUUAUUAAUUGCAUGUCUAUGUAUGUAUAGUUAUAUAAGCAAUGUUUAAAAGGCUUAGGAAGGCCUGGCCACUUUAUUUCCUUUUCCCCGUUGGGAUGUGGUAUGGUAAGGUAUCGGGUAUCCGUCCGAAGGUCAUUUAAAUAUUAGUUAUAUAUCAUGGGUACAUAUAUAGUCAUAAAGGUUCUUCGAUUCAGUUCAAUAUCCUUGGGUAGCAAGGAUAUACUUCCAUGUUCAUACGUACCAGUUACAUUACUAGUAAGCUACCAUAUGGGUAGCACAGGAAGAUACAACUACUAUUACUAGAACAAUGAAACAUACAAUGAGUCAGUUCAUUCAUGAGUCAGUACGAGUAAUACAUACAUUAUAUUACUAUACAUGCCAGAUAGAGAGAACAUACAUUACAACUAGCACACGCAGAACAUUUCAGUACAUACAGGCUAGACAGAGAAAGAGUACACUUGUCAGUUAGCACAUUCAUUACAUGUACAUUUAUGCAGUUAUGUGAACCAUUAAGCGGGUCAUGGCACUUCCUUCCAUGACCGUUUUUGUAUCCCGAAUCUCCUUAAUUAGGGAUCAUAUGAUUUUGCGUAUAGAUAUAUACUGGAUUGACUAUCCUACACCUUGCUGCUCGCUACAAUGGGACUUGCAAGUCUACACGUGCCAAAUGUCAUUUCUUACGGCGUCUUACAUCGUCGUUUUACUAGAGUCAGUAGCAGGAUAUAGGUCGAUCACAUGUUGCAUUGAACACCUUUUGUUUUAAGGUAAUUAGUACAACGGUAGUCACUUAUUACAAAUACUACGGUACUUUGAUAUUUUCCCAUAACAUUCACUUCGUGAAUAUUCACACGAUGCACGGAAAUGUAAAAACUAUAUUUUUGUUAAAUGAUAGUCAGAAUUGGGAAAACGCACACUCUAACAAGAGACACACGCAUAGACACUAGAUGCCUUGGUAGAAGGCUGCACUUAGUAGGAAACAUAGGGUUUUCUAGGAGAGUUCAAACAUUUUACAAAACAUUGUACAAAACAUCUUACAAAUGCUUUCAUACAAAGACAGACAUUAAUAUACUUAUGAUCUCACCAACUUUAAGCUAAUACUCGCUUUCAAAAUAACUUGUAUUCUCAGGUCACCAAUAGACAGGUACAGGUGCCAGGCUUUUAAGAAGAUGGAGUUCAUUCAAGACUCAUCUUUUAUUUUGAUAUGUAUAUUUUGGUGUCUAUAUAACUUGACAGAACACACAUGUAUGAAAUUAUAUUAUUAAUGCAAUGGAUGAUGUUGUUGCUUGUUUACUACUAUUCAUUGUUGUGAUACUGUACAUGACGUCCUCCAGAAUGUUUCCGCCAUUCAUGGUUUUGGGUUGUGACAAAGAAUUGUUUAUGGAACGAAGUAUGAGUCAUCUUCUUGAUUUAACCACUUCAACAAUUCAUAGCUCCUCUUCUUAGCUACUAGAAUGCACUCAGAGGAUGAAUUGUGAUAAGGUCUCUUAAUCAUUAAGAUGAUUAUAUAACAUGAUACUAAAGUACUCUCCCAUCUUUUCAGAUUUGAGAAACUUUUAUCCUUCUACCUAGUUUGAUUCUUCUCAUUCGUUCUGCCAUACACUGAAAUUUUUUCAAUGCUUCAGAAUUAUACUUAAGCUUGUAAGUAUAACCAUAUUUAGUAAAAUUUAUUAAAUCAUGAUGAAUAGCCUUAUCGAACUUUUUUAGUGGUGGACUUAAUCAGUGCACAAGAAUGUGUACUUUAUCCCUUAGUCCGUUACUUGACUCACACAUCCAUGUGAACAAGUAGUUAGUCUUAAUUUUUCCAAUGCUUGAAAGUUUUCAUUCAUCAUGCUAUACAACUUGCAUGAUUACAAGUUUCUAUCCAACUGAAACUUGGGUAAUGAGAAUCUUCCCUUAUUUGGUAAAUUUAGACACUACCACAAAUGAAAGAAUCAAAUUCAUAUUUCCACUCUUGCUCUUAAUGGAAUCUUAUAAGCAACAAAAAUUUUCACAAAUGACAUUGUAAGCAUACAUAAAAUAACUAAAAUCAAAAGAUUUACCUUUUAUUUUAAAACGUUGUGGAAAAACUUAUCCUUAGAAUCCAUAUGAAAACCUUGUUGUUAUCUAUUCCUAAGCAAUGUGUCAUAACUCCUAAGUAACAGCUUCAAAAUUCUGAUCCGAUCGAAAUCCAUCUUCGCGAUCAGAAGCAACAUAUACUUCCUUUAAGUUUUCUCUUUUUUUUU